rnacentral:lncRNA from 1 species
AAAAAAAAAAAAAAAAAAAAAAAAAAAAAAAAAAACCGUCCUCAAGUUGAGUCCUCAAAUUCAAAGUCUCAUUAGAUUGAUUUUGUGUACAACUUGUUCAAUAAUGGAAGUCUGCACAAUUCGUUUUGUUUUAAUUUACUUUGGUUUCUGGUCAUCAUUAUUUGGAAUCUGGAAUUUGAAUUGCUAAGGUUCUUCAAAAUGUUUAUUUAUUUAUUUUUUAAUUGUAUUCAGGGGAGAGGGAGAACAAGAAUUGAACUCGUACUGUGAACGUAGAGAAGAAACGUCACAUCUGAACUCAAUUAGAGUGCUCUUGUGCUUGGCUUGUAAGUUUCUAUCAUUUGCUGUAUUAUUUUGCCAGGUCCUCUCUCUUUUUUCCAUCUUAUUUUAUUAAAGAUGGCACUGGAAAUUUUGUUUUAGUUGAUGGGAAAUGAGACUCAAUUGGUACCUGAUUUAUAUUUUUAUAAGAUCAUAUGUAAUUAAUAUAACCAUCCUAGGCCUUGAAACUAUAUAAAGAAGUCCAUUGUAAGGGGCUUGUAUUUCAAAUGGUUAAAAGCAGUUAUCUCUGCACCUGAGGUCCUGUGUUCGAAUCCCCUCCUGCAAAUAACGCUUACCAAAACAAGUUCUUUUGUGACUGUUGUUCUUUGUGUUGGCCGAGUUGUUCUUCUUUGGCUGUCCAUAAAACCUUGACAUCUAAUCAUUCUUCGUGUAGGGCAUGUGGUGUUUAUUGCAGAGGUGGUUGGACUUGAGACUUGAGAGUGCCUUUUGGUGUUUAGCUCUUGGGCUUUCUUUUAUUGGGUCAAUUUCUGUGAAAAAAAUGAGUGGACUAAAACUAAUAAUGAAACUUAAUUAGGGGAGUUAUUUUCAUAAAAGAGAGGAGAGCUUAAUUAGAAGAGUGAAAACUAAGCGAUAAUCCUUUACAUCAUGCCAUCAUAUCACGCAAUUGACAAAGUUAUACAUGGAUAUUUAGUGAGAGAGUUAUAACUUAUGUAUGGUGAUUUGACAUUUUUGAAAAGCUAGUUAACCUUCACUUCUCAGGAAGAACUUAACCUUCUGUCCUCCAUCGAAGCAACCCCUCCCCCAACCCCCCUUCGAAACUCUUUAACCGUCUCCUUCUCCCUCCCUUUUAUCACUUUCGUUGAAGAGUUCAUUAUAAUAUGAAGCCAAUGUUGAACUUCUUUCUUCCCUCCUCUCUCUCUCUCUCUCCCCUUAAUUUCUAGUUUUGAUUUUUUCUGAUUUACUUUGGGUUUUUGUACACUUCCUUGCAAAGAUUUUUGACUCUGCUGGAAAAUUUCUAUGAUUUUAGUUUACCUUUUUUAAGGAAAACACAAAAAUCUCUGUUUAUCUUGAUGAUGUUAAUAUCAUUACUAAAAACCCCUUGUGAAUGGAAAUCAAAAUACUUUUAACCAGAAAUUAAGAAGCCAGAGAACCCUACCCAAAAGAAGGCCAUUAUUACCUCAUAUUAACAAGAGCUUUUCCGCAUAAAAAGGAAGAAUGAUGGCUAUCUGGAGACUUAAAAGCUUUUCCGCGCAGCUUCAUGGGCAUGGAGCAAAAAGUCUAGGAAUAUACACAGAUCUAUAAUUCUAAGUCAUAAUAUUGGUGAAGAUGAAGGGACACAUCAGUAGAAACGUUUGGUAAGAUUUAAUUUUAUUAUUAUUUUGUUUGGAUAUAACAAAGAAAUUUUAAAACAUUAAUUCUCCAUUCGGAUGAAGGAAUUGAAAAUUGCAUAGAGUUCUUAAAUGACCGAAUUUAGAUCCCAAUCGUUUAAAUUUUUGGCAAUUAAUAAUUUCAGUGUUUGGAUUUAUGUAUGUUGAAUUUCGUAAAUGACAUAAAUUGAGAAAUGACGCUUCUUUUGGCGGAAUUUAAACUUGGGAAUCUUGAUCCUCAAUUUCUAUGAUUUUUUUUUUUCGCGCAUCAUUUAAUAAUUUUAAUGCUUAAGUUUUCAAACAAUGGAAAUAUCAAUUUCUCCUAUUCAAUUCCCGAUUUUUAGCCAAAUCCCGAGUUAUUUUCUUCCAUCUAAACGGAGGGUAAGGGCUCGUUUGAGAGUGAUUAUGUGAGGGCUAGAAUCACUUAUGGGGAGAAGAACCUCCCACGUGUUUCUCCAUAUAAUGACUUGAAGUUAUUUUAAUUGAUUAUGGGAAGAAGAACCUCCCAUAUGUUUAUCUAUAAAAUCACUUAAAACAACUUAAUUUGAUUAUAUGCUAUGCUGCAUGGACACUCCAUUAAGCCCAAGUGUCGGAGUGUUGGACACUCGGACACUUGUGUCCAACGGUCAACACAGUGUCCAUGGUCAAAACACUCCCCAUACAUGGUCAAGACACUCUUCAAGCACAUGUCAACUCAUACUCAAGAUCAACUAAUAUGUUAAUUCAAUUAUAAUUAAUAUAAAAUUAAUAAACUAUAUUUGAAAGGAUUGAAAAACUUAAAUUUCACUAUAUAUGGUAUUGUGAAAUUGAAGCAUCAAUAUUUUGUUUUUGUAAAUAUAUAUAAGUAAUAUUAUAAUUUUUUUAAAAUUGUCCUGCCCCCGUGUCCGCGUGUCGCGUAUCCUAUGUCGUGCAACAUAGAUUAUAUGGAGAAGUGAUUCUCCAUAGAAGUGAUUAUUGGGGCCAAUUUGGCAAUACUGUGCUGUGAAAAUAAUUAUUUUGAGAUUUGCUGUGAGAGAAAUCAGCUGUAAAGGAAAGCAGUUUAGCAUUUGGUAAACUAAAUAUUAAAAUUAGGGAGAUUCACUAUUAUACCCAAUAUGGGGGCCUAAAUUAUAAAAAUAUCCUAUAUAAAAUGGACUUUAGAAACACACCCAAAGCUCAUUUACAACAUAACAAAAAAGCUUUUAACUUCUUAUAAAUUACAAAACUGCCAUCAAUUUCUUAAAACAAGCCCAACCCCAAAAUCUCAUAAAAAUACCCAAAACACUCAAUAGGGCAUCAAAGUAAUUUAAUAAUCAAUAUUAAAUUCAAUAAGGCCAGCUAUCAUUUUUUGGGUUUUUUUUGGGUUUGUUUAUAGGAAUUCAAUUGUGUAGGGUUUAUUUAUAAUAUUAGUGCUAGAAAUGGGUAUAUCACUAAAUAUCUCUUAAAAUUAUGCUAGUACAAAAAUCAAUUAAUGAGUGUUUGGUAAAAUUUUGUGUAAAAGUGUAGUGAUUGUGUGUAAUGACUAAAAAGGAUAUAAUGUUAACAAAUUUUUUUCCUUUCUAAAUUAGUGAAAAUAACACUUUCACUUUUUUUUGGUUGGAGCAAUAACACUUUCACGGAUCUCGAGCCUCUACAUUUAGCAUCGGUUCAUUUAUACGCAUUUAAAGGAAUCUUAACCAUUUGAUUAAUCUUAUGGCUACGAUUAAACCACAUCAUCAAAAUUGUAUUAAGUCGACAAUGAAGGUUUUGUAGGUGCUCCUGAGAUAUUACAUGUUUUUCUCCAAAGAUUUGAAUAAAACCAGCGGCAUGUACACAAUUUCCCCUCUAAAAUGUGGGAUUUGAAAUUAAUUAUUGUAGACAUGAAAAUUUUAAUGAAAUAAAAAUUCACUAAUUUACAUUCAAUAAUCAAAAUUCAAAAUAUGACUAGUCAAAGAUAUUUGGAAAAGCCGUGAGUCUCACACAAAUACACGUGGGACACGACUCACCAAGACAAAGGUAAGCACAGGAGAUGACACAUGUCAGCAUCUAAGAGCUUCAUCAAUCAAAUCAAAUCAUAUGCCAAAAAGGAAUAAAUUGUCCUUAAUUGGCCAUCUUCCUACAUUGUGAGUUAAUUUCCUUACAUGAAGGAUUUUGACUUAAUUACGAGGUAAAUUAAAUCAAAUUAGAAACCAAUCCCACAAAUUAAGGGAUUUAGAUUGAGAAUUCCAAACUAAGACCCAAUUCCUUGCCUAUAAAUACUAGGCUCCCAUUCAGAAGAAAAGACCUGGAGAAAGAUAAGCACACACACUCUGUCUAAAGCAGCACCUAGACUCUUAAGUUCUUCAUCAAGCUCGUGGAGAAUCACCAAGCAUAACAAAUACGUGCCAAUUCCUUCACCACUACUCGAAAACUAUCCCCCACGUCACAUUACUUGUGGUCAUGACAUGUUCGAGAUCAAGCCGUGAUGACCUUUGAAGAAGUUUCAAAUUCCGAUUUAAGAUCAAGUGUUUGGCACCUUUGAACUGCACACACGCUUGGAGAUUAAAUAAGAGGAAAUUCCUUUAUUUUUGUAAAAGAAUACCCAUAGAGAUUGUAACCUGCACACUUGAUAAAUCAAUACGAAUUUUAUUUUGUACGCAUAUUCUUGUCUCAUUUGUAACAGAAAUUUUAGAAAUUUUAUUUUGGCCCGAAGAGGUUUGAGUGCUCACCGGAGGGCGAUUUCCGAUGGCUACUGUGGUGGUGUUCGGUGGAGGUGAUCGACACCACCCAUGUAGAUCACAAUAUGAGUAUCCCGUGAGCAUAACCUAGGAAGAAUAUGAGCAAUCCAAGCAGCGGUGAAGGCGCGACGACGCUGUGAAGUUGGCACGUGAAUAGUGAAGUCAACGACUUCAACUGGUGGUUUGAGCCACUUCCGCUUCAAAUUGGACCUUGAGGUAAUAAUUAAAGUUUCCCUACUCAUUGUUUCGAACGUUGUGGUAUAAGUCUUGAUUGGCGAUUCUAAGGUUGGUCUGUCGUUGGAAUAGUACCCCGAACCACCACUAGCGGGGGCGGCGAGUGGAGGCGCGUGGUGGGUGUUCUGAGUCAGAGUUUUUGAGGCAAGUUGCAUGUUCAUCCUGAGAUAAAAACCUUUGUUUUGCUGCUGUUUCAAGGUAAAUUCCUAACCAAUGUCUAACAUGUAAGAAGGAACUCAGCUUCUGAUCCUAAUUGCCCCUAUUGCAAUGUUUUUGACUGGACUCGUCCCGAAUUCCUCAGAACCCGAGAUGAACCUUGUGGAAAUUCCAACAUCACCCUGAUGCUAGCCCACGACCGAGACGUUCUACCAAAAUUUUGGCAGAGUCUCCCUUGUAAAUUGAACAUUUUCCAAAAAUUUCAAUCUGCAUAAAAACACAUUUAAUAUCACCAACCGGCAGCAUGCACAAGAUAAUUUCAUGCAAUUUACAAACUCGGCUUCCGGCCUUCAAAUAAUCGGCAUAAAUAACAUUUACUCUGCGGCUGUACCUAGGCACUACUCUAGGCUGCCUACGUACCCCUUGUGAGGGAUCAAGCCACACGUAGUUCUUUCUACAAAAAUUCCGGUUCCAAUAACAUACAAUCCAUUACAGUAAUAUAAAGUAGUAGAUCCUAUAAUUUAUUCCUUUCCCUUUUCCUUAAAUCACAUCACACUAAACAUAAUUCUUUUUAUACAUUAACCUUUCUCUGAUAUAGUAAAAUAAUCCCUUUUUCUUCUCCCUGUUACUCUAUCACACAUCGGAUAAUCCAACGCCACGUGUAAUGAGCUAAUAAUCACCUAUUCUUCCUAUACGCCAGAAAAUCAAAUGCCACGUAUAGGAAGGGUCUCACAUGCCGAAAAAUCCAACGCCACGUGUGAGACAUGAUAAUCACAAUAUUCUUCCCAUACACCGGAAAAUCUAACGCUAUGUAUGGGAAGUGUCUCACAUGCCGGAAAAUCCAAUGCCACGUGUGACCUAAUAAUCACAAUAUUCUUCCCAUAGCUAGAAAAUCCAACACGAUGUAUGGGAAGUGUCUUACAUGACGGAAAAUCGAACGCCACGUUUGAGACUACAUAAUCACAAUAUUCUUCCUAAAUGCCGAAAAAUCCAACGCCACGUAUGGGAAUUGUCUCACAUGUCGGAAAAUCCAACGCCACGUGUGAGACUAAAUAAUUAUACCUCCUUCCCAUACGCCAGAAAUUCCAACGCUACGUAUGGGAAGUAUGUACUUUUACAUAAUGUAAUCCUAUGAUUCUCCAUCAUAAACCAUAAUAUUCAAUUCCCGAUUUCCCCCAAAAGUCAUUCAAUACUCAAUCACAAUUAACUUGACCUUUUAUAUAGCUCAUCGUCAAAUCAAACCAAAUUCCCGAUUAAGUGUUACUAUUAUGACUAUAUACGAAUUUCUCAAUCCUUGUUUCCAAACCUCUUUAAAUAUAUAUAAAUAUAUAUAUAUAUAUAUAUUAAUUUCCAAUAUUGCAUAAACCUCAACCACAAUAUAGCAUCCAAUAAUUCCCCUAGUUCAAAAUAAUAAAUUAAUAUCUCAAUCCCACAUAAUCAACAUAACUCAACUAACGAUCAAGACCUAUCACUACGGUCAUUUUAAUCCUCUUGGGAAAGUAAAACUACCUCGGAAGGCUCACGGUCAACCAAGAGUCAAACUACCCAAACUUGGUCAAACGUGCCCACGGGGCCCACAACUUCCGUUUUACUAUCCGAAAGUUCCUAUGGGUUCCACAAGGUUUAGAAUACACGUUCUGCAAGUUUGGUCAUGAUUGGACAGUCGGGUCGCUCACGAUCGCACAAUCGCACAAUCGGAUGGUUACUGUAAACCUAGCCCUAGGGUUGACAUUUUCAGAGUACUCGGGACUCCGUUUUACGAUCCGUCAAAUCCUACACGAUCCUAAUGAUGUCUAGAUUAUCAUAUAUUAACUUCAAGACGAUCCAACGGUUCAAACUUAUUGAACCCGGAUAAACACACAAUAGGCGAAAUCCGUUCAAUAGUCAAACGACAUCCGAAUUUUCAUCCGAGCACACCUACGUACUCGUGAGUACCAGGAGGUUACAUCGAGACACAUUGCCCUUUUUCCACAGUGCCCACGCUCUGGCAGCGCGUGGAUGUCCAAAGCGAUUACGCUUCGCUGUAAAAUCUCAAAAGCACGGCUCAAGACUCCUACCCUAGGUAUAACACCCUAUUUGAAACUACUUUUGUUCUUGGACCUACCCCAAAAAGUGACCGGAAGUGGCCGGAAUUGCUAUCUCAAAAUCGGCCAAAAUCCAAUUUGAAAAUCAAGCUACCUACGCUCAAAAUUAAUGAAAUCCUACCCAACCAUCAGCUAGAUUAUGAAGAAUGGAUGAAUUUCCAUACCUGGAUGGCCAAAAAAUGAUGGCCGGAGGAGAGAGAUCGGAGCCGGCGAAGUUUCGAGCGAAAACCGGCCUAAAAAUCACGUUUUCCCGCGGCUGGAGCGGUGGCCGAUGUCGGGAAGGGCCGGGUCUUGACGGCGGGGCUGAGCCGGUCCUUUUGGUACCGGUCCCGUCUGUUGCCAUGGCCGAUAGCUGGAGUUUUGAAGAGAGAGAGAAAGAGAAAGAGGGCUGUCGCCGAGGAGAGAGAGAGAGUGCGCGAAGGAGAGAGAGAGAGAGAGAGAGAGGGCUGUCGCCAAGGAGAGAGAGAGUGCGCGAAGGAGAGAGAGAGAGAGAGAGAGAGAGAGAGAGAGAGAGAGAGAGAGAAAGAGAGAGAGAGAGAGAGAGAGAGAGAAAAUCAUAUUUUUAUUAAAUUCUUUUUGUCAAAAUUACGGUUAUGCCACUGAGGAUAUUUUGAUCGUAUCUUUUUCGUUACAACUCCGAUUCGACCCCACUACGAGUCUACAGACUCAUCUCGCCGUGCUUUACGGAACGAUACAAUUGAAAUUUCCAAAUUCCUUCCCGGUCAAAAAGUCAACUUAAAACCCAAUAAAAUCUUCUAGGGGAAAAUGGUCUUUUAUCUAAUUAAUUUAAUAAUUACAAAUUUAUUUGAGACCGGGUCGUUACAGUUUCUGUGGAGUCUUUGGACCAUCUUGUUCGCAGGAGUAGUCAUGCGGCUAGAAUGGAAUUCCUAAUCAAAUUGCUCACUCUCUCUGUGGAUUUUAAGGAGUGGCUUUUCAUCAAUAUUAAGGCUAGUUUCAGCUGCAUACAAGGUAUCCAUUGGUCCUCUAUGUUUUUGUCCUCCUUGUGUUUUUGUUGGAAAUGGCAAUGUAAGAAAGUGUUUGAUGGCAACUUUACUCCUCCUCAUUGGCCCCACAUUCCAAUCAUUCAAUUUACUAGGGAGUGGCUGGUGGCUAACCGCUCCAGGUUUACUAAGGCUUCUAAACAAAUUCUCAAGUUACAUUGGUCUCCUCUUUGGGCUGGCUGUUUUAAACUAAAUGUGGAUGACAGUUGUAUUGGUGAGAUGGGAACUAUUAGUGCUAGAGGCAUCAUAAGGGACUCUAUGGGUGGAUGCAUUAAGGGCUUUGUUACAAAUUUGGGGUGUGGGAAAAUCCUUGAAGUUGUUAUAAAAUAAUCUGGAAUAUAUGCGGAUAUUGAGCUGCACGUAGAAUAGAUAAGACACAGCUUUUAACGAGGUUCGGCUAUGCCUACGUCCUCGGAGAGCAGCAGCAGUAACCUUUCACUAUAAAAAUAAUAUGGUUACAACUUUAGUGUUUACAACAUAUGUGGCUCACUGAAUUUUCUCUCUAGGAGAAUUUCUCUCUGCUUUCUCUUCUCUCUUUUCUUUCUUUCUCUUUCUUUCUCUUUUUCUUCUUCUUUCUUCUUUCCGUUUCUCUUCUUAUUUAUAGGCUGAAAUAAUCACUAUUCAUCACUAUUCAUCACUGUUCACCCGUGACAGACAAACUCUAUCAAAGCCGCCAAAUGAACAGUAAUGAACAGUAAUGAAUAGUUGUGUGGGCUCCAUAUCAAGACUUUUUACAACACUCCCCCUUGGAGACCACAUGUCCCUAGAUUGGUUGCCUCAUUAAAACCUUGCUUGGAAAAACCCAGUGGGAAAAUCUAAGCGAAGGAAAAAGAGUACAACGUGCAUAUGUCCUAUGUUAGAGGACUCUUGAAUGCUCCCCCUGAUUUUGCAUGCUCCAACUUGAUUGCUUGCAGAGUUGUCGUAAUCCGAUGCCAUGUACUAACUUUUGGAAUGUAUAUUUCGGCAAUGAUUUAGUGAAGAGAUCUGCCAGGUUAUCACUUGAGCGGAUUUGUCUGACUUUGAUUUCUUGACUCUUCUGGAGCUCAUGUGUAUAGAAAAACUUUGGUGAUAUGUGUUUGGUCCUGUCACCCUUGAUAUAUCCUCCUGUGAUCUGAGCAAUACAAGCUGCAUUGUCCUCAUUUAGAAUUGUUGGAGUGUCUGUUGUUGAGGGUAGGGCACAUGUGCUUCGGAUGUGAUGGAUUACCGAUCUUAACCAAACGCAUUCACGACUGGCUUCAUGGAGGGCAAGUAUUUCUGAGUGAUUGGAAGAUGUGGCCACUAAUGUUUGUUUUGUUGAGCGCCAUGAGAUCGCAGUUCCUCCACAUGUAAAUACAUACCCAGUCUGUGAUCGUCCUUGAUGUGGAUCAGAGAGAUAUCCUGCAUCAGCAUAACCAAUAAUACUCUGGGCGUUGGUCGAUUUACUGGAAUAGAAUAACCCCAUGUCUGUUGUCCCACGAAGGUAUCGUAGAACAUGUUUGAUGCCGGUCCAGUGUCGCCUUGUUGGAGCAGAACUGUACCUUGCUAACAGAUUUACUGAGAAUGAUAUGUCUGGUCUGGUACAUUGUGCUAGGUACAAUAAAGCUCCUAUUGCACUAAGAUAUGGUACUUCUGGACCAAGGACCAUUUCAUCAUUCCCUUUUGGACGAUAUGGGUCUUUCUUAGUGUCAAGCGAUCGAACGACCAUUGGAGUGCUAAGUGGAUGGGCUUUAUCCAUGCCAAACCGUUUCAAUACUUUCUCAGUAUAAGUUGAUUGAUGCACCAAAAUUCCAUUAGCACUGUGCUCAAUCUGCAAGCCAAGACAAUAUUUUGUCUUUCCAAGAUCCUUCAUCUCAAACUCACGUUUGAGAUAAUCAACAGUCUUUGGAAGCUCUGCAGAAGUUCCAAUUAGAUUCAUGUCGUCGACAUAUACUGCCACUAUCGCAAAUCCAGACUUUGAUUUCUUAAUAAACACACAUGGGCAAACAGGAUCAUUUGUGUAUCCUUCCUUCAGUAAAUACUUACUGAGACGAUUGUACCACAUUCGUCCAGAUUGUUUUAGCCCAUAUAAUGAUCUUCUCAAUUUAACCGAGAACAUGCCCCGUGGUUUGUUUCUGGCAGCUUCAGGCAACCUGAAUCCUUCUGGAACUUUCAUGUAUAUAUCUGUAUCCAAUUCUCCAUACAAAUAUGCGGUAAUGACAUCCAUGAGUCUCAUUUCAAGUUUUUCUGAAACCGCCAAACUUAUUAGGUAACGGAAUGUAAUUGUGUCCAUUACUGGAGAGUACGUUUCCACAUAAUCAAUUCCAGGCCUUUGUGAAAAACCUUGCGCAACGAGUCGUGCUUUAUACCUUGAGAUCUCAUUUUUCUCAUUGCGCUUUCUUGUAAAUACCCACUUGUAACCUACAGGGUUCACAUUGGGUGGAGUUGGACUAAUAUGUCCAAAAACACUUCUCUUUUCCAAAGAAUUUAAUUCUGCCUGGAUUGCAUCCUUCCACUUGGGCCAAUCUUGCCUCUGUGUACAUUCAUUAAUAGAGCGCGGUUCAAUAUCAUCAUCUUUUAUGAUUUCAGCAGCCACUGAGAAUGCAAAUAUAUCAUCGAUGAUCAUCUCAUUUCUACUCCACAAUUCAUUAGUGGACGUAUAAUUUAUGGAGAUUUCUUGACUUUCAGGUACGGUUGCCACUCCAGGGGCACUUGUUUCACCAAUGACGUUUUCCUUGUCAAGAAGUACCUGUCCCUCUUUGGGGGCAUUUGAAUUAUGAAUUGUGGGCUCUCUAUUUAUUUCAUUUGGAUUCAUUUUGUCCAUCAACUUCCUCUUUCGAGGAACUGAAUCCUUUGAGCCUAGUGGUCUGCUACGUUUUAGGUGUGCAGCAGAUGAACCAUUUGCUGGCACAUUGCUUUGUCCAUUAUGGACAUCAAUCCGUGCGGGUGCAUUUGCAGCUGGGAUAUGAGAUUUUGUCACAUUUACUGCAUCAUUAAAUGCAUCUGGCAUCUGAUUUGCAAUACUUUGGAGGUGAACGAUCCUUCUCACUUCGUUUUCGCGUUGAGCAGUAUGAGGAUCGAGAUGAGACAAUGUGGAUACAUUCCAGGAUAAUUCAUGUCGUUUUUCAGGAAUGAGUUUGCCUUGUUCUUUAGACACAGAUUUUUCUCCACCUAAAGGUGGGAAGAUUGUCUCAUUAAAAUCACAAUCCGCAAAUCGUGCGGUAAAAAUAUCACCCGUCAGGGGUUCCAAGUAUCUGAUGAUAGAUGGUGAAUCAACACCAACAUAAAUUCCCAAUCUGCGUUGAGGGCCCAUCUUAGUACGUUGCGAUGGUGCAAUAGGCACAUAUACCGCACACCCAAAAAUUCUUAAAUGUGAAAUGUUUGGUUGAUUUCCCAAUACGAGUUGUAUUGGAGAACCUUGAUUAUUGGCGACUGGCCUUAAUCGCACAAGCGAUGCUGCAUGUAAAAUGGCAUAUCCCCAAGCAGAAACUGGCAACUUUGUUUUCAUUAGCAAAGUGCGUGCUAUCAAUUGAAGGCGUUUAAUUAAAGCUUCUGCCAAGCCAUUUUGAGUAUGCACAUGGGGAACAGGAUGUUCAAUAUCAAUGCCUAAUGACAUGCAGUAGUCAUCAAAAGUCUGAGAUGUAAAUUCACCAGCAUUAUCGAGUCUGAUUGACUUAAUGGGAUAAUCUGGGAAUUGGGCUCGUAAUUUAAUUAUCUGAGCCAAAAGCCUAGCAAAUGCCAUAUUCCGAGUAGAUAAAAGACAAACAUGUGACCAUCGGGUAGAUGCGUCCACCAAGACCAUAAAGUACCGAAAUGGUCCACAUGGGGGAUGAAUGGGUCCACAAAUGUCCCCUUGAAUUCUCUGCAAAAAUGAUGGAGACUCAACAUCAACCUUUGGUUGUGAUGGUCUGAUCACCAACUUCCCUUGUGAACAAGCUUGGCAAAAGAUGUCGCUUGAUAACAUAAUGUGUUUAGUCAACAAGGGAUGUCCUUUAGAGUUGGUGAUGAUCCUGCGCAUCAUGGUGGAUCCAGGAUGACCCAAUCUGUCAUGCCAAAGCUUAAAAGCAUUUGAGUCAGUAGACUCUUGGUCCAUGACACUAUGUGCCUCAAUUGUCCGUAUGGUUGUGUAAUACAACCCUGAUGAGAGCUCACAAAGCUUUUCCAGUAUACGCUUUUGGGUAUCACUGGAGGUAAUACAAAGAUAUUCCAUGUUUUCCUCUUUCUUUGUUUCAACAUGGUAGCCAUUCAAACGUAUAUCUUUGAAACUCAACAGAUUCCUUCUGGAGUUAGAUGAAUACAAAGCAUCUGGAAUGGACAAUAUUGUUCCAUUCGGUAACAUAAUUUGGGCUAUUCCUGAACCUUCGAUCAGAUCUGCAGGACCUGAUAUGGUUGUUACCUUUGCUUUUGUAAGCAUUAAUUUUGAGAAAUACUUCCGAUCUUGAAAGAUCGUAUGAGUAGUUGCGCUGUCUGCGAGACAAAUAUCUCUGCCAUAGCCUUUGUUUUGAGGGCAUCCAUAAUUUACAUCCAUGCCACCAAAUAAGUAAAUUGAGCUGGAAUAUAUAAAGAAGACAAUAUUACCACUUUUAUUUAAACAACACUUCAGCUAAUACAAAUAGUACAUUAAGGAAUUUAAUCUAAUUCGGACUUAAUAAAGAAGACAACAUUACCACUUUUAUUGGAUUGAAAUUUAAACAACACUUCAGCUAAUACAAAUAGUACAUUAAGGAAUUUAAUCUAAUUCAGACUCAUAACCUUCAUUCCCUUUUUCAGUAACAAAAUCAGAAACAUCUAGAUGCGUCUUGUUUAGCUUACGUGAUAUUUCUGAUGAGCCAUCUGUGGCUGGCGGAGCAUGAUCAAUGUAAUUUAUCUCCACUUUCCUGUUCUUAAGUGAAGCUUGAUAGAGAUCCGCCAAAUGCCUGGGCGUACGACAUGCGCGCAUCCAAUGUCCCCUUGCACCACAUCUGUGACAAGGGCUCUCAACAUUUCUAGGCACAUGGCUCAUCUGUGCCUUUCCCUUAUUACGGGAUGCAUUUUUGCUAUUCAUGGAUGGACCGCUCCUUGGACCUAAGCCCUCUGAACGAGCACCAUGAUUUUUUCUACUUCCUUGCCAGUGGCCACGCUUGCCCCCUCGCCCACGUCUGUGGAUACUGCCACGAGAUGAAGUGGCAUUCACUUCCUGAGAUGCAGCAUUUAUUUCAGGAAGUGGUGCUGAGCCCGAUGGGCGAGAUUGGUGAUUCUUUAAUAAGAGCUCAUUAUUCUGCUCAGCUAACAAGAGGCAAGAUACAAGUUCCGAGUACUUCUUGAAACUACUAUGUCUGUAUUGCUGUUGAAGGAGGACAUUUGAAGCAUGAAAAGUGCUCAGAGUUUUUUCGAGCAUAUCCUCCUCAGAUAUAUUUUCCCCACAUAGCCUCAUUAAUGAGGUAAUUCUGUGCAUAGCAGAGUUAUACUCGGACACUGACUUGAAAUCUUGAAAUCUCAAGUGUGUCCAUUCGUAUCUAGCUCUUGGGAGAGUCAUCGUCUUCUGGUGAUCAUAUCUUUCACCUAUAGCUUUCCACAGAACCAACGGUUCAUCAACCACCACAUAUUCGCUUUUCAGCGCUUCAUGGAUGUGGUGGCGAAGAAAAAUCAUGGCCUUUGCAUUCUCUUCAGGCGAAGCAUCAUUCUCAUCUACAAUUGUUUGUCCGAGGCCAUUGGCUCGUAGAUGAAUUUUGGCAUCCAAGACCCAUGAUAAAUAGUUGUCCCCGGAAAGGUCCAAGGCAGCAAACUCUAGUUUUGCCAAAUUUGCCAUCCAAAACUUUAGGCUCGAGAUCUGGAAUAUUAAGCCACUUAUUAAUAGGAAUUUCAGGUCCUCAUUAUUCAGGUAUAUUAAUUGAAUAUUAAGCCACUUAUUAAUAUGAAUUUCAGGUCCUCAUUAUUCAGGUAUAUUAAUUGAAGAUAAAAGUAAAGUGUUAUGAAUUUGCUGGUAUGGACGAUAAACCCGCACCAUACUUUAAAUAAAAUUAAAUGUGGGGUUAAAACCACCACCGAAUAAAAUAAGAAAAGUUAGUAUUAGUAACGGUCUCCCACUGAUAAUAUGUUUAGUAUUACCAAGGGUCCAUUUUUGUUAAUGGUUAGUAAAUGUGCGGUAAAGUAAAUGUGCUUGUAUGGGCACUAAUUCUGCUUCAUUCAUUUAAAUAAAAGUAAAGGCGUGGACGAUAAACCCGCACCACCCUUUAAAUAAAUAUUGCCGUAUGGGUAAUAAGCCUACACCAUACCAUAAAUAAAAUUAAAUGUGGGGUUAAAACCACCACCGAAUAAAAUAAGAAAAAAUUAGUAUUAGUAACGGUCUCCCACUGAUAAUAUGUUUAGUAUUACCAAGGGUUUAUUUUUGUUAAUGGUUAGUAAUAGAGAAGCAGAUAGAUAUAGUAUAUUAUAUAGUGUUGAGUUGGAAAAAUUUCAGAGAUAAAAGGAGAGACUAUCGUGCUGAUAACGUGUUAUAAAAUAACCUGGAAUAUAUGCGGAUAUUGAGCUGCACGUAGAAUAGAUAAGACACAGCUUUUAACGAGGUUCGGCUAUGCCUACGUCCUCGGAGAGCAGCAGCAGUAACCUUUCACUAUAAAAAUAAUAUGGUUACAACUUUAGUGUUUACAACAUAUGUGGCUCACUGAAUUUUCUCUCUAGGAGAAUUUCUCUCUGCUUUCUCUUCUCUCUUUUCUUUCUUUCUCUUCCUUUCUCUUUUUCUUCUUCUUUCUUCUUUCCGUUUCUCUUCUUAUUUAUAGGCUGAAAUAAUCACUAUUCAUCACUGUUCACCCGUGACAGACAAACUCUAUCAAAGCCGCCAAAUGAACAGUAAUGAACAGUAAUGAACAGUAAUGAAUAGUUGUGUGGGCUCCAUAUGAGGUGUUUUUAGGGGUCUACUCCUUACGCGGAAUGAAGGUAUCUGAAGAAUUAAAGUGGAGUUUGACUCUUUUACUGCUGUCUCUUUAAGUAAUGGAGACACUAGGCCUAGUCACCCUCUCUCCAGCCUCAUCCAUGAUUGCAAAGACUUCCUUUUGCGUGACUGUGACUGUUCCAUUUCUCAUAUUUAUAGAGAACAAAACAAUGCUGCUAACCAUAUGGCACAUAUGGGUCAAAACUCCAAUUUGGGUUAUCAUGUUGUUGAUCUUCCCCCUCCUAUUGGAAGCCUCUUGGCAAAUGAUUCAGUUAGGAUGACCACUGCUAGGCUUGUCCCAGUGUGUAUUUUUUCUGAUUUUUCUUGGGGCUUCGGCCCUCUUUGUAAUAAAUUUUUAAAAAAUUAAAAUUAAAAUAAAAGCCAAAGAAAUUAAAACAAAGAAAAAACAAAUCAUGAAAUCCAUUUUUUUUCCUUUAAUUAUUUUUUUCUAUUAAAAAGUUUGGGGAGAAUGCAUUUGAUUACUUCUGGUCUUGGGGUUCCUGCACUUGAAAAAAAAAAACUUGGAGCGUAUCGCUCAAAUCAUUAGUCCGGUACUGAAUGUAGCUUUUUCAUUGGGCAAAAUGCCUAAUAUAUACAAAGCUCUGGUAGUUAGGGGUCGAAAUGCUGUUGUGACUUGGGAAGUACAACAAUUAUUAGGAAAUAAUCCAAGAACUUGGUUGGUAGACCUUUGAAAAUCCCCUUUUUGUCAACAAUUGUGCACUCGAAGAUUGUCUUUUUGGAAAAUGGUUGUUGGGUCUUGACUUCUCUUUUUUCUUAACUUUGGCUCUUUCAUUAUGGUCAUUCUUUAAUCUUACACCCAGAUCGAACUCUUUUAUUUUCUUAUUAGCUUUCUCUGCGCUUUGUUGGAAAAAAAAAAUUUCCCAAGUUCCAAACUUCUGUUGAGACUUCAAUAAUAAAAUAUCAUUAUUUUCUAUAGAGAUAGAUGGAGUUCUACGACAAUUGACUUUGAUUCUUUGAGAAACCGAUAGGUCUUUUGAUAUUGGGAAGGGAAAAAAUCAACCAAAAUGUCUUUCAGUUGAAAAGAUACAAACCAACCAAUACAUCUUUCGGUUGAAAGUGACUUAACCGACUGAUAUGUCUUUAAUUGGUACAUUAUUCUGACUUAAUUAAAUGUAUUAAUUGGUAAAUCAGACACCGAACCUGGGUUGCAAGUGACUAAACCAACCCCACCAAAUUGACAAGAAACGUCUAUGGACUUGUCUAAUUUAAAAGACAAAAUUUUCCACAUCCAAAUAAAAUAAUCACAGGAAGAAUAGAAUAUCAAUUUGUGUCAAUUCUUUUCUGGUACAAAUUCGUGUAGUUUCGCUUGGAGUUUAUAUUAAAAUUGUGAUACCACUACUACAUUUUACACUUUGCGCGACGAAGAGAAUUUCGUCGCGCAAAAUACAUUGUAGUCGCACAAAUUUCAGCGCGAUAGAAACUUCGUCGCGCAGAAUCCGUCGCGCAAAAGAUCGUGAAGAAAGACUUUGCGCGACGAAGUUUUUUCAUUGGUCACGCAAAGCGACUUUGCGCGAUGAAUAAAUAUUGAUCGCGCAAAGCGACUUUGCGUGACGAAAAAGAUUGGUCGCGCAAAAUGACUUUGCGCCAUGAAAAAUAUUGGUAGAUGAAAGUUGUGCGCGACGAAAUACAUUGGUCGCGCAAAGGUUUGCGCGACGAAAAACAUUGGUCGCGCAAAGUCUAAAAAAAAUUUUAAAAAAAUAAAAAAUUCCCGCGUCCAAUUUUUGGUACCUGCCCAAAUUUUUUGAGUUAUGCGCGACGAAUACGAACGUCGCGCAAAUAUUUGCGCGACGAAAUAUUUUUUGUUUUAAAUUUUUUUAAUUUAAAAUAAACUAAUUUAAUAGUUUGCGCUACGAAAUAUUUUGUCGCGCAAGGUUUUUGACUUUUUGUUUUAUUAUUUCUUUAAUAUGAAUUUAUUUAUAUGAAUUUUUUCAAAUUUUUACUUUUUAAAUUUAAUUUAAUUGUAUGAUUUCUUUUUAAAAUUACUUUAAUUUAAAUUGAUAUUAAUUUUUACUUUUUAAAUUUAAUUUAAUUGUAUGAUUUUUUUAAUUACUUUAAAUUAAAUUGACAUAUUCAAAAUAAAAUUACAUAUGAAAAAUAGUGAUUAAAUUAUCCAAUAAAUACAUAUAUAUAAUAUUCAAAAUGUACACAUAAAUUAACAAAGUACAAUAAUAAAAUCCUAAUACAACCGUAUUGUGGUGGUAGUGGCGGAUGAUAUGUUUUGAUAGCUACCUAAUCCUCAACUUUAGCCGUCAAAGUCUCGAUGAUUCCCUACAAAAAAAACAAAUAUGGUCAAAUAACCACAAAAAAAAAGAAGGCAUAAUCUCCCCUAAAAUUGUUAUACCACAAAUCCAACCCAAACUCCAAUCCCUCCCCUUUACUCAUUCCCAAAACCCACACAAACUCAAAAUUAACUCCAAAAACACAUAUUAAUGAAAAAAAUUUAAAAUUUGGAGAGAAUAUACCUUUUGGCAAGAUUGAGAGUGAAUGAGAAUGAGAGGGUGAAGUGAGUGUGAGAGAAUUAGAGAAGAUAGUGAUAGAGAGGUGAGAGAGUGAGUGAGAGAGAUGAGAGAGUGAGUGAGAGAGAGUGAGAGAUAGUGAAGAGAGAGAUGAGAGAUUAAGUGAGAGGAGUGAGUGAGAGAAAUGGUGGGAUAUGGGGAGAGGGAAAGAGAAGGAGAGGUAAGAGUAGAGAAAGGCAUUGAGAAAAUGGUGGAUGAGUUAUUUCGGUUUAAAAACCGUAUCACGGUACGCGAUGAAAAAUAUUGGUCGAGCAAAAUAUAUUGGUCGCGCAAAGUCUAAAAAAAUUAUUUUAAAAAAAAUAAAAAUCCCUACGUCCCAUUUUUGGUACCCGCCAAAAUUUUUAAAUUUUUGCGCGACGAAUAUAGGAAUAUUGGUCGCGCAAAGUCUAAAAAAAUUAUUUUAAAAAAAUAAAAAUCCCCGUGUCCCAUUUUUGGUACCCGACAAAAUUUUUAAAUUUUUGCGCGACGAAUAUAGGAAUAUUGGUCGCGCAAAGUUUAAAAAAAAAUAUUUAAAAAAAAUAAAAAUCCCCGCGUUCCAUUUUUGGUACCAGCCAAAAUUUUUAAAUUUUUGCGCGACGAAUAUAGGAAUAUUGGUCUCGCAAAGUCUAAAAAAAUUAUUUAAAAAAAAUAAAAAUUCCCGCGUCCCAUUUUUGGUACCCGCCAAAAUUUUUAAAUUUUUGCGCGACGAAAAAUACAUACUGGUCGGGCAAAGUCUAAAAAAAUUCCCGCGUCCGAUUUUUGGUACCCGCCCAAAUUUUUGCGAGACGAAAAAUAUAUAUUGGUCGCGCAAAGUUUUGAGCGACAAAAAAUAUUGGUCGCGCAAAGUCUAAAUUUUUUUUAUUUUUUUAUAAAAUCCCACGUCCCAUUUUUGGUACCCGUCCAAAUUUUUAGAGUUUUGCGCGACAAAUUGUUGGUUGCGCAAACUUUUGAGAGACGAAAAAUUGGUUCGUAACACAAUAUUUAUAAAAAUAAUUGUUAUGAAUAAUAAAAAUAAAAUUAAUUUAUUUUACAAUUUAAAAUAUAAAUAAGGUUAAAGCUGCUUAAUAAAUAUAUAUACUAUUCAAUUUCUUAAGUGUUAUACGUACAAAAUAAAUAAAUUUAAAGCUACUUAAUAAAUAAAUAUAUAUACACACACCAUUCAACGAUCCAACCGUCAGACUUAUUUGUAUAUACUUCAAGAUCGUAUACCCCAAAAAUCACAAAAAAUAAACAUUCAGAGAUCUAGUAACGAGACAAAACUUUUCGAUAGUUAUAAAUGAAAAAUUACGAUUUAACGGUUAUUUUAACUCCGAUUUUGAUGAUUUUUUUUACAGCUACACUCCUUGACCAUAUAUGAAUACAAUGACUGAAUUUGAUCUUCAAUUUAAAAUAUUUACACUAGUGGAUACCACAAAAUCUUAUGUUAUAUCUAACGAACGUAUAAAUAACCUCUUAAUUGUUAGUGAAUAUAUUGUUUUGAUGGCAUAUGCAUUCACCAAAACUAGUUUCAAGGAUCCAACCGUCAAACUUGUUUAUUUAUACUUCAAGAUCAUAUACGCCAAAAAUCGGAAAAAAUAAACAUUCAGAGAUCAAGUAAUGGGACAAAACUUUUCGACGGUUAUAAUGAAAAAUAACGAUUUAACGGUUAUUUUAACUCCGAUUUUGAUGAUUUUUUACAGCUACACUCCUUGACCCUAUAUGAAUACAAUGAACUAAUUCGAUCGUCAAUUUAAAAUAUAUAUUUUCUAACAAAAACUCAAUCUGAACAACAAUAAUAUAUUUUUCUAACAAAAAUCCGAUCCGAUCUAAAAUAAUAAAUUUAAAGCUACUUAAUAAAUAUAUAUACUGUUUAAUUUCUUAAGUGUUAUGCAUACAAAAAAAAAAACAAAAAUAAAUUAGUUUAGGCGACGAAAUGUUUGGAUUACGUCAUGCAAAGAUUUUAAAAAAUAUAUAUUUUAUUUUUAUAAGGACUUUGCGUGACGAAGUUCAUUGUUGCGUCGCGCAAAGUCACUUUGAGCGAUGGUGUAUUGUUGUCGCGCAAAGUUACUUUGCGCGACGAAUUUUUUUUCGUCGCGCAAAAUUUGGUCGCGCAAGACUUUGAGCGACGAUGUAUUGUCGUCGCUCAAAAGUUUGUCGCGCGAAGUGACUUUGCGCUACGAACUGUUUUUCGUCGCACAAAAUUUGGUCGCGCAAGACUUUGAGCGACGAAGUUUUGAGUUUCGUCGCGCAAAGUGACUUUGAGCGACGAAUAGUUUUUCGUUGCGCAAAAUUUGGUCGCGCAAGAGGUUUUUUUUACUAGUGUACAUCUCAUAGACGACGAUAACACUAUCUAAUUUUUCUGUCAUGUCAUGGAGAAAUUUCUAGGUGACAUGUCAUUAUGUUGUUCAGAAUUUUACUCAAAUUAUAACACUUAUAAAAUCAUUAAAACUACAAUUUUUUAAGACUUAUUUAUUGAAAUAUCUCAUGUGAUUUUAAAAUUGUCUCAGGUUGCCCUCAGAAGUGUCUAAUGACUCAACAUCCCCCUUGAACUUCCAUUCUAUGACCAAUGUUGUCCCAUUUCGUUAGUUUUCAUACAAAACUCAUGAAAUCCGCUAAUGUGACAUGGGUAUUUUGAUAAUUUUAACUAUUAAAUAUAAAAAAAUGCUUGAAAUUAUUCACAAUCAAAUAUGUAAAAUAAUUAAAUAACAUAAAAAUUAAAAGAGUAUUGCUAUACUUACCAUAUUUUUAUCUCACAUUUCUAUACCACAUGAUGUGACAUAUUCAUAUCAUGUCACAUCAAUUAAAUCAAUGAAGUGUAUUUUAAUAAAGAAAGUUUACUAACAUUUUUUUUAAAGUGUUAAUAAAUCAUAAAAAGAAAAGAAAAUAUUAAAUAAUUUUAAUUGAUGUGGCUGUCCACCUCAUUUGCCACUAAGGUGGUAUGAGAAUAUGGUAUACAAAUGUGGUAAGAGUAGCAAUGAAAAAUCAAAAAAUUAAAAUUAAAAUUAACACAACCUCAAAGUUAUGCAUCUUCUUCAGCUCCAUCGUACCACUAUCCCACUAUACACCCGAACCACAUCAACAACCGCCCACACCUCCUACCGACAACCACCAAACUGAUCUUCCCACACAAACCCAUAUGCCGCUUUUCUAAUUCUGAUCUCCAACCGUUUUAACCCAACACUUACCCCUAUCUUGCGAGAUCCAGUCGCCCCACCCUCCAUCGAAAUCUCAACCCAGCCACAGCUCCCCUUGCAACUAAACAUCCGUAUAAUUUAAACAAUACUAAUGUUAUUCAUAAUAAAUUAAAAAAAUAACAUUACAAUUAACCUACAAUUGUUGCCGAUGAGGUUUCAUAUCAUACUGAUCUUACUAAUACAGAGAGAGCUAAAUAAGAAAAAAUAAAUUUAUCAAAAAAAGAAAAAAUAAAAGUGGCGUUUGCUCAAGAAAAAAAAAAAGCAUUCAACUUACUUUGGAUUGGCAUACUCAAGAAGGCAAAAAAAAAACGUAGGAUUCUUGUGAUGCACACACACUUUGAUGAAAUUGAGUAAUGUUAAUAAAUUGGUCCUUUAUAAAGAGAAUUCCAAUCUCACUUAAAUAAGGAAUUCCCAAAACCCAAUUGAAUAAGAUAACACCUACUUAAAACCCAAUUAAGUAAGAAAUUAUAGAUUAUAAAGAGAAUUCCAAUCUCACUUAAAUAAGGAAUUCCCAAAACCCAAUUGAAUAAGAUAACACCUACUUAAAACCCAAUUAAGUAAGAAAUUAUAGAAAUUGGAAAGCCCAAGAGAAAUGGACUACCAGCUUCCUUUUUUAAAAAAAAAAACCUUAGUCCAAAACGAUGUCGUUUUGGUCAGGUUAAAUAAAACUUAAAAUAAAAAAUAAAAAAUAAAAAAUAAUCAUUUUUUAAAGCCUGGUCCAAAAUGACUUCGUUUUGGCCAGGCUGUGUUAAAAAAAAUAAGCACGCGCGCGUUGCGCUUAGAGCGCAACAGUUGUAGCGCAGCGCCCAAUUUGGUUUGGGCAUUUCGUAGAGCAUGUUGCGUACAUCUCGGGUCUGAAACAGAGAUGCAACUCCAGUUGCUCAAAUGAAAUUUUCUGACGACCGGAGAUGUAGGUGCACCUCCUUGCGCCUGCACAAGUACACCACUAAAUGAGGCAACUUUGGUCACAUAGGGGAUAUGUCUUUAGGGUGGCUCAUGCAAUGACACAGUAAUCUGUUUUCUCUUCCACUUGUUAAAAUAUCAUUAUUCUACAACGAAAAGAAAAAAGAAAAAAGAAAAAAGAAAAAUCAUGUGGCUCAUGUGACAUUUUGUCUUCCACUUGUCAGACAAAGCAAUUGUUAAAGCCUCACAUAUCUUCUUGACCAAAAAAUUUAUUAUUUAAUUAUUAAAAAAAAAAAAAAAAAAAAACCUCACAUAUCUUUAUCUUUUUUCUCAAAUAUUUUAACAAGUGGUAUGAAAUCGAUAUCAUGGAUUUUGAUUUAGGACAUUAAUUGGCAUGAGAGCAACACGAAACAUUAUGAGAUGAGUUCUUGAUAAUUUGAUGACAUUUGUCUUCUCAAUAUUGGACUAAUUCACUACGCCAAAAUUGACUUUUAGAACCCCAACUUUCUUUAUUAGUCAGAUACAAACAAAUGCAUGGUUAGUGUAGAAAUAAAUUAUUAUGAGAGCUGUCGCACAUUUUCAAUUGGGACCAAAGUCAAUCUUUAUAAAGCGCCACCCAAAAGAGAAACAAAAAAAAAUUCAUAACCCUAAAACCAAGCUAAGUAUUAAGAUGCAUGCCGAUAGCUCUUCAGUUUCAGGCCAUGGCCAAACUGUUUGUGUCACCGGAGCUGGAGGCUUCAUUGCUUCCUGGAUUGUCAAACUUUUGCUAGAAAGAGGCUACAUUGUGAGGGGAACCUUGAGAAACCCAGGUCACUCCAAAUCAUUAUCUUCUUGGCCUCUGAGUUGUUUUUUUGUCUUACAUUCGAAGUGUCGACAUGUUAUGUUGCGGGACUUUGAAUUAAAACCGACCAUUAAUUUAUUUCAAUUAUACAUGAAUUUGCGGUUUUGAUUCCUAGUUUGACAUAACACGUAACAUAUAUUUUGAGACAUAAUUCUUCCUUGUAUUGAUAUGUUUUUUUUCCUUUUUGAUGCUUUUCUUAUUUUGGGUUGAUCACAGAUGACCCAAAGAAUGCUCAUUUGAGGGAGCUUGAAGGAGCUCAAGAUAGGUUGACUUUACGUAAAGCUGAUCUUCUUGACUUUGAGAGCCUUAAAGAAGCCAUCAACGGUUGUGAUGGCGUUUUUCACACAGCAUCACCGGUUACGGAUGACCCAGUGAGUUUUUUUCGUUUCUGCUUCCUUACUUUGUUUCUUCCUUUUCCUGUUUGGUUGCUGAGACUGCCAGAAAAUAUGCACACUUUUUCUCUUAUGUGCAUGCACAGUUUUUCGAUCAGUUUGUGUAUCCUUCAAACAAAACUAUCACGUGGUGGUUCUGGGCCAGAAACCACUUGCUUUUGUCGAUUGUGAUGUUGUGGUGGACCUCCAAAAUUGUUCUCCAAGUCCCAUAAUAGUAUUUAAAAGGUGAAAAAAAAAAACACUAGCUAAGAAAGGAAUAGUUUGGUCACGGAUAUUGGUUUUGGUUGGGUGAAGAUUUUUCCCUUUUUCAUAUAUAUUUUCUUAAAUUAGCUUUCAAAUUCACGUCCCACAUUAUAAAGUCUAUUAGAAAGUAAAGCGGCUUGAAUUUUUUCCUACUAUUGUAACGAUAUAUUCAUUAUCUUAUAUGAAAUAAUUUACAUUUUCGCAGCAUGGUGUCAUGAUUACAUCUUAACUAAAGUUUAAGAUAAGAAAAAAAAAAAAAUGCAUGUCUAGUAGUUUGGUAAAAAGCUCACAUUUUAGGGUACAUAACCCUAGCUGCUAAGAGAGGGAAAGAAAAAGAAAGAGAACGCGUCAGCUUCCGGAUCCUGUUGGAUGUUCGAUGUUCUUUGGCUUUUGGGGGACCUCUAUCGAUCUACUUUUCUUUUGGGAGAUCUGUUGUCUCAGAUCUGGGCUAGCUUUGGUUGUGCCUCAUCUUACGAGGCUGCUUUUUAAGGUGUUGCGACUUGAUCAUAGUAGAUCCACUACUCAUUGGUACGUUGAGGCUCUGGAGUAACUCGGUGGCGCUCUCUAUGUCUUACCCCGAAAAGAUUAUUGGCGGUUAAUUUUCCUUUUGCCUACAUCAUUUUAGUUUUUAGUAUUAUUUUGGUUCAGUUUGUUCAAAGAAACUUUGUAAAUUUUAUGUGUUUUUUUUCUCUCAUAAUUCUAAAAGCUUAGUUGAGUUUGCUGGGUGUUCUUAGUCUUUUAAGAGAGUCAUGUCGGUUAGUGGCUAGUUUUUGUCUUUGAUGUCAUUGGACUAUAUUCGGAAAAAUUAUGGCGAUUAAAAGAGGUUUUAGAAAAGUUAUUUUCCAAUGUUAUUCUCUCCAUAUUUCCAUUUUUUUAUUAUUUAUUUAUAAAAUUAAUGAGGUAUUAAAAUUACCAAUUUAGGCUAUAUCCUAACACGUGGAUGUAUUCUAGUACCAUAAAAAUUUCUCCAAAAUGUAUCCCAAAUGCCUUGGAAAAAAAAGAUAUAUUGUACCUAAACUCAAAAUAAAAUUUGCUUAUGAUUUUCUACUACAAUAUAUUAUCUCUAUGCUAUUAAAAUAUUUUGAAGGGAUUGGAUUUGUUAUUUUCAUUUUUUUAAUAGUAAAUUUAACUUAACCCUUUCAAGGUAAUUUUUUCAACUACAACUAGGGAUGGCAAAAAUUCCCGUAGGAGCGGGUCCCCGACCUUAACGGAGGGAGAUUUCGGGGCUAAAUGGGUAUCGGGUACUAGGAUCCCCGAACUUGAAAAAUUCCCGACGGGUAUGGGAAGGGGAUGGUAUUGGUGUCCCCAUCCCCGAACCCGACCCGAAAAUAUAUAUGUUUAUAUUUAAAUAAAUAAAUAUAUAUAUAAUUAUAAUAUUUAUGUUUAACCCUAAGUUAACUCCCCUCUCCUAAUUCUUCCUAAUUUUCUAUGGAAUUUCAUAUUGAUGUGAUUUUGAAUAGUUGUGUUGAACUUUAUAGUUAAUUUAGAUGUGUUGAAUGAUAAUGUAAUAUGAAACUUAAUGCUAAAAUGUAUGAUAAAUAUUUUUUUAUGCAAAAAAAAUCAGGGAUUCGGGGCGGGUAUGGGGGAUAGUCCCCCUACGGGGACGGGGACGGGGAUUCCCUGAAACCUAAUAAACGGGGAUGGGUUCGGGGACGGGGGCGGGGAUGGAGAGAGGGGAUGGGGAUAAUAUUGUCAUACCCGGCCCCUACCUGACCCGUUGCCAUCCCUAACUACAACCCAUCUCUUUAUUUUUGUUUGAAUAAAAUAUAGUUUUUUUCUAAAUAAAACCCGAUGACUAGGAUCCAACUUGGGAAGUUACCUAAUCAAACGCAAAAUCGAAUUUGUUGUACUUUUUCGAUUCCUAAAUACCCCAACUAAGAGCAUCCAUAAUGAUGCUCUUUGUUUCUUAGCUAAAAUUUAGCUAAAAAUAUAAGAAAGCUAUUUUAGGAGCUCUCUGAAAAAUUUCAACUCCAACCAUACUCUCUAAUUUGGAGAGUCAUAAAUGCUAUAACUCUUUUUUGAUUGGUCCAUCUCUAUUAUAAAUAAAAAAUAGUUAGCAUUAAAUAAAGGUUUGAAAUACUCAUUAAAUAAAGAAGCAUUAAAUUAUAGGAAGCAACUAGGAGUUCUCUCUCUCCUUAGAUUUAGGAGCUCCUAGACGACUCCCUAUUUUAGGAGGUGGAUAAGGAGCAUGGUUGGAGUUGCAUUUUUAUAAUUCCUCCCUAAAAUUUGUCUAAGGAGGUGGUUUAGGGAGCCCAUUGUGGAUGCUCUAAGUCAUUAUUAUAUUUUGUAUAUUAAUGUAGGAACCAACAUAGAAAUAAAUUUUAAUUGGAUUGUAACUAAUGGCACAUGUUGAAUUUGAAAAGAUCUCCAAAUGGAUGUAGGAAUUAAUUUGGAAACUUUUUUAAAACUUAACAAUACAUUCAGAUUUAACAUACCUAAUCAGUUUAUUCAAUAAAAAAAUAAUUUUUAAUUUACUUAUGAAGUAUACAUGAUUAAUUAUCUAUUAUAUUAUUGUUUCAUAAAUAUAAUAGCAUACAUACAAUUUUAUGAUAAAAAAUAACAUACAUGUUACUUCUUUUACGAAAAUAAUGUACGUAGUAUGAAUUUACAUAUUUUUCAAAUAAUAUACCCAACUUUUAUAAAAAUAUUUUGGAUAUAAUUUACCUAAUAAUUUCCUAUUAUGCAAUAAUAUAACUUGUAAUUUACCUAUUAUGGGUAAAUUUGUAGGUAUAUUAUAUUUUAUUGAUAAUAAUUUACCAAUUAUAUUUUAUCAGGACAAAAUUUGAGGAAUUUUUAUUGGUAGAAAAUUUAAUGAUUUUUUUAUUGGUUCAAAAUUUAAAGAUUUUUUUAUUGGUCGAAAUUUUAGGGUUUAGAGGGAAUGCCCCAAAAAAAAAAAAAAAACAAAGUCAUUGAUAAGCUAUAAAUGAUGAAGGCCUUGGAUUGUUUUUUUGGGCAAAAAAUCUGCUUCACUUUAAAGUUAAGCAGUUUAAGGUGUUUGAUAAAAAUAAAAUAUCCCGAUUAUUUUAAAAGCAAUGGCCUUUUGACAGCAACUUUUAAAAGCAGGCUAUGAGUUGCUUUUUAAAGCCGCUUUUAAAAUAAGCAGAGAUGAGCCUUUAAUGAAUUUUUUUUAAUUCCCAAAAUACCAUUAUUAAUUUUAAAAAUUGAUACCACCUCCACCUCCACCUCCACAUUCAACUCCACCACCUUCGCCACCACCACCUCCACCACCACCGCCACAACCAUAACCUCCUCCUCCACCUCCACCUCCACCUCCACCACUACCACCACCACCUCCUCCUCCUCUUCGACCUUUGCGACCUCCACCACAACCACCUUCACCUCCACUUCCACAACCACCAUCCUCACCACUACCUCCACCACUACCUCUUGCACCACCACCUUCACCUCCACCACCACCAGCACUGCCAUAUGAUUAGCACAUAAUGCUUUCAACAUCAUGUCUAUUUUAGUCAUUAUUCACACGUGCAAUAGUUUUAUAUUAAAAUUUACCAAAAUUUUUUGACAUUUCUUUUUAUAUUAACAGCAGUUUAAAAGUAUUGUUUACCAAACAUGGAGCUGUUUUACUUUACAUCUAAUUAAUUUUAAAGCACAACAGAAGCAAAUUUUUUAAAAAUGAUAACAAUCCCAAACUGGCCCGAAGUAUUAAUUAGAAAUGAGAGACAUGCUUGAAAACAAUGAGGUUUAAUUAUUUGAAGCUUAGUGGCAAGAAAUGUAAAUAUGUAGGAGUAGUAUGACCUUUUAUAUAUUUUAGUUUAAAUCUGGAUUUUAUAUAUAAAUUUCAAAAUUAAUGGGUUGAUGAAUGGAGUCUGAGGCGCAGGUUUUCGUGAAGAAAAAGAUAGACCUAAUUUAUUUUGCUAGAACGACAUCAUUCUCUUUCUUUGAUCUCUUUUAGCGAAACACAUCUGCCACUGCCUAUAUCUAGUCUUUUUUUAAUAAAGCAAUGCAUGAUGGAACAAAUAUAGGAACAAAUGAUAGAGCCCGCAGUGAAUGGAACGAAGAAUGUGAUUGUUGCGGCGGCAGAAGCCAAGGUUAAAAGGGUUGUGUUCACGUCGUCAAUUGGUACAGUGUACAUGAACCCCACCAGGGGCCCUGCUGUGAUGGUCGAUGAGUCUUGUUGGAGUAACCUUGAAUAUUGCAAGAACACCAAGGUCAGACAUAAUAUUAUUACAAAUUUAAUAUUUUAUCUCUCCAAUAUAUAUAGUAGAUGCUUAACGACUCAUUAUGCAAACAAACAAAAUCAAUAUUUGAUAUAUUUAUCACUCACUAUGUCUCAUAAUUAAGAACAAUUGCUUUUUUUUUUCUUUUCAAUACAAGCUUUGCUGUAAACUGUUUAAAAUUAAUCUAGCUAAUCUAUAAGGAGGAGACUUGAAUUUAGGUGCAAGGGACGGAUUCACUACUCUGACCAAUUGACAUAACCCAGAUAUGCCAUAAUAAUUAAGAACAGUUGUUUUAUUCUAGGGUUUCUAUAGGAAAUUAGAAAAGGUCAAGUCGGCAAAGAAAGUUUGUGAGAUUUUAAAGUAGUAUUCUCUCUGGACUUCCAUGCUCCUGAUAAUUCUACUACACAGUGGCGAAGUUAGGAUUAGGAUUUCAUGUGUGUGGAAGCCUUUCGCAAAAUAUAAACAAUAAAAAAUUUAAACUUACAAGACAUACAAAAGCAUAAAAAAAAAAUCAUAUUGUCUAUUUAUUAUAAACCGAAAUAAAUUAAGCGGUCUAUUAAUUCUACUAAUCAAACCAAUAGAAAAUCACAUAUAUGGAAAUUCAUAAAAUAAAAUUAAAAAUACACCAACACAGGUUAACAAUUGCAACAAAGGGAUAGAGAAUUACAUACUAAGCAAGAAAAAUAAAAAAGGAUGAACAAAUACAUACUUGAAGUUGAUCAAUUUAGCGAAUAUCUCUGAACUUUUCCCUUUCCUAAUCUGCACAUAAAUUCAAUAGAAAAAAAAGUCAUAAAUAGUUAUAAAGUUAAAAACCUUGGGAAUGGGGCGGCGAAGUCUUGGAAAGGAACGUGGUAUUGACUGCUAGACCCCACAUGGUAAAAUUAUAUAUUAUUCAAUAACACGGAAAGCUAAAACUGGAUGGUUCUUUUUUGGCUGUAGGCCCACCACUUUAUGCAUUUGGAGCUUCCUUACACAAUGCAUAUAGUUAUUUUUUUUAAUUAUAGUAAAUUGAGCUUAGACUCAUAAAAUUUAUUUAAAAUUAUCUACAAUUUUUUUCUUUAUUUUUUUAAUUUAAAAUACUCAUUUUUUUUCUUCAAAUAAUACCAAAUGACUAGAAUCCAACUAAGCAAGUUACCUAAUAUAAUUUAAAAUAUGAUUUAUUAUUUUUUUUGGAUUCCAAAACUACCCUUAUUUAUAAGUUAAUGUGUUAUGGGGAAUAUAACUAAUGAUACGCGUUGAAUUUAGAAAGAUCUUCAAAUAAUUGUAAUGGAUGUAGGAAUUAAUUUAGAAACUUAUUUGAAAUUAAAUAUUAAUUAAACAUUAACUUAUUAGUAAUCUGUAGGUGAUUAACGUUUUGGUUUAUUUAAUAAAAAAAAUUAUGUUGUUUUCCUUUUAUGAAUUAUAUGACUAGUAAUCUAUUUUAUUAUAGUUUUAUGAAUAAUAGUGUACAUUCUAAUGAUGUUGAAAAGUAAUUUGAUAAUCUAUUUAUUUAUUUUUUUAAAUGAACCUAUUUUUAUUCUAAAUAAUGUACUUAUUUUUCUUUCUAAAUAAAAUACCUUUUUUUCCCUCUAAAUAAAGCACCUAUUACUUGUUUUAUGAAAACAACUUUUUUUUUUAUAAAAAUGAACCUAUUUUUUCUCUACAUAAUGUACCUAUUUUUCUUUCUAAAUGUACCUUUUUUUUCCCUCUAAAUAAAGCACCUAUUACUUGUUUUAUGAAAACAAUUUUUUUUUUUAAAUGAACCUAUUUUUUCUCUCCAAAUAAUGUACCUAUUUUUUUUUUUCCUCUUAUAAUGUACCUAGUAAAACAAUUUACCUAGUAUAAUGAACCUAUUUUUUUGCUAAAUUUUGUAUCUAUAUUUUUCUCUAAAUAAUGUACAUAUUACUUGUUUUAUGAAAAAUAAUGUGAUAAUUUAUUUAUUUUUUGUUUUAUGAUUUAUUUUUUAAAUGAACCUAUUUUUUUCUCUAAAUAAUGUACGUAUUUUUUUCCUCUAAUAAUAUAUACCUAGUACAACAAUUUACCUAGUAUAAUGAACUUAUAUUUUUCUUCUAAUUAAUGUACCUAUUCUUUUCUCUAUAAAAAAUGUGCAUAAAUUUACAUUAUACAACAUACCUAUUUUCAUUAAAUUAUUGUGCACCUAUUUUUAAUUUUAUGAAAAAUGUAUGGAAAUUUCAAUUACAAAGUAAUUGACCUAGUUUUUUUUUUUAAAAUUUAAAUUUUUGGUAAAUAAUAUACCUAUAUUUGUAUACGUAUUUGUUUAUAUUUAUAUUUUAUAUGUACAUUAUUGGAUAUGUAAUUUAAAAUUUAUUUUUAUUUUUAUUUUUGCAAUUUUAAGGGGCGAUAUGUUAGAGGGAAUGGCAACCAAAAGAAAUGGGUGAUUGAUAUGUUAUUAAUAGGGAGUUUUAAUUAUAAUUUUGGCAGUUAAUGAAAUGCUUGGAAUAAAUUAUAAAUAAAAUAUGAAGUCUGAUGGCAACGAUGUAAAAACAUAGGAAUACUACGACUUCUUAUAUCCUACUGGUCAUUUAAGUUUGAAAUUACACAUAGAUUUAUAGAAUGAUGGGUAUAUGUCUAAGAAAUAAAAAUUGUAGGGACCUAUAUUGAACAAGCCCUUUUAAUUAUUAAUAAAAGCCGAGUGGGGGCUUGGGACUGCACUGGUCCCAGUGUGCCUCAGCCCCUGCUACUACGUAUUGUUAUUCUAGUACAACAACUAUUCAAGUGGGUGCUAGAGGUAUUGGAGUGCAGUUUGGCACACAUGGAAGAGAUGGUAAACCAUUUUGCUUCUCAAUUUGCGUUGACUGAGGAGGAACAGCGAGAACUGGUGGUUGAGCGAGGUAAUGCUAGUCUGCUUCGAACUACAAAGUUCCUCCUAGUGGGAAAAGUGCUCACGAAGAAACCUUUCAACAAAGAGGCGUUUAAGCGCACUAUGGUGACGCUAUGGAGACCAAAGGCACGGGUGGAGAUUGUGACCUUGGAGGAUAAUUUGUUAAUGUUUGCUUUCUCCUUUCGACAAGACAGAGCGAGAAUUCUAGGACGGGGACUUUGGACCUUUAACCACUAUUUGCUGGUAAUGAGUGAAGCGGAUGACGUGGUAAACCCCUCCCGCACUCCUUUGCACAAACAUGAGUUUUGGAUUCAGGUUCGUGGGCUUCCAUUAGUUUACAUGAUGAGAGCUAUAUGGGAAAAGAGAUAGGGACUGCAUUGGGCGACUUUGUAGUCAUUGAUCAAAGCAAAAUAAGUGAUUGCUACGAAAGUUAUCUGCGCAUCAAAGUAGGCAUUGACAUCUCAAAGCCACUUAGGAGGUGUAUGCCAGUGCAACUCCCUGGAGGACAAACCACAACUCAGUGGGUGGACCUACGCUACGAGAAGCUUCCGCAGGGCUAGUGCUCCCAACGGUUGCUGACUGUAAUGCACAUUUGAUGGAGUCUCCUAAUUACUCGGACGUUAACUUAGCCUUAACUCAGGAUCUUCAUACGGCCACCCUUUUGGGCAAUAUUUGCUCACAUGGGAUGAUUACCCCUAAUCAAUGUUGUGAUUUUCGUGAACAUUUGGUUGGUGUAGAUGGGCCAGCUUCUGACCAACAUGGGCCCAAAGUGUUUAUUGAAUGGCCAGGGGGCUUCACGAAGGAUAUAGCUCAAGAGGAUCCUUUUGGGUUUAGUCCAAUUAUUCGAAGAAUCACAAAGGAAGCAAAACUGAAAUCAAAGAGAGCCCAUGCAGGAAGGAAUAUAUCCAGUAUUCAUGUAAGUAAGAAAAGUCUUGAUGAUGGAGGGAAUACGGGGACUCCUAAUCAAAAUGGCAAGAGGCGUGCUUCCCUGACAGGCACUACUGAGAACACACAAGGGUAGAAGAGGCGAUGCUUGCCUUUUGUCUCUUCUUUUUCAUCACUGAGAUAGGCGAGAGUUGGCGUUGCGCAGCCCCGCCGGGAGCCAUGAAUCUUCUAAGUUGGAACUGCCAAGGGCUUGGGAACCCUUGGACAGUUGAAGCAUUACAUUGUCUUGUCUGUAAUGAGGUUCCCAAAAUUGUGUUUCUUUGUGAAACACGUUGUUCUAGGAACGUUAUGGAACCAGUUCGACUCAAAUUAGGCUUUCGUCAAUGUAUUGUGGUGGAAAGUAAUGGAGCCUCCGAGGGCCUUUGUUUGCUGUGGACAGACGAGUUAGCUGUUUCUCUGAGGUCUGCUAGCAAUAACCACAUCGAUACAAAGGUGGAAUUUUUUGGGGUAUAGGGAAGAUGACGCUUCACAGGUUUCUAUGGUUGUCCCGUUAUGGCGGAACGUCACCGUUCAUGGGACCAAUUGACAAGGCCGGAAGCAACAAAUUCACUGCCCUGGUUGUGUUGUGGUGACUUCAAUAAAAUUUUAAUAGUGGAUGAGAAGAUAGGUGGCAGGACUAGAGGGGCACGACAAAUGCAAGGGUUCUAGCAGGUUGUGGAUGAGUGUGGUUUCAAGGACUUAGGGUUUUCUGGACCAAAGUAUACCUGGUGGUGGAAUAGUCCGGAGGAAAUCCAAAUUCGGCUUGACCGUACCCUAAUUACUAUCAAAUGGUUUUCUCGUUUUCCUGGCAUGAAAGUCUUGCACUUAAACCCCACGAAGUCUAAUCACUUGCCCAUCAAAAUUACAAUCAGUAAGAGGAUGUUAUCAAAUACCAGACGUCGGAAACUAUUUUAGCUUUGAAGAGAUGUGGGUAGAGCAUGAGAAUUGAAUGGAUGCUAUAAGGGAGGAAUGGCACCGGCCUGAAAGUGGCGCUGUGCCAAGGGCUGUGACUGAAAAAUUAAAAAGAACUCGGCUCUGGUUGUUGGAGUGGAGUAGAUCAACUUUGGCUCCCUUCCACAUCAAAUUAAAACCAUGUAGACAAAACUAAGUGAGCUGUUGGAAGCCCCCACAACCCCACGAAUGGUUGAGACCAGGAAGGAACUUAUUGCACAACUUGAUUUGCUUGUGGGAAAAAAUGAAAUUUAUUGGCGGCAACGUUCUCAAGCACUUUGGUUGAAAGCGGGUGAUCGUAAUACUAAAUUUUUUAACUAUAAUAAAGCUUCAAGUCGCAAAAGAAGGAAUACUAUUUCUGGACUGGAAGAUGAGGAUGGCAGAUGGCAAAUGACAAAAUCCCAGCUGGAAAAAACAGUGGGCCAUUAUUUCCAACAACUUUUUUCCUCUAAUGGGCACACAAAUUAUGAGCAUGUCUCAUAUGAGAUGAACCAGGUUCUCUUAGUUGAUUUCGCAGCAGAAGAAAUUAAACAUGCACUCUUCUAGAUGCAUUUGUCAAAAGCCCCAAGUCCAGAUGGCUUUUCUCCUUUAUUCUACCAAAAGUACUAGGAUGUGGUUGGCGUCGAUGUGGUCUCAACCAUUCUACACUUCUUUCGAACAGGUCAGUUGUUGAAACGGAUAAAUUAUACUCAUGUGGUUCUUAUCCCCAAGGUCCCUGAUCCCAAAAAUAUGACACAAUUGGGCCCGAUCAGUUUGUGUAACGUUCUCUACAAAAUUAGGGCUAAGAUCCUAGCUAAUCAGUUGAAAGUUAUCCUCCCUUCCUUGAUUAGCGACUCGCAAAGUGCAUUGUCUCUGGCGAAUGAUUUCACACAACUCCAUUGUGGCUUUUGAACUGCUCCAUUUCAUGCAUAAAAAAACACAAGGGAGGCAGGGGUAUAUGGCUUUUAAACUGGAUAUGAGUAAGGCCUAUGAUCGAGUGGAAUAGAAUUUCCUAGAGUCCUUGAUGCUGGGGAUAGGUUUUGAUUGGCGGUGGGUUCACUUAAUUAUGGCAUGCCUGACGUCAGUUUCCUACUCUUUCCUGUUGAAUGGAAACCCAGUUGGUUAUGUCAUCCUACAACGUGGCCUGAGACAAGGUGACCCUCUUUCACCCUAUUUAUUUCUCUUAUGUGCUGAGGCGUUCUCAGGUCUAAUCUUGCAUGCUGAACAAAACGGUACCAUGCGGUAGCCUCUGUCGGGGAGAUCCCAUUAUUAGCCAUCUAUUUUUUGCUGAUAACAACCUCUUAUUUUUAAAAGCAAGUCAAAAAGUUUGUGAACAGUUGAAACAAAUUCUCCAGCGCUAUGAGCAGGUGUCAGGUGAAAAAAAAACUUGGAUAAAAGUUGUGUCUCUUUUAGUAGAAAUGUGGAGCGUGGAGACCAGGAUCAUUUUGCAACCACAUUGGGAGUGGGGCAAGUUAACCAGCAUGACAGAUACUUGGGUUUGCCUACUCACAUUGGCAAAUCUUUGGGCCAAUGUUUCAACUUGCUUAAAAAUAGCGUAUGGAAGAAAAAUACAAGGCUGCAUAGCAAAGUUAUUAAGCUUUACUGGUAAAGAAAUCCUUCUAAAAGUGGUUGCACAAGCGGUGCCCAUAUACAUGAUGAGUUGCUUUAUUAUUCCUAAAGUUUUGCACGAGGAAAUCCAGCAAGUGAUGGCUAGUUAUUGGUGGGUGAACAAGAACGGAGGCGAAAUAUUCAUUGGUUAAGCUGGAAAAACAUGUGUAGACCAAAACAUGAGGGUGGUCUUGGCUUUCAGAACCUUUAUGCUUUUAAUUUGGCUUUGGUAGCCAAGCAAUUAUGGAGUUUGUUUCAUAACCCGCACUCGUUGGUGGCCCGUCUCCUCAAAGCUCGUUACUAUAAAGAUUGCUACAUCCUAGAGGCCCCGCUGGGUAACUCUCCUUCUUAUGUUUGGAAAAGUUUGUGCGAAGCUAAAGUGGUCAUUGAGAGAAGAUCUCGUUGGCGAAUUCGUGACGGUCAGAAUGUUCAAAAUUUGGGGCGACAGAUGGUUGCCCACUCCAGACUCCUUCAAAGUCUCGUCUACGCCAGUGGAGGAGCAUGAUGACCCCCGUGUCAGUUUUCUUAUUAAUCCAGUUACUUUGCAAUGGAAGACAUAUUUUCUAUAAGCUUGGUUUUCUGUGAAAGAAGCGCCAAUCAUACAGAAAAUUCCUUUGAGUUUCCGCCAGCCACCGAACACCUUGAUUUGGCAUGUUGAGAGACAUGGAUAUUACUUAUCCCCUCCAACUUGGGGGGGGAAGCCGCUCGAAUCAAUUGUGUGGCCAAUGGUAUCGUUGUACCGGUUUGGAAGGUCCACAUCUUUAUUUGGAGAGCCGUGCUAAAUAUUCUGCCCACCAAAGUCAACUUGAAAAGGCGGGGCAUAGCUGAGCUGGGAGGGUGCGUGUUUUGUGGAGAGGAGGAAACUAGCUUUUAUGUACUUGUGCAGUGCCCCAUGGUUGAAGCGGUUUGGCGUCAUGUACUGGUGCAAUGCCCCAAUAGUUUUGCAUGAUGCUUUAGUUGCAGAUUCUUUUUAAUUUCCUUGUCUUUAGAAAUUUUAUAUUGUACGGCUGUCAUGUGUGGUAUUUUUUCCUACCUCAGAGUUUUAUCCCACGUGGUUUUCCUCGGGAAGCCAACAACUAUCAAUUUAUCAAGACGAAAAUCUAUUAUUAAUUACAAAAAAAAUUAAAACCCCAUUUCACAGAAGAUCAAAUAGUCUUUGAAAUCCAUAUAAAAUGACCAAAUAAUCUUGUUUGCAUUUGACAAAUACAAAAUAAUAUAUGCAGAACUGGUACUGCUAUGCGAAAACAGUGGCAGAGCAGACAGCUUGGGAAGAGGCCAAGGAGAAAGGGGUGGAUUUGGUGGUGGUGAACCCAGUUUUGGUGCUCGGACCACUUCUCCAACCAACCGUCAACGCUAGCAUCAUCCACAUCCUCAAGUACCUCAAAGGCUCUGCCAAGACUUAUGCCAAUUCUGUGCAGGCCUAUGUGCAUGUUAGGGACGUGGCUCUGGCCCACAUUCUGGUGUAUGAAACUCCAUCUGCCUCUGGAAGGUACCUUUGUGGUGAGAGUGUGCUUCACCGUGGAGACGUGGUGGAAAUCCUAGCCACGUUCUUCCCAGAAUACCCAAUUCCCACCAGGUAAGUACAUCAUCAUCCUCAUCAAUUUUGUUUUCUUUAUUUCUUGUCUACAUAAGAUAUUUUCUGAGCUACAUGUUAACAACCGAGAUAGGGAUGAGGGCGGGGGACAAUGAUGGUAUUGUCAUACCCGGCUCUAAACCACCUGUUGCCAUUCCUAUUUUGGUAUAAGUGAAAUGGUAAAUAUGUUUGUUCAUGCAUACGUAGGCAACUCUCGAAGUGAUUGAUUUAGUGUUUGCUUAUGGUCCAUUACUUAAUGUUUUUAUAGAAUAAAAUUUUGGCUAAUCAUUGGUUUACUUAUGGAUUCUAAAUGGUGCAGGCAUAUUUUUUUUAUUUAUGGAUUUCUAUUUUCAAUAUUUUUGAAAGUACUCGUGUUUUUUUAAUGUUGUGGGAUUAACUUAAUUAGUAUGUCAUAUAUUUGCAGGUGCUCGGAUGAAGUCAAACCAAGAGUAAAACCAUACAAGUUGACAACCCAGAAGCUACAAGACUUGGGCGUGGAGUUCACUCCAGUGAAACAGUGCCUAUAUGAAACUGUCAAGAGCUUGCAGGAGAAGGGCCACCUUCCAGUGCCUAAACCACAAGAAGUUCCAUUAAAAUUCAAUCUUAAAUCUUGUCUUUAGUGCGGAAAUAAACGUCGCAAUGGUAUUUUAAUAUUAGAUGACAAGUUUGUAAUAAGAAUAUUUUAUAAAUAUUCUGUGUGGCCUACAUGAAGUGACUUAUGUAGUGAAUAAAUUAUUUAAUAAAUAUUAUUUAUAUAUUUUGGUCAAAUUAAGAGAAGUAAUUUUAGAGGCUAUGCGGAGAGAGAAGUUCUGACCUAGUAGCUCUCUCCCUGUGUAAGGAAAAACUCCAUAGAGGGGGAAGAGGAAGAAGCAUCAUUGUCCAUGCCCUCAUUUCUUGUCAUCUUUUCCUUUUGGGCUAUGUUUUCAAUCAAAAUCAUUCUCCCAAAACCCGCUCUCUAACACUACUCAUGUUCUCUAAAUUUGGCUCUACAUCGUAUUUGAUGGGGGUUGCUACAAAUUACCCAAUUAUUUGGCAUGGUUUUUUGUUUUCGUUUAUUUGUUCGCUCUUAUUUGCAAGUUAAUCACUGUAAAUCAUAUUUUUCCUAGAUCUAUUAUGGAUACGGUGUUAAGUGUGGCCGCGACGACGCUUCUUCAGGUGGUGGUGAUAGGAUUCAUUUACGCUCAUGGGUUGCUUUAGAGUUUUGUCUAUUGGGUUUGUGGGCUUGUGGGCUUAUGGUUCAUUGUGGUGAGGCUACAUUGGUGAAUUGCCUAUGAACUUGUACCUAAUUUUCAAAGGAAAGUGAACAAGAUGACUCUUGGGCAACAUUACUUAUUAUACUGAAAAUCCUCAAGACUAAAACCAUAAAAUAAAGAUGGCAUAAGACGUCUUCGGUAGCCAAAAGAUGGAUGUUCUAAGCGAGAAUGCCACAGUAGAAUGUGUCGUUGAUGAUCUUUGACAGAACCUUUGGUAAGAUGAACCCGGUCUUGACAAAUAUCAUCAACAUAAUACAAUCCCUCUCUCUUAGUAUCAUGCCCAAUGAUCUCCUUUGUGAGACUAUCCUAAAGAAGAUAGAAAAACGGGUACAUUAAUACAAAACAAUUAAGUUGCUUAGUGACUUGUCCAAUAUACAAGAGGUUAUUGGAGAGAGAAGGUACAAGUAAGCAAUGAUGUAGGGAGAGAGAAUGAGUUAAUUCCACUGUUCAUGCGCCUGUAACAGGACUUGAGUCACCAUUAGCAUUGGCCACACUGCUCAAGUGAGGUGAGGCACGAUACGUAAAGUUUCGGGAAUCAAAGGUCAUAUGAUCAGUGCACCAGAGUCAAUUAUCUAGCCAAAAUCUGAAUGUAAGCUGGAAGAGUUUAAGGUUCAACUAUUGUUACCUUGGGAGUUACUUCCAGAACUCAUACUUCCCUAAGUUGGAAAGUUCUUUAUUUACAAGAGAAUAAGUCUACUCAAUUAUCAGCGAGCUAUUCACCCCUUAUGUUUUAUAAAAACCGUAUACUGUUGACACCAUCAUUCUACUAUGGUUUGUGUCAUUAACUUUUCUCAUCUAUUCUAGCAUAGUUUAGAACCUGUUAACAAGUAUUCUGCCCUAUUUGUUCAUAUUGUUUCAUUUGGCUUCUAUUUUUCUGAAUUUUUCCGUUCUUCGUUUUCUUAAUAGUUGCAAAUUGUUCUUCUUAGUAAUAUCCUUUGUUUUGAGGGUGAUCAUGAGGAUGUACGUACUUUGACAAACAGAAUGUCGCGCAACAGCAGCAGUAUUGACGUUCGAUAUACGCUAAACAUUGUAGGAAAAAAUGUGAUGGUGCUGGUUUGGAAUUUAGAAUAUCCAGAUCAGCCGACAAUUACAGUCGUUCUUAUUGGGCAUGCACUAAAUGUGGACAGUUUAGUGAGUGAAUAAAUGGAGCUGAGAUAAAUACAAUAGGUUGAUGCAUGAUCGUGAGAAAUUAUUUUCAACAUUUAACGAUAUGUCUACCAAACUUGAAGUAAUUGUUGAAGAUGUUCCAAGAUGCUUGAAGAUAAACAAGAGUCCUCAAUGUAAUCUGAGUCCUCAAUGUAAUCUUUGUACUAUUUUCUCCAUUGUAAUGGCAAUUUUGUGUUAACAUUUGUCCUUGUAAUUUCUCAACAAAAAAAAAAAAAGAAAAAAAAAGAAAAAAGAAAAAAGAAAAAAUGCUUGCCUUGCUCAAUUGAUUUGAACAAUAUUAUGUAUGUAUGGCUUCAUAUCUCGUGUCUAUGUUUUUCCUCUAUCCUUCAAUGUCCUCUUUGUUCUACCGCGGAAAAUUCAUCCGCGGCGGCCUGGUGUUCGCUGCGGAAUUUUCUUGUUGUUUGCGUAGGUGUGACACUGUUGACAGCAAAAGCUCCAACAGAAAGUAAUUGAAAAAAAAUGUAAAUUUGCACUCCAAUAAUCAACUAUAAUCAAUCGAUAGUGAUUGAUGGGGAUUGGGGUCCAGACAUAGGUCACCAACAACCACACAAGCACCGAAAUAUAGGGCUAGUACAAACUCACAUAUAUUGUAGCAAAUCCAUGCCACAAAUAAACUAUUUCAAUAAUCAUCAACAAAGCCCUCCACAACUAUUAAAUUAGCCUUAUUUAUAGGCUUUACAAGACUUGGGCACCAAGGCUACUUGGUCCAAAAGUAAACUAAUUAAUUAUAAAAUCACACAUAAAUAUAUAUAUAUAUAUAUCAUAAAACUAACUAAAUAAGAAAAUAACAAUAUAUAUCAUGAAAUAACUAAUUAAAUGUUAAAUAUCUAUCUUGAUCCACCCCUAUACUCCUGCAUCAGUGAGUUGGGUGGGGAACUAGCCCAAUAUAGGUUCUUUUAUUUGCCUCAAUGAAGAAGAUUUCAAUAUUUUUCUAGUGCGAACAUAAGAACAAGCAGAAAAUAAAAAAACAGAAUUAAGAACUGAAGAUUUCUUGAUUUAGUUCAUUAUCAAUGCAAACUCAAAGUAAAUGACAGAUACUUAUCCUAAGCUGAGGAUUUCUCUACUCAGGUCAUUAUAGCUAUAGACUUGAAAAGUAAAUGACAGUAAUGAAAAUGAUGAAUGUUCAUAUGAAGAUUUCUCUAUUCAUAUAAAUAUUGGAAUAAAAGUAAACAACAUAGCCUGAAAAUUUCUCUAUUCAGACUUGGUACAGAUUUCUCUACUCAAUACCAAGUGUUGGUAGAACAUAAAAAUAAAAAUAUAACAAUCAGGAGUUGUCAAAUGAUCAUCUUGAAGGAAAGGUAAGUUGUUUCAAGCUUAAGGUUUUCAAGUGUUGAAGAUGUUGAGUGUGUUUGAGAGAGUUGUGUCUGUUGAUUGUUGAUGACUUCUCCUUUUAUUUAUAGAGAAAAUGAAGUGGGUUGAGUCCUGGGCCCAACAGUCAAUGAGAAGUACCCACAUGCCAUUGAUUUUGGUGAGUGGGUUGCUGAAAAAGCAAUUAGAAGUGUUGCUUUGGUGUUGUUCCCUAGGUGAAGCUCCCAGGUAAUUCAAAAUAUCUUCCAAGCAAAACUUGUUUCCCUCCAUCAGCAAGCUUAUUUUAUUAUUUAUUUUUUUAAAUAAGCUCAGGCCUUCAUGCUAACUCAUGCACCUCCAUUAACUUAACAAAAGUUGGCCAGCAUGCCCCUUAGCUUCUUCUUUGAUCCUACUUUGAUGUGUGACGAUUCGAGCAUGGUAUAUUUAUCCAAAUGCUACCAAAUUUUAGUAUGUUGUUCUAUACAUAUAGAGGAACAACAUUUGUCAAAUCCAUUUGAGACUGGAAAGUACGAUUUGGCAUGGCUCAAACUGACUGGUCGUCAUAGACAGUUCCUUCGAGUAGACUUCAUUGUUUAAUUCGCUGAGUAUUCUAAUCUUAUCCAAAUGAUGCUACUUUUGGAUAAAAUAUAGUAGGCAAGCAUUUGAACCACUUUCAUGAAGAACGAAAAUUCAUUUGAGCAUUGAAAAUUGCUCAUCGGACUGGAACUUCGGCAUAUUGGGCUGGAAAACAUGUUUCAGUAUUUCAUGCCCUGAAAAGUCCUUACAUAUCCAAACCCUGUAAAUUUAGGAUAUAUUAUAGGAAACAUCCAAAUGAAGAACUUUUAUGAAGAAAGAACUUCAUUUGAGCAUUGGAAGUUGUUCAUUGGGCAGGAUUCAUCUGACUGCUGCUACUGUCAUAAACACUUCCUUCUGAUAUGCCUUCAAUGUGUUUGAUAGUUUGAAAGGCUACGCUUAUCCAGAUGCUUCCCAAUUUGUAUAUGUCUUAGUAGAAAUCCAAAUGGACAAAUUUCAUGAAGGGGAGGCUGGCACUGAAUGAGAUUUUCUUGCCCAAACAAGGAGGACUUGCCACUGCUGGUGUAAACAUUUUGAUGCACCUGUCAUGAACACUUUGCUUGAACAUUGGAAGUUGUUCAUUUGACUCACUCCCAAUGACUAGCCAUGAAUGUAUAGUCAUGUUUUAGCUAUACUGAUGAACUAUAAUUUCCAAUUUUGGUUCAAACAGUCCCUUUGCUGGUCUGUAAUAUUAAUACAAUCCUAAUUUCGUUUAAUUAUUCUUGAUCUGGAUGGUUUUGGCCUAUGAUAUAUGAAUAUGAGAAUAGGGCCUAUAAUAUAAUAUAUUAGUUGGGAACGACUUUGAUCAUGGUAUGUUUGCUGAGUUUGAUCAUGGCAUGUUGGCAUUAUCCUUUAUUUCUAUACAAUGUUCUUUAGAAAGGCUCUAGAUAAAAAUAAAAUAAAUUUCCGAACAUAAAAUUAGGGAAAAGAAAAACUCUCACUUGAAAGCAAAGAUUCAUAGACAGACGAAAAGGGUAUUUUCCCAAACAUAAAGUAAGUCAUGAUCGGACCAGAGGGCCUACAUUAGAAAUUGCAUUAGAAACUGCAAGGCAUGAGACAUUAUAUUGUUGAAAAGAUUUACACAUAUUUCAUCUCUCAGGAUAUUGAUCAUCUUCAGUUUGAUAGUUUGUUUUCAAAACCAUCUUAAAAUGAACAUGUAUAUUAUGUUUUUACAAAGUAUAAUAUCAUGGAUAUUAUGUUUUUAUUACAUGUUAUGAAAAAGAAUAUAGUUUCGGAUGUUUUGUUUUUAUUACACGAGUAUAGUUUCAUACCUCUGUGUCUCCAGAUUAAAUACAUAAACAUCUCCAAAGCAGUUGAUAUGGCUGCCAACAACUGCCCAUCAGAGAUAAGCUGGUGAACAUUUUGUUAUGGGAGGUUCACUAGGUGGUAAUUCUUGAUCCUGCAAAUCACAGCAAGGGGUGAACCUGUGCACUAGUUCUCCUUAGUAUCCCGUUUGAUAACCAUUUCAAUUUUAGUUUUUAGUUUUUAUUUUUAUGUGCUAGAGUAUAGAGGGAAAAGAGGGAAAAUAGAAGUGAGAAUGAGAGUGAAGAUGGGAUUGAGGCAGAGCUGGUCCUGACUAAUCUAAGGCCUAAGACAAAAGUCUAGAGUGUGCCCUUCAUAGAAAAAUUAAUCACUGAGAUUAUAAUGUUUGGAAGAAUAAGACAUUCAUGGUGCCAUUAGCACGCUGCUCCUUCUUGGGAAGGAUGAGUGUUUACUUCUGUAUUUAUUUUAAGUUUGCAAUUAUUAAGUGUUUUUCUGGUAAGCACAUGAGGGCUAUAAAAAAAGUUGUGUGCCGCUCUCAAAUUUGGGCCCUGUGCCGUUGCCUGUUCGCCCUUGUCAAAGGCUUGCUCUUAUUGAGAGGGAAGAUAAGAGGGGAUGAGGAAAGAAGGAAUAACAAAAGUGAACGCAGAAACUAAAAACUGAAAUCUAUUUGAAAUUGUUUUCACUUUUGUUACUCUUCCCUCUCAUCCUCUCUCUCAAUCUCAUCCUCACUCUCUUUCUCACUCUCAUUUUCCUCUAUAAUCUACCAUAAAAAUGAAAAUUAAAAACUAAAAUUGAAAUGAUUAUCAAACGGGCCCUAAGAUAAGUCAAGAAACAGAAGCCAUAUAACACCUCAAUCAAGCUCUAAGUCUCAAAAAUCAAUCAGUCUGAGUGAGAAAGUAUGUGUAUCUACAAAAUUAUUGCCAAAUUCAGGGCUGAAAAAAUGCAUGUGGAACCUUCUAAAAUUCACACUGGUCACCAAGCAAAUGAGCCCUUUAUAGUCAAACCCCGAAAAGUUGUUCUUUUAUUAAGGAGUAUCAAAAAAUGUUAGGGGGGAUGAACUAAAAUAAUGAAACAAUAGAUAAAAGAGAGCAACAAAAAGAGGACUGCUAUCAUUAAGCGAGAAGAAUCAAAACUAAAAACCAUGGAAUGGGCAAAUGGUAGUUUCUGAGGAAGUUGUCCCAAAACUGAACACUGUCAGUACUGUCUGCGCUUACAAGGUUCCCACACCUGGAGAAAAGAAACAAGUUGAUUUUCAGAAAAGGCAGUUCAGGAGCUAAACACCAAUGGACGCAGACCAACUGAAAAAUAAAUUUCAAAAGCUACAGAAAAUAAUAACGUCACAGCUCCUUAACCUCCGAGUCCAACUGUAAUCCUGUACAUUUCAUGCUCCAGUUUAGCAUCCCAGCAUCUUAUAAUCCUGCCCAAUGAAAAAGAAAAAACUAAGAAAGCAACAUGAUGAAAUAAAGGAAGAUCGAGAUGACCAAAACGCCAUAGCCAUGGACAAAAUAGGGCAGUGCCAGUGGCGUCACUUACCUGACCUUGUUAUUCACCGAAUCAUCCGACUCCUUCCAACUAGAGCUGCUGUGCACAUGAGUUUUCUUUCCAAUGGGUAGAUGUGCGGUCUUUGGUCCCCGUAUUAGAUUUUGACGCGGGCGUGCAAGACAGCCUUGAUGAUCACCCCAGUUCAAAGUUCAUCAACUUGGUGGAAAGGUGUUUGGAAUUUCAUAAGGAAGACAAGGUCGACUUAGAUAAACUCACGCUUCACAUGAGGUACACUAAAGACUAUGAAACUCGAGUCAAUAAAUGGUGGGAUUUUGCAGUUGAGAGAAGCGUCAAAGAGUUCAAUAUGAACCUCACUAAUUAAAGUUUUGUUAGACUACUACUCCUAUGCCUUGGAGACCCUUUUUUUUCUAAUGCAAAAUCUGUAACUAGCUUAAAUUUGGAGUAUGUGACAUUAACAAGUACCAGCUGGCUAUGGUGUUAAAGUUGAAGUUAUGAACCUUGAAUCUUUUACAUACCGUAGAGAAAAUCGGUGCCAGAAGAGUAUUAUCUCGUGUGAAUCCCGCAACCUGAAAUAUAUCUAUGCUGAGCUCCUCCUAAGUAACUUCAUUAAUGUGUGGAUACCAAUACGGUGUGAAGGCCAAAAUCAAUGCACCAGAUCGAAUUUCCUUAUCUUUUAAAAUUUGAUUGCUGGCCUACAUUCAGACUUCUGGACAAGAAGCAUUUCCCUACUCUUAAGAGAUUAUCUUCUAAAAUUUGAAUGCUCCGAACAAAUAGCCUAUUUAUUUAUGAUGCCGACGUACAUACCAUACUUAUUGCUUGAUAUAUUUUGAUCCCCUUUCUCAGUUUCUGCCAUCAAUGCUUACCAGUUUCACCUUUCUUUUUUCUUGUGCAUGGACGACAAUGUAGGUUUUCAUCUUUCCAGAAACUUUGAGAAAAGGACUGGCACUGGGUCGUGUCGUGUCGGGUUCGUGUCAUGUCGGAAUAAUAAACGUGCCAAGAAUGCUCAACCCGAACCCAACCUAUUUAAUAAACGUGUUGUGUCGGGUUCGGGUCGUCUUUUAUCGUGCGGGUUUCGAGUCGUGUAACGGGUUUAUAAAUAAUAACAUGCAUAUUACAAAACUCACAACCGAAAAAAUUUUAAUUAAAAAAAACAGAGAGUAGAGAAAAUAUAAGGAAAAGAAAGAAAAAAAAAGAUUGAGAGAUGAGAGAAGAGAGAAGGAAAAGAAAGGAAAAAAAAUAGAGAGAGAGAGAGAGAGAGGAGAGAAGAUUGAAGGAAAGAAAGAAAGAAAAAAGAGAGAUGAGAGAAAACUAAAGAGAAAGAAAAGAAAGAAGAAAAAAAAAAGGAGAGAAGAGGAAAGGAAAAGAGAGAAGAAAAAAAAAAGGGAGAAAGAAGAAAGAAGGAAAAAAAAAAGAGGAGAAGAGAGACGGAAAAGAAAGGAAAACACAAAAGAAAAAAAAUAUUAUAAAUAUCAAAAGGCAUACCAUAAAAUCACAAAGUUGUUUGUAGCAUGGUGGAUAAGGUGUUUGAGAGAAAUGAGGAUGGUAGGAGUUUGAAACCCUUUGUUUGUGUGUUGAAGUCUCUAUUUGUCUUUAUUUUUAGCGGGUUAGCAGGUUGUACACGGGUUGACACGACCCGUUUAAUAAACAGGUUAGAUAGGUAUUAUAGCGGGUUAGCGGGUUUAUCCGAAACCCACCCGUUUAUUAAACGGGUCAGAACGGGUUGACCCGAAAUUGACUUGUUUUUUUAUCGUGCGGGUUGAACCCGCUAAUUUCUCGUGCGGAUUUCGAGUCGUGUAUCGGGUAGUAUCCGAAAUUGCCACCCCUUUGAAAGGCCCUCCCUCCACCAUUGCCUAGACUCAGACAUCUUCAGGUCUUCAUGCUCACUUCUCCAACAGAGGCUACAGGUUCUGCAUUGUGGAACUCUUUGCUUUGGAUGGCACCUUCUGCUUAUCAAUGGUCCUGGUGCUGCCACAUAUCAGAAUAUUAAAGAGUAAAGCUGUUGAGAUAUUGUUAGUCUUGUUAGGCAGUUUAGGAAAACUGUUAGUAUUGAUAAGAGAAGGUUAAUGGUGAGAAUAAAGAGCAUACACAGUCACACAACCAUGGGUUAAAGAGCAAAGGAGAGUUUUCUUAUUUGGACUGGUUUUAAGCAAAUUGGUCGAAGAAAAUUGAAUAUAUAUUGUGCAUUAAUUAUAUUCAUAUAUAUAUAGUUUUCAUAAGCUUAAAUUCAUAUUAAUAGGGGUAAACAUGGAAUAAAAUAGUUAAUCAUUUCAAUGGAUUAAAGGAGUGACACAUAGCACACAAAAAAGGGAGAAGGUAGUAGAAAGUAGAAGUGAAGAGCCUAAGAGGGAAGGUAGAUAGCAUUUCUCACUAAAUAAAUCCAAAAACUCGGUUACAUUUUCAGUAAAUUCAAAAAAUACCCUUACUAAAUAAACAAACAUCAAGGACACCAGACAAACAUUUAGGGUCAAUCAAAGAAAGAGGAUGUCAGCUGCAUUAGAGAGUGAGUCAGACAAAACAUUGAGGGAUGGAAACAAUUCUAUCUGUCAAUGGCGAGCAAAGAGGUGCUAGUGAAAGCAGUGGCUACUGCAAUUCCAGCUUAUCACCUUAUCCUAUGUCAUGUAUCAAGCUCCCAGCUGCCACCUGCAAAGAAAUCAACAGCAAUUUAAGAUCCAUUGGAAAGCUUGGGGUAAGCUGUGCCUUCCCAAAGAUCAAGGACUGAAAAUUUGCACAUUUUUAUAAUAAGCCAAAGUGCUUCCUAGAGAAAUAGUCUUUGUGUGCAUGCUUUUAGGGGAAAGCAGUUUGUCGCUCCUAUUUGUAGUUAUCCCAAGCCUAAUUAAAAAGGCCACCGAAAGUGUGAGGAUUGAGGUUGAUGAAAAUCCAGGGUUAGUAUCAAAAACUGAUAAUGAGAAAAAGAAUAAGAAGAAAUAAUUUAUAUUUGUGUUGAAUAAGGUGUAUAUCUAUAUGUAGGCUCUCCUAGCUUGCACUGUGCUCUGUUAGGACCAAUUUUUGGUAUAUUGGCAAUUUUUUGUUACAAAAAUAUAGAGUAGGUCUUUGGGUGUAACCUACAGUUUUUAAGUGACGUUCUGCUAUCCUGGAUCAAUGUGGCUCAGAGACAAUGCCAAGGUAUGUUUUGCAUCCAUGCAUUCAUAUUUGCAUAUUUGCAAGUUCAUCAAAAGUAGCUGUCAGAUGUAUAGGACUGAUAUAUGAUUUCAUUCUUACAUAAUCUAGUGCCUGACAUCAGUGAGUUUUUAACGAUGAUUUUAUACUCUUUAGUUUGGUGUUUAUUUAAGCAAAAUGGUUCUUUUGUCUUUUCAGUUGGGUUUUUAGUUAAGUGGCUUUAUUUGUUUUAAAGAAAUACUUUAUUUGUUAAAAAGCCCAUAUUUUCUAAAAGCCUUUUUUGGUAUCUGGCCUCGUUUUAAGCAUGAAAAAAAUAAGAAUGGACUUGUGCUGCUUUUUACCCUGCGGCUUUUGGAAAAAUGGAACGACAAAAUAUUAUUGCAGAGAGUUUUUGAGAGUUUAUAUUGAAAACUCAUGUGGUUGUUCCUUGUUAGCCUCCAUGAGUGAUUAAAUCAUCAUCUUUUUAUAUAUGUGUGAGCUCAUUAGCAUUAUGCAUGUUGGUGAUCAACAAUCGUGCCUUGAGGUGCGAGCUAUCAAACAACAUGAUGCGUAACUUGUAACACCCCGACUCCAAAUUUUAUUUCUAUUUUAAAUUAUUUAAGUGAAUUUACGAAUUUACCCUUAGGGUAGGGGUAAAUUGGUCAUUUUCUUGCCCGGAAAGUGUUUGAGGCAGUGACUGGUAUUUUUAGGUAGGUGGUACUGAGACGAAUUCGUAGACACGCGGUAGGCUUAAUUCAGAGUUGUAACGAAGAAGUUACGAUCAAAACAUCGACAAUGGCAAAACCGUAAAUAUUUCAAAAUUUGAGUUUAAAAUAUCUGACUUCUCUCUCUCUCUCUCUCUCUCUCUCUCUCUCUCUCUCUCUCGUGGCUGAACCCCCCUCCCCGCUUUGAUUUUUCGCCGGAAUUUCAGACGGCGAGAACUUUGCCAUCCGACCUCCAUUUGAGGUGCGGUUUCUUGCAAAAGCUUCCUCUCUUCCUCCUCUACCCAGCCCACCCCUUUUCUCCGAUCGAAAACCUGGCGAACGACGGUGGCAACGCCGUGAAAAAUCAGCCGAAACUACCGACGUCACCGGCGACGUUUCCGACCAUCGCGAGCUGUGCCGUCACUUGGAACAGGUAGCUCUCCUCCCCUUCUAGCUAUUUCCUAGGUUGUACGACGACAAUGGCGACGGUGGUCGCCGGAUCGAGGCCGUGAAGUUCCGGGUUAAACCGUGAGUUUUCGACGCCGAUUCCGGCCACUUGCCGUCCGAAUUGGACUUGGGUGUAGUUGAAUAAAGUGAUCCACUCGUCGUGUAGAACCUGUAGCCGGGAGGGUGGCUUGUAGUUUGGAGAUUUUCUGAUGAAGCUUUAUCGCUUUGGACACCCGCGCUUGUGGCGGCGCAUGCGCACUGUAGUAGAGGGGAAUAUUUGUCCCAAUGCGAUCUCCUGGUUGUCACGAGUGCUAGGAUUUUGCGGAUCUCAAUUCGGACAUCGUUUGACUAUCGAACGGAUUUUCGUAUAUUGUGCGUUAUCCGAGUUCGAUAGGUUCUGACCGUUGGAUCGUUUUCCGGAUUGUUCUAGGUAUUCCUAGGAUCGUAUAGGAAUUUGCGGAUUGUGAAUCGGAGCCCCGGAUGUUCCGAUUUAAUAACUUAAAAUUUGCGUUUUAUAAUAACCGUCCAAUCGUCCGAUUGUAAGCGAUCUAACCGUCCCUUUCGGACCAAAUUUGAGAGAUGGGUAUCUUAGACCUUGUGAAACCUUUAGGAACUUUCGGAUUGUAAAACGGAGGUUGUGGGUCCCGUGGGCCCGUUGACCCAAAUUGGGAAGUUUGACCGCCAGUUGACCGAGUGUCUCCUGAAGUUGUUCCAUCGUCCAAAUUGAGUAGUUGGACCUUAGAACGUCUCAUUCCUCAUACACUUACUAGAAACCUGGGAAAUUAGGAUAUUUAAUUCAAAGUACUCGUUCGAAACGUUUCGUAUUAAUCUCAUAUACGUAUUCUGAAUUAGGUACUCCGAUCACGCAUACGCAGCAGGCGGGACCCUCUCAGGGUCAAACAGCGUGGGACUACUUGUGAGUGGACUUUGUUUUCAAAUCUUAUGCAUGGUUUUAUUGAUGAAAGAUUUAUGCAUAAUGUUUUUAAUGAUUUAUUGAAUAUAUUAUAUUCAUGAGUUGAACUUGAUGUUUAUAUAGCGCUUUGGCAUAGUUGGGUAUUGAAAGUAUAUUUUAUAUGGAUUUUGGGAAAUGUUAUGCAUGAUGUUUUAAAUGGUAUUUUGGAUAUAUUAUUUAUGAAAUUGUUGAAAGUGAUAUUUUUAUGAGGCAUUGAAAAUAUAUUUUGGGAUUUGACAUAUUUGAGUAUCUUGAGUAUGAAUAUAUGGAUUUUGAGGAUUUCUAUAUAUAUUUGGCUAUGUGUGAGGUACUUUGGUUGUUGAGAUGAGAUUGUGAAAAGUGGUGAGUAUAGAAUGUCAGUUUGGAGUGCUAUAAGCACUACCCUAUAUACCUCCCCGGAUUUGGAACUUGGAUACGGAGACUUAAGAUACUUGGAAUUGUCGGAACCCGGGGCAUCCUUGACGGGAUGUUGCUGUAGACCCUUGAUUGGAUAGUCUGCGCGCAUAGUAUUGAUCACAGACGUACAGGUUUUGAGGUUAUCGACGGUACGUGCUGGCUGAGAGUUGGUCCCCCAGUUGGACGGCUAGUUCCCUAGUCACAUGGUGGAUUGAUGACUCUUCAUGAGGACUCUGCCAGGGUGACUAGUCAAACAAUCCCCCGGUUGGAUUGUUUCCCCGGUACAACUAGGUGAUGGUCAUAUUUAUAUUAUAUAUAUCUAUCUCUUAUAUUAUAUAUUUAUAUAUAUAAUUCAUUCAUUCUUGUUUUUCGGUGAGGAUACUUCCUUGUUGGUCGUGCCAAUGGGUACGCUUUAGAGAGUUUGGUUGUGAGAUUUAUAAUUUUUGGAUGGUAGGUUUUGUAAAGCGUUCUUUAUGGAUUUCAGACUUGGCAUCUGGUAUUGAUUUGUUUUGAUAUAUAUAUUAUAUAUAUAUAUAUAUAUAUAUAUACUUGAGAAUGAUGGUUUUGAGAUGCAUAAGAUUUCUUGCAUGGUUUUUUAAACGGUGGGGUUAUAUUAUGUUGGUUUACACUGAACUGAAUUUAUUUUUGUCCACUCACAAUUUUCUGUUUUGCGCCCCCUAGCCAGUAGUUGACUGAGCUCCGCAACAGAGCCGGAUCGUGCGCUUUCGAGCCUUGAGCCUGCGUAGGACUCUUUCUUCAUGUUUUUCCCUUUAAACUCUGUUUUGUUGAAAUUGAAGUUCUUAGACAUGCUCUGUUAUCGCCCCUGUUAGGGUUUGAUUUGUGAGGCCGGAGGCCAUUUUGUUGUCAACUGUUUAUUCGUUUUAAAGCAUGCUGUUGGUUGGGAUUAUUCUGUAUUUUUAUGCAGGUUGAAUUUUGUUGGGUUUGUUCAUUCACAGGGGGGACUCUGCCAAAAUUUUGGUAGAGAGUCUUGGAUUUUAGUAAGUGGGCCCGGCAUUGGGGUGAUGUCGGAACAAAAACGAGGUUUGCUCCGGUCUCCGGAGAAAUUCCGGGGCGGGUCCUGUCAGCUAAUUAAUUGUCACAUCCCAGGAUCAACUCCGCCGUAGCACGAUAUUGUCUACUGUGGGCCCCCUCUCUGCCCUCACGGUUCUGUUUCUGGGAACUCACGAGCAACUUCCCAGUGGGUCACCCAUCCUGGGAUUGCUCUAGCCCCCAACUCGCUUAACUUCGGAGUUCCUACGACUCCGAAGCUAGUUGAAAGGACCCGCCCCGAAUUUUUUAUAACCCGAGGCGACCCCUUUGGAAUUCCCGACAUCCUCCCGAUGCCAGGCCCAAUUACUAAAGACCGAGACUUCCUGCCGAAAUUUCGGCAGAGUCUCCCCUAUAAUUUAGACAUUUCUCAAUAUUUCAACCUGCAUAAAAACACAUUUAAUAUUCACAACUGGCAGCAUGCACAAUAUAAUUUCAUGCAACUUCACAUAAAUGGCCUUCGGCCUUCCAAUAAUUCUCAACCAACUACCACACUAUUCAAAUACAAAUUAUGACUAACAUUUAGUCUGCGGCUGCACCUAAUAACCUUAGGCUGCCUACGUACCCUCCUUGAGGGAUCAAGCCACACGUAGUUCUUCCCUAAAACCCAAUUCCAUACUUGGGCGAUACCUUAUUUCAUUUCUCUGGAUUUCAUAUAAUUUCCCCAUACGCCGGUACAACCAACGCCGCGUAUGGGGCCUGUCAACACGCCGGAUAACCUACGCCACGUGCGACCAUGCCAUACUAUCAUAAUAUCUCCCCAUACGCCGGUACAACCAACGCCACGUAUGGGGUCUGUCUCAACGCCGGAUAACCUACGCCACGUGAGACCUGCACAUUAUAUCACAUAUCUCCCCAUAUGCCGGUACAACCAACGCCACGUAUGGGGCUUGUCCCAACGCCGGAUAACCUACGCCACGCGGGACCUCAACAUCAUAUCACAAAUCUCCCCAUACGCCGGUACAACCAACGCCACGUAUGGGGUCUGUCGACACGCCGGAUAACCUACGCCACGUGCGACUCAACACAAUAUCACAAUAUCUCCCCAUACGCCGGUACAACCAACGCCACGUAUGGGGCCUGUCCACACGCCGGAUAACCUACGCCACGUGGAACCUAACUUUCACUUGGUGGUGCUUGUAGUGAAUCCAAAAUCCGGGAAGGUACCUAAGGUAGUGCGUGUAGCACUCCAAACUGACAGUCUAGACUCUUUUGUACCCUUGUACAAACAUAUUAUAAUUAUAAUUAUAUAUAUUAAUUUUAAUAUUGUGUAACCCUCCACAAUAGUCUAACACCCGAUAAUCUCCCCUGGAAAGGUGAGAUUAUUCUGGGAGACUCACGGUCAACCAAGGGUCAAACUACUCUAACCCUGGUCAAACGGACCUGCGGAACCCACGACGUCCAAUUUCCGAUCCAAAAGUCCCAAUGGGUUCUACCAGGUACAGGACACUUGUCCUGCAAGUUUGGUUCAGAUCGGACGGUCGGAUCGCUCACGAUCGCACGAUCUGACAGUUAGUAUAAAAUAUAAACUUUAAAAUUAUUAUUCGGAACAUCCGGGGGUCCAAUUCACGAUCUGUGAAUUCCUACUCGAUCCUAGAAUUACCUAGAUUAACAUAUAUUAAAUUUGGGUCCAUCCAACGGUCCCAACCUAUCGAACCCGGAUAACGCGCAAUAUGCGAAUAUCCGUUCGAUAGUCAAACGACGUCCGAAUUGAGAUCCGCGAAAUCCUACGCACUCGUGACAACCUAAGGAUCUCAUCGGAACACAGUGCUACUUUUUCUACAGUGCCCACGCGACGCCGCAUGCGCCGGCAGCGCGUGGAUUCCAAAGCGAUAACGCUUCGCCGGAAAAUCUCAAAACCACGGCUCCAAACUCCUACCCUAGGUAUAACACCCUAUUUGGAGCCACUUUUGUUCUUGGACCUACCCCAAAAACUGACCGGAAGUGGCCGAUCACGGCGGCCGAAGUUCGGCCAAUUUUCAAUUCGAAAAUCGAGUUGGCUACGCUAAGAAUCGAUCUAAUCCUAUCCAACCAUCAGCUAGAGCAGCUCGAGAGGUUCAAAAUUCAUACAUGGGUCGACGGAAUUGGUGGCCGGAGGAGGGAGAUCGGCGGCUUCGAAGUUUGGACGACGUCGGCCGCUUCAUCUCCAGAUUCCGGCGAAUCCGCGGCGGCUGGCGGCAGGAGGUGGCUGGGGUAGGAAGAGGACGACGCCUCGGUCAUUUUGGUACCGGUCCCGUCCACAGCCGUGGCCGGUGGCCGGAGUUACGAGGAGAGAGAGGGGAGAGACCGACGGGAGAGAGAGAGAGAGGUCGCAGGAGAGAGAGAGAGAGAGAGAGAGAGAGAGAACCAGAUUUUUAUAAAAAUCCCAUUUUGAAAUAUUUAUGAUUGUGCCACUGGGUUUCUUUUGACCAUAUCUCUCUCGUUACAACUCCAAUUCGAGCCCACUACGUAUCUAUGAACUCGUCUCAAUACGACCUAUCCAAAAAUACUAGUCACUGCCCCCAACUCUCUCCGAUUAAAAAUAUGACUAAAAUACCCUUAAAUAAUUAAAUAAUUAAAUAAGGGUUAAAUUCGGGGUCGGGUUGUUACACUAGUGAGCUCCCAAAAGGCCUUGUGCUAGAUGGAUGCGGGUGUGCACAUAUAAGGCACACACCCCCUCUCCGUUGGUUGACGUGGGAUCUUACAAUCCAUCCCCCUAAAGGGCCCGACGUCCUCGUCGACACACUCGCACCACACGGCAGAGUGGCUCUGAUACCAGAUUAUCACAUCCCAGGAUCAACGCCGCCGUAGCACGAUAUUGUCCGCUUUGGGCCCCCCUCUCUGCCCUCAUGGUUUUGUUUCUGGGAACUCACGAGCAACUUUCCAGUGGGUCACCCAUCCUGGGAUUGCUCUAGCCCCCAACUCACUUAACUUCGAAGUUCCUACGACUCCGAAGCCAGUGAGCUCCCAAAAGGCCUCGUGCUAGAUGGAUGUGGGUGUGCACACAUAAGGCACAUCACCCCCUCUCCGUUGGUUGAUGUGGGAUCUUACAUAACUAUCUUUCAAUUUUUUCUCAAGUGAAGAUUAAUUUUAUUUGUUUUCUUAUGUGGUAGCAUUGAUUACCUGGUUUUUAUUUUUUUUUUAUUUUUUUUAUUUUCUUUUGCGUUGCAUAGAUGAGAUGGUUGAAAAGUGUAACAACAGUUGACACCAAGGAAUGAGUUCCGGUGUUUUUGGAUGCUAUCGAAGUGAAGCUUCCUCUUGGGGCAUUAAGGUGUGCAAAAUUUUGGAAAGAGCAACCGAAGUUGGGAUGAGAGCACAAACAAAAUCUACGGUCUUCAGUCAAGGUUUGAGAAUUGAAAUUGGAAACUUUGAUUCAAUCAAAAGGGACAUACAAUUCAUUUGAAGUGUACCAUGUAGAGCUUAUAAAAUUGUUACAAUUUAUUUUUCAUUGAGGUCAUGUUGUCUAUUCUUAGAAUUUAAUUUCGAACUUCUGAUUCAAUCAAAAGGGACUUACAAUUCAUUUGAAGUGUACCAUGUAGUGCUUAGAAAAAUGUUGUCCAUGUCCAAACCUGGAAUCAACUUAGAAUGAUGAAGUAUGAAGUGUUCAGCAAGGAUUGAAUGGUGAGGACCUUUGGUAAGGAUGCCUUCAACAACUAGAUCAACUUGCAGAGGGAAACGAGACAAGCAUUCGUCAUGCUACGGGUACCGGUGUUGUAAGGGUAAGGGUCAAAAGUCAACAAGUGUGAGGUAAGUAGUAAUUCUGGCACAAUCAGAGUAAGGGUCAAAAGUAGUUACCUUUCCACCUUAGCACUAUUCCCCUUUUAUAGAAAAAGGGAAGUGGAUGUUUGCCCAAAGUUUCGAUGUGGAACUUUGGGAAAUCAUUGUGGUAGUGACACGUGUCCCAAGAUCUAGGUUUUGUAGGCUUCAUCUUUGGCAAUCUGUUGCCCUAUCGGAGAAAGAUUUAUAUUCGGUACCUUUAGUUGUGAUGACGUCAUCAAUACUCUAAGUUAGAGGUUUUCUUGGGGUGUCUCCUCUUUGGAAGUUUGUGGGUCUAUCACUAUACGAGUCCCCCAAUGACGAAUGCACUUGGUUGAUUAUGAUACAAACAGUAGUCCCCCAAGUUGCCGAUCGAGAAGUGGCUUCUGGGUUGUGAACUUAUAAAAUGUCAAAUAAUCAUACCGAGGGGUUCGGCAUGCCCCCAAGUUUGCAAUCUAGAAGUUAUUUUGGCAUGAAGGUAACCGAAGGUGAAUUAAAACAUAGAGCGCCAGUCGCGCGAUAGAGUUUUCUACACGAUCGGCAUGCUUCUUCCCGAUCAGUAGGGAGACUAUGCGCUUGUCACGCUAGAGUCUCCUACACGAUCGUCACACAUCUUGUCAAUCAAUUGGGAGACUGCGAGCAUGUCGUACAAGAGAGUCUCCUACACGAUUGACAUGCGUCUUGCCAAUUGGUAAAUAGACUAUGCACAAGUCGUCCUAAUUUUGAGAAAGUUCAAAGGUUGGUAAUCAAAUGCAUGCCACGUGGCAGUAAUAGUUUGAGUAAUCAGAUGGUAAUGAAGGUCGUUAGUGUUGGAAAUGAGGCUUCAUUAUGGGUAGUUGAGUUGCAAUGAUGUGCAUUGGCUCAUGAAUCGAGGCGUCGAUAUGCCACAAGGGUAUAAUGUCCUUGCCUAGGGUAGAAGAUAGAACACUUAGCAUUGGAGAGAAGUUUGAGAGGGUUGUUGUACCGAAUUUGAGGGUGUCGAAGAUGAGGGUACCGAUUCUGAGUUCCUUAUAGAAGAUCCUAUAGAAGACAAUAGGAUAAUUGUCUAUGAUGGAGGAAUAAGUCAACAAUUGGUAGACUCAGGUGAAGCCAGGCACGAAUCAAUGCAAGUUGAGUUUGCCAACUUAGAGGAAAUAGUCGAACGUGUACUUGCACUUCCCUAAACUCCUAAAGUGGUGUCAAGUAAUUUGGCGGCAGCUUCCACCUCUGGUGAUGCAUUGAUAGCAUUAACUUCAGCAGUAUUGAGAUACUGGUUGGUUGGGGUGCCCCUAUCUAAGAAAAAAUAUGAUGACCGAAGCAGAAAUAGAAAGGCUCUAAGAAGAUUAUGGCAUGUCGUCUUCAAUAGGGUGAAGAUUGCCGACUUUCUUCUGGUCAUCAUUGUUUGGAAUCUGGAAUUUGAAUUGCUAAGGUUCUAAAAAGAAAUUCAUUUAUUUUUUAAUUGUAUUCAGGGGAGAGGGAGAACAAGAAUUGAACUCUUGUUGUGAACGUAGCUCAAUUAGAGUGCUCUUGUGCUUGGCUUGUAAGUUUUUCAUUUUCAUAUUCUUGUUAUUACAGCACCUACCAUUAUGGUGGCAUUUGCUAUAUUAUUUUGCCUAGUCCUCUCUUUUUUCCAUCUUAUUUUAUAAAAGAUGGCACUGGAAGUUUUGUUUGUUUGUUUGUUCCUUUUUUUUAGGACCUUUCUUGUUGAGAAGGGCAAUAAUAUACUAAACUUACACGCACUAUAUGGAUGCUAAGACUUGAACCCAAGACUUUGCCUUGGAGAGAGCAAUUACUCCAAACUACUACACUAAUGGGUCCUUUGCCCGGAAGUUUUGUUUAAAUUGAAGGGAUAUGAGACUCAAUUGGCACCUAGUCAUAUGUAAUGAAUAUAAACAUUUUAGGUCUUGAAACUAUAUAAAAAAGUCCCUUGUUAGGGGUUUGUAGCUCAUAUGAUUAAAAAUAGUUGCCCAUGCACCCGAGAUCAUGUGUUUGAAUUCCCCUAGUCCAAUAUCGUUUACAAAAGGAAGUCCGUUUCUGACUCUUGUUCUUUGUGUUGGCCGAGUUGCCCUUCUUUGUGACAUCUAAUCAUUCUUCCUGUAGGGCAUGUGGGGCUUAUUGCAGAGUUGGUUGAACUUGAGACUUGAGAGUGCCUUUUGGUUUUGGUUUUGGUUCUCAUUCAUCUGUUAGACGUUUUGAAGUGCACGCAAAUUAGCUCUGGCUCUGGGGCUUUCUGCUGCAAGUAUUAUUGGGUCGAUUUCUGUGACAAAAAUGAGUGGACUAAAACUAAUAAUAAAGCUUAAUUAGAAGAGUUAUUUUCAUAAAAGAAAAGAGAUAGCUUAAUUAGAAGAGUGAAAACUAUGCCAUAAUCCUUUAUAUCAUGCCACCAUAUCACGCAAUUGACAAAGUUAUACAUGGAUAUCGGGUGAUAGAGUUAUAGCUUAUGGUGAUUUGAAAGCUUGUUUUCUUGUUCAUUUGUAAAAUAUGUGGGGGUGUUCUCUAAAAUGUGGGAAUUGCAAAGCCAAAGAAAUUAAAACAAAUCUCUAAAACUGUGGGAAUUGAAAAGCCAAAGAAAUUAAAACAAAGAAAAACCAAAUCAUGAAGUCCAUUUUUUUUCUUUAAUAAUUUUUUUCUAUUAAAAAGUUUGGGGAGGAUGUAUUUGAUUAAAAGAAGAUUCGAGAGAACUUGGUUGGUGGACCUUUGAAAAUCCCCUUUUUGUCAACAUUUGUGCCCUCAUUGUCUUGUUGGAAAAUGGUUGUUGGGUCUUGACUUUUGUUUUUUCUUAACCCAAAAAAAAAAGGUCGGGCUCUUUUAUUAUGGUCAUUUUAUUUGUACUGAAAAGUGAGCUUAAUUAGGCUCGUUUAAUAACAAUUUUAAUUUUAGUUUUUAGUUUUAAUUUAUUUUGUGUUAGAGUAUAGGGGAAAUAAGUGUGAGAAUGGGAGUCGGGAUGAGAUUGAGAGAGAUAAUGAGAAAGAGUAACAAAAUUGAAAAUAAAAACUUGAAAGUGAAAACAAUUUCAAAUAGUUUUCAGUCUUUUGUUUUUGUUUUCACUUUUGUACUCCUCUCUCUCAUCCACUCCUUUCAUCUUCACUCUCAAUCUCAUCUCCAUUCUCAUUUUCACUUCCAUACUCCCUCUUUUUCCUCUGUACACUAGCACAAAAAAUAAAAAUUAAAAACUAAAAUUAAAAUUAUUAUCAAAUAAACCUUAGAUUUCAUCUUUUUCUUAAUGAAAAAUCUUAUAUCCCAUAUCGAACUCUUUUAUUUUCUUAUUAGCUUUCUCCGCACUUUGUUGGAAAAAAAAAAAAUCCCACGUUUCAAACAUCUGUUUAGAUUUCAGUAAUAAAAUAUCAUUAUUUUAUAUAGAGAUAGAUGGAGUUCCACGACAAUUGAAUUUGAUUCUUUGACCAACCGAUAUGUCUCUUGGUUAAGAAGGUGAAAGUCAACCAAUAUGUCUUUUAGUUGAAAAGGUAAAAACCAACCAAUAAAUCUUUUGGUUGAAAUGGUACAUACAAACAACUGAUAUGUCUUUAAUUAAUACAUUAAUUAACAACUUCCCUACUUUCAAACUCAAUUGAAGAAACGAUUCAAAUUGAGUCUUUGUUCAACAACUUCCCAACUUUAUUUAAAGAACUUGGAGAAAGAAAGAAAAAAAGGCAGUCAAAGCAGUUGAGAGGAUAGGUUCUUUUUCUCAUUAAAACUGCUAGUAGCCUCUUGCCAUCAGAAAAAUAGGCAAAGCUACCCUUAAACCAAUAAAUGGGCUCUACAAUUUGGACCUGGUCAUUCUUAGCUCCAUUGUUGUCUCUAACAAAAUAAAAUAAGUUUUUAAAAAUAAAAAAAAAAUUAUAUUUUAAGCCAACGGGUCUAGCUUAGUGGAAAAUGGCAUUGAUUUACAUAUCGAUAGUCUCAAGUUUGAACCCCCAUAUCACCUUAGUAGUGUGUGUAAGAAACCUCAUUCCCUUGUAGUUUCAAUUAUGAUAAAAUAAAAGAGUAAGUUUUUUUAUUUUUUAAAUUAUUUUUUUCUCUUUUGAUGGGAAGAAAUCAUUUUAAGAAAUUAAGGGCCAGAAAAAUAAAAUAAAGUAAAUUAUAUUUAGAUCAAAUCAGACACAGAACCUGGGUUGCAAGUGACUUAUCCAAACCCACCAAAUUGACCAGAAACGUCUAUGGACUUUUCAAUUCAAUCCUUAAAUUUUCAAAUCAAUCAAUAUGAUUCUUAAUCUUUUGGUUCACACACAUGAAUUUUAAGACUGAAAUGAAUUAUAAUUAGAUGAUAAUAUUCCUUUAAAGUGGCUCAUACGAUGACACGUAAUCAGUUUUUAUUGAAAAUUCGGUCGGCAUACAACAAGGACCAAAUUAAUUAAUGUCGACCCAAAGAUGAAGGGCCAAAUUGAUUACGAUUGAUUGGUGUGUACUCUUAUAAAUAAAAGAUUAUAACCAAACUCAAAAGUAGGAAUUCAUAAACCACUCAUUUAAAACGCCACCAAUAACGCCAAUUAAAAUAUCAUUAUUUUACAACGAAAAGAAAAAAAAAGAAAGUCAUGUGGCUCAUGACACAUUUUGUCUUCCACUUGUUAGACAAAGCAAAUGUUAAAGCUCAGACCAAAAAAGAAAAAGCAAUUGUUAAAGCCUCACAUAUCUUUAUCUUUUUUCUCAAAUGUUUUUUUUUAACCGGCGGUAGGUGAUCUGGUAGGCUCUUCUCCUCCUUAUAAAGCCACACUAGCAGCUAUUCCAUUACAAAACACAAACUUCAAACUCUCUCUCUCUCUCUCUCUCUCUCUCUCUCUCUCUCUCUAUUUUGAUCUCUUCCACUCCCACCACCCAAAAGAGAAACAAAAAAAAUUCAUUACCCUAAAACCAAGCUAAGUAUUAAGAUGCCUGCCGAUAGCUCUUCAGUUUCAGGCCAUGGCCAAACUGUUUGUGUCACCGGAGCUGGAGGCUUCAUUGCUUCCUGGAUUGUCAAACUGUUGCUAGAAAGAGGCUACAUUGUUAGGGGAACCUUGAGAAACCCAGGUCACUCCAAAUCAUUAUCUUCUUGGCCUUUGAGUUGUUUUUUUGUCCUACAUUCGGAGUAUCGACUUAUUAUGUUGUGAGACUGUGAAUUAAAACUGGCCAUUAAUUUAUUUGAAUUAUAUAUGAAUUUGCUGUUUUGAUUCCCAGUUUGACAUAACACGUAUAACAUAUAUUGGGAGACAUAAUUCUUCCUUGUAUUGAUAUGUUUUUUUUUCCUUUUUGGUGCUUUUCUUAUUUUGUGUUGAUCACAGAUGACCCAAAGAAUGCUCAUUUGAGGGAGCUUGAAGGAGCUCAAGAUAGGUUGACUUUACGUAAAGCUGAUCUUCUUGACUUUGAGAGCCUUAAAGAAGCCAUCAACGGCUGUGAUGGCGUUUUUCACACAGCAUCACCGGUUACGGAUGACCCAGUGAGUUUUUUUUGUCUCUGCUUCCUUACUUUGUUUCUUCCUUUUCCUGUUUGGUUGCUGCCGGAAAAUAUGCACACUUUUUCUCUUACGUGGUGGACAAUACCAUGCAUGUGCAUGCACAGUUUUUCGAUCAGUUUGUGUAUCCUUCAAACAAAACUAUCCCGUGGUGGUUCUGGGCCAGAAACCACUUGCUUUUGUCGAUUGUGAUGUUUUGGACCUCCAAACUUGUUCUCUAAGUCCCAUAAUACUUUCUUAAAUACUAUGAGUAUUUAAAAGGUUAAAAAAAAAAAAAAGAACACUAGCUAAGAAAGGAAUAGUUUGGUAACGGAUAUUGGUUUUGGUUGGGUGAAGAUAUUUCCCUUUUCAUAAUUUCUUAAAUUAGCUUUCAAAUUCACGUCCCACAUUAUAAAAGUCUAUUAGAAAGUUAAGCGGCAUGAAUUUUUUCCUACUAUUGUAACGAUAUAUUCAUUAUCUUAUAUGAAACAAUUUACAUUUUCGCUGCAUGGUGUCAUGAUUACAUCUUAACUAAAGAUUAAGAUAAGAAAAAAAAAAUUAAAGAAAAAUAACAUGCAUGUCUAGUAGUUUGGUAAAAAGCUCACAUUUUAGGGUACAUAACCGUAGCCGCUAAGAGAGGGAAAGAAAAAGAGAGAGGACGCUUCGGCUCCUGGAUUCUGUUGGAUCUUCGAUGUUCUUUGGUUUUUGGGAGACCUCUAUCGAUCUACUCUUCUUUUGGGAGAUAUGUAGUCUCAUAUCUGGGUUAGCUUUGGUUGUGCCUCAUCUUGCGAGGUUGCUGUUUGAGGUAUUGCGGCUUGAUCAUGGUAGAUCCACUACUCAUUGGUGCGUUGAGGCCCAGGAGUAACUAAGUGGUGCUCUCUAUGUCUUACCCCGAAAGAAUCAGUGGCGAUUAAUUUUCCCUUUGCCGACAUCAUUUUAGUUUUUAGUAUUAUUUUGGUUGAGUUUGCUGAGUGUUCUUAGUCUUUUUAAGAGUCAUGUCGAUGCUAGUUUUUGUCUUUGAUGCCAUUGAACUAUAUUCGGGGAAAUUAUGGCAGUUGAAAGGGGUUUUAGAAAAGUUAUUUUCGAGUGUUAUUGUCUCCAGAUUUCCAUUUUAUAAAUAAAAAAUAAAAAAAUUAAACCUCACAUUUUAGUUAUUUUUUUUUUGGGUAAAAUUAAUGAGGUUUUAAAAUUACCAAUUUAGGCCAUACCCUAACACGUGGAUGUAUUUAGAACCAUAAAAAAAAUUUCUCCAAAAUGUCUUCCAAAUGCCUUGAAAAAAAGAUAUUAUUGUACCUUAACUCAAAAUAAAAUUUGCUCAUGAUUUUCUACUAUAAUAUAUUAUCUCUAUGCUAUUAAAAUAUUUUGAAGGGAUUGGAUUUGUUAUUAUCAUUUUUUAAUAGUAAAUUUAACUUAACCCCUUCAAGGUAAUUUUUUCAAUUACAACCCAUCUCUUUAUUUUUGUUUGAAUAAUAUCCAUUUUUUUCUAAAUAAAACCCGAUGACUAGGAUCCAACUCGGGAACUUACCUAAUCAAACGCAAAAUCGAAUUUAUUGUAUUUUUUUGGAUUACUAAAAUACCCCCAACUAAGUCAUUAUUAUAUUUUGUAUAUUAAUAUAGGAUCCAACACAAAAAUAAAUUUUAAUUAGAUUGUAACUAAUGGCACACGUUCAAUUUGAAAAGAUCUUCAAAUGGAUGUAGGAUUAAUUUGGAAACUUUUUUAAAACUUAACAAUACAUUCAGAUUUAACAUACCUAAUCAGUUUAUUCAAUAAUUUUUUUUAAUUUACUUAUGAAGUAUACGUGAUUAAUUAUUUAUUAUAUUAUUAUUUUAUAAAUAUAAUAGCAUACAUAAAAUUGAAAAAAUAACAUACCUAUUACUUCUUUUACAAAAAUGAAUUUACUUAUUAUUCAAAUAAUAUACCCAACUUUUAUAAAAGUAUUUUGGAUAUAGUUUACCUAAUAAUUUCCUAUUAUGCAAUAAUAUAACUUGUAAUUUACCUAUUAUGGAUAAAUUUGUAGGUAAAUUGUAUUGAUAAUAAUUUACCUAUUAUAUUGUAUUGGAUAUAUACAUAUUAUAUUAAUAAUAAUUUACCAAUUAUAUUUUAUUAGGACAAAAUUUGAGGAAUUUUUUCUUGGUCGAAAGUUUAAGGAUUUUUUUAUUGGUCGAAAGUUUAAGGAUUUUUUUAUUGGUCGAAAUUUUUGGGAUUAGAGGGAAUGCCCAAAAAAAAAAAAAAACAACGUCAUUGAUAUGCUAUAAAUGAUGAAGUAUUAAUUAGAAAUGAAGGACUUACUGACAUGCUUGAAAACAAUCAGGUUGACUUAUUUGAAGCUUAGUGGCAAGCAAUGUAAAUAUGUAGGAGUAGUAUGACCUUUUAUAUAUAUAAUUUUAAUUUUAAUUUUAUAUAUAGAUUUCAAAAUUAAUGGGUUGUUGUAUGGAGUCUGAGGUGCAGGUUUUCGCAUAGAAGAAGACAGACCUAAUUUCUUUUGCUAGAACGACACCGUUCUCUUUCUUUGAUAUCUUUUAAUGGAACACAUCGUUUCAUUUAAGCUUGAGUUCUCCAAAAGCAAGCAUGCGUUUUAUUUGUAAAGCCCAAAAAGAUGGGCCCUCAAUAACUUUUAAAUGGGACAUGCGUAAUAACAUAUCUAAUAUUUAUUAAUAGGUUUUUGUUUGAUUUCAGAAAAAGACUCUAGAAUUCACUAUUAAUUGAAUCGGUUGUAGCUUCUCGUGACACUUAUUAACAUAUCUAAUAUUUAUUAAUUAAUAGACCAUCUUUAUUUUUUGUGUAAACACUUUUUUUUUUGGAACUUUGAGUUUUUUUUUUUUUGGGUAAAGAAACUUGUAUCUUUUUAAAUGGUACCCCUCUAUUGCCUAUAUCCAGCCCUUUUUUUAAUAAGGCAAUGAAUGAUGGAACAAAUAUAGGAACAAAUGAUGGAGCCUGCGGUGAAUGGAACGAAAAAUGUGAUUGUUGCAGCAGCAGAAGCCAAGGUUAAAAGGGUUGUGUUCACGUCGUCAAUUGGUACAGUGUACAUGAACCCCACCAGGAGCCCUGAUGUGGUGGUCGAUGAGUCAUGUUGGAGCAACCUUGAAUAUUGCAAGAACACCAAGGUUAGACAUAAUCUUAUAACAAUUUUAAUAUUUUAUCUCUUCAGUAUAUAUAGUAGAUGUUUAAUGACUCACAAGAGCAUUUUCUUGUAUUUUGAAUGUUUCACCAUUCUCUGCCUUUUGCUUUAUAUGUAUAGAUUAUGCACACAAACAAACAUCAAUGUUUGAUAUAUUUAUCACUCAUUAUGUCUCAUAAUUAAGAACAAUUGUUUUUUUUAAUACAAGCUUUGCUGUAAACAAUUUAAAAUUUAUCUAGCUAAUCUAUAAGGAGAAGACUUGGGUGCAAGGGGCGGACUCACUACUAUGACCAAUUGACAUAACCCAGAUCUGCCAUAAUUAAGAACAAUUGUUUUAUCCUGGGGUUUCUCUAGGAGAGUAGAAAAGGUCAAGUUGGUAGAUAAAGCUUGUGAGAUUUCAAACUAGUAUUCUCUCAAGACUUCCAUGAUCCUGAUAGUUCUACUACGUAUUGUUAUUCUAGUACAACAGCUAUUUAAGUGGGUGCUAGAUGUAUUGGAGUACAGUUUGGCACAUGGAAGAGAUGGUAAACCAUUUUGCUUCUCAAUUUGUGCCGACUGAGGAGGAACAGCAACUAGUACUGGUGGUUGAGGGAGGUAAUGCUGGUCUGCUUCGAACUACAAAGUUUGUCCUAGUAGGCAAAGUGCUCACGAAGAAACCUUUCAACAAGGAGGCAUUUAAGCGCGCUAUGGCGACACUAUGGAGACCGAAGGCACGGGUGGAGAUUGUGACCUUGGAGGAUUAUUUGUUCAUGUUUGCUUUCUCCUCACGACAAGAUAGAGCGAGAAUUCUAGGCGGGGGUCCUUGUGCCUUCAACCACUAUUUGCUGGUGAUUAGUGAAGAGGAUGACAUAAGCAACUACCUCCUCCUGAUUUUGGCAUCAUGGAGUCGACUGGUCGUUUUCCAUUGGUGAUAUAGGCUCAAUGUUCAGCAAAAGAGGACAAAGCAACGGUCGUUUUGACAUAGUGGCUCCGCCUGUGAAGGAAUAAGGAGGGCGAAGGGUUGUUUUGGAGGGGCGACCGGUCACAUUGAUGUUAAAUCUAUUCCAUUGUGAAAAAGUCCAGAAAAUUCGGGGUGUUUCACUAUAGAUUCUCCUCUUAUGCUUCUAAAAAAUAUAUGUCUUGUUCUUGGAACGCUAUAUCCAUGAAGGUAGAUACCUUAUGACUUUGAGGGUGAUAACAUCGGUAGCCUUUUUUAUGAGGGGCAUUGCCAAUGAAAACACACUUUUUUGCGUAAGGAUCUAAUUUGUUGCGUUGGUGAUCAUGUAAGUGCAUGAAUACAAUACAGUCAAAAAUCCACGGUUCAAGGUUUGGGGUGGGAGGUAUUUGGAGAUGGUGGUGAAGUGUUUGAAGAGGAGUUUGGAAAUUCAAGAUUCUUGAGGGAAUCCUAUUUAUAAGGUAAGUUGUAGAGAGGACGGCCUCACCCCAAAAAGAUCUAGGUAUGUUGGCACUAAAUAAAGAUGCACGAACGACUUCCAAUAAAUGUCAGUUCUUUCUCUCAGUCACCCUAUUUUGUUGGGGAGUAUAUGGACACGAGCAUUUAUGUAUGAAGUCAUGAUCCUGUAAGAAUUUUUUGAGAUCAUGAUUAAGAAAUUCUCUCCAUUGUCAGAAUGGAGAACCUGUAUUUGGGCAUGAAACUGAGUCACCACCAUUUUAUGGAACUGUUGAAACAUUAAAUUGACUUCCACUUUUGAUAAGGGAAACCCAGGUAAUUCGGGUGCAGUCAUCAAUGAAAGUACAAACCAUCGAGCUCUAACCAAAGUAGCUAUUUGAGCAAGCCCCGGAACAUCAGAAUGAAUAAGGGAGAAGGGAACUAAACUUUUAUUUGCACUUAAUGGGAACGGAACACAAUGACUCUUAGCCAAUUCACACUGGAAGCUGGAAACAUCAAAACUGGAAAAUAAUAAUGGGAACAACUUCUUCAGAUAACCAAACGAGGCAUGCCCAAGACGUUUAUGCCAUAACCAUACUUUGUCUCUCUGCCUCUUAGAACUAGCUUCACUUGUUGUGAAAGCUUGACCAACCUUUGGUCUCACUAUCCGAUGCCUAGUCCAAGUAGCAGAAUCUGCCUUCCCUAAAGAUUCAAAAAUUUCUCCAGCUUUCUUGAGGGGAGCAUUAGCCUUUUCAGGAUUUGAAGUGCCGUUAUUGUCAGCCAUAACUUUAAGGCCAGCAGCUUUCGACCUUCUUUCCCAAGUAUCACCAGCUCUUUGAAAACAUAUUGUGGCCAUUUCAUAGUUAUCCUCUUGAUAGAGCUGGAUCGAUGAAACAAAUAAAAUGGAUUAGAUUAAUACAAUUGAAAAUAAUGGUUAUACAUACACUCUGCUUUAAGGAUUAAGGUAACCAUGACGACGAUUAUGAUGCUUAAAGUGAUAAUGAAUUUGACAAAUACAAAAUAAUAUAUAUGCAGAACUGGUACUGCUAUGCGAAAACAGUGGCAGAGCAGACAGCUUGGGAAGAGGCCAAGGAGAAAGGGGUGGAUUUGGUGGUGGUGAACCCAGUUUUGGUACUCGGACCACUUCUCCAACCAACCGUCAACGCCAGCAUCAUCCACAUCCUCAAGUACCUCACAGGCUCAGCCAAGACUUAUGCCAAUGCUGUGCAGGCCUAUGUGCAUGUUAGGGACGUGGCUGUGGCCCACAUUCUGGUGUAUGAAACUCCAUCUGCCUCGGGAAGGUACCUUUGUGGUGAGAGUGUGCUUCACCGUGGAGACGUGGUAGAAAUCCUAGCCAAGUUCUUCCCAGAAUACCCAAUUCCCACCAAGUAAGUACAUCAUCGUCCUCAUCAAUUUUGUUUUCUUUAUUUCUUGUCUAAAUAAGAUAUUUUCUGAGCUACAUGUUAACAACCAAGAUGGGGAUGAGGGCGGGGGACAGUGAUGGUAUCCCUAUUUUGGUAUAAGCGAAAUGACAAAUAUGUUUGUUUAUGCAUACGUAGGCAUCUCUCAUAGUGAUUGAUUUAGUGUUUGCUUAUGGUCCAUUACUUAAUGUUUUUAUAGAAUAAAGAAAUUUUUGGCUAAUCAUUGGUUUGCUUAUACAUUUUAAACUAUUAUUUUAAAAUCUAUUUACAUACAAUUUUUUAUUAUUUAUGGAUUUCUAUUUUCAAACUAUUUUAAUGCAAUACACAUAUUUGUAUUUUUGAAAGUACUCUUGUUUUUUAAUGUUGUGGGAUUAAAUUAAUUAGUAUGUCAUAUAUUUACAGGUGCUCGGAUGAAGUCAAACCAAGAGUAAAACCAUACAAGUUGACAACCCAGAAGCUACAAGACUUGGGCGUGGAGUUCAUUCCAGUGAAACAGUGCCUAUAUGAAACUGUUAAGAGCUUGCAGGAGAAGGGCCACCUUCCAGUGCCUAAACCACAAGAAGAUUCCAUUAAAAUUCAAUCUUAAAUCUUGUAAGAAUAUUUGCAAUGCGUGACCUAUGUAUUUGCGGCGGAGAUAAACGUUGCAAUGGUAUUUUAAUAUCAGAUGACAAGUUUGUAAGAAUAUUUCAUAAAUAUUAUGUAUCACCUAACCUACAUGAAGUGACUUAUGUGAUCAAUUAAUUAUUUAAUUAGUUUAAUAAAUAUUAUUAUUAUAUAUUGGUCAAAUUAAGAGAAGUAAUUUCAUAGGAUAUGUGGAGAGAGAAGUUUUGACCUAGCCGCUCUCUCCCUGUGUAAAUCCUAAGGAAAAACUCAAUAGAGGGGGGGGAGGAAGAAGCCUCACUAUCCCACCUCCCCUUCAUCUCUUACUGUUGGGUUAGUGAAUAAGUCCACUGGGCAUUUUGGAUAAGAAUCCCCUUGUGGUGAUCUCUUCUGGGCCGUACUUAGAUUGAAGUUCCCCUUCACCCCUUUUGGGCUAUGUUCUCAAUCAAAUCAUUUUCCCAAAACCCGCUCUCUAACACUACUCAUGUUCUCUGAAUUUGGUUCUACAUUGUAUUUGAUGGUGGUUGGUACAAAUCACUCAAUUGUUCUUUGCCAUAGUUUUUUGUUUUCGUUUAUUUAUUCACUCUUAUCCUCAUGUUGAUCGUUGUGAAUCACAUUUUUCCCAAAUCUAUUAUGGAUGCGGUGUUAGGUGUGGCUGUGACGACGCUUCUUCAGGUAGUGGUGAUAGGGUUCAUGCAGGCUCAUGGGUCGCUUUAGAGUUUCAGUUAUAUUGGGUUUGUGUGUUUUGUCUGGGCUUAUGGUUCAUUAUGGUGAGGCUAAACUAGUGAAUUUCCCUUGAACUUGUACCCAAUUUUCAAGGGAAAGUGAACACGAAGACUCUUGGCCAACUGUUGCGUCUACCCAAGUGCAAGUAGUCACACGUAGUAAUAAUCUUGGAAGUCCAAGUAUUGUAUCCUCAAUGAGCAAGUAGGCAAAUAUCUGCACACAAAGAAAUAAUUAAACGUACCACAAUAAAAGUGACAAGCAAAAUGGAAAAGUAAUUUGAUUUGAUUGUUGUGGAAAUUGAGUCUAAAAAUGAAAUAUCAAUAAUGGAAAUGCUAAGGCAUCAAGGUUCAAUUCUUUAAAUAAAGUAUGUUUCAUGCUCUUUGAUCCAAAUUAUAACUCGAUUAAAAUCAUCAUUGAAAAACUUUAACAGGAAGAUAAAAAAAAAAUUAAAACCAAUUUAAUUUUUUCAAUGUUAUCUUUUAUUAAUGAUUGUUCAGAAAAUGGAAUUGCUUAAUAUCUACUCUUUUAAUUUAAAAGCAUGCUAAGUCAAUUCUUAACAAUGAGAAAAAUAUAAUUGAACUCAUGAAAAGAUAAUAGCACUUAACAUCAAUCAAAAUAAAAGGAUAUGAAAAUAUUGAACAACCAAAAAUAAAAGAAUUUAGCAAUUCGUACCGUAUAUUAGGUUAAAGAACAAUUCACAAACUUACUCAAAGAACAUUCCCUCUAGCCUUAGCUACAGUUUUAGCAACGCAUUACAAAGGAAAACAUAAAACUAAAUUUUGAAUGAAAUGGAUAAAGAAAUCUGUUGUCGGGGUCCCUUGCCAAAUAAGUUGAUGGGUGAUUUAUAGUGGUCAAUGAGGUAAGUGGGAAGUUAACAGCUUCGUGGUGGGUGAUGAAGGGUUUAAUUGAGGGAUUAAUUGGAUUAAACAUGGGUUGAUGGUGGAGAGUUAGUGGAAAAGAAAUAACGGUGACGUAAGUGGGCGUUAAAUGGCUAUGAAUGACAUGAAAUAGGCUCUUUAGCUUCAACGGUUUUGUCUUCGCUUCUCCCUCUUUACUUCUCUUUAUAAUCACAAUAAUCCCACAAUGAAUUCUUCAAUAAAAUCCGCCAGCAAUUCUCUUCACACCUAGCUUGAACUUGGACAAAUGUAUGUCUUCAUCUUUUGGCUUUCCAACUUCCUAUAGAAGAUAAAUUCACCUAAUAAGUUCACCAAAUUAAUAUAAAAAUUCAUAAAUCCGGUUGGUGAGAAUAAAUGUAAUAACAAGUGAAAUUAUAUUUAUUAAGCCAAAAUUAUAUCAUAAAGUCUCCAAAAUAAUAUUAAAAAUAUGUAAUUUGAGACUCUCAUCACCAACACAAAGUAUUACAUUGAAAAUCCUCAAGACUAAAACCACAAACUAAAGAUGGCAAAAGACUUCUUUGGUAGCCACCAGAUGGAUAGCGAGAAUGCCACAGUAGAAUGCGUUGUCGACGAUCUUUGAUAGAACCUUUGGUAAGAUGAACCCGGACUUGACAAAUAUCAUCAACAUAACACAAUCCCUCUCUCUUAAUAGCACGGCCAAUGAUCUCCUUCAUGAGAAUAUCUUGAAGACGACUGAAAAACGGGUACAUUAGUACAAAACAAUUAAGUUGCUCAGUGACUUGUCCAACAUACAAGAGGUUAUUGGAGAGAGAAGGCACAAGUAAGCAAUGAUGUAAGGAGAGAGAAGGAGUUAAUUCCAUUGUUCAUGUGCUUGUAACAAGACUUGAGUCACCGUUAGCAUUGGCCAAAUUGCUCAAGUGAGGUGAGGUACGAUACGUAAAAUUUCAGGAAUCAAAGGUCAUAUCACUACUAUAUUUUACACUUUGCGCGACUCUUUGUCGCGCAAAAUAAAUUGUAGUCUCACAAAUUUCAGUGCUAUAGAAACUUCGUCGCGCAGAAUCCAUCGUGCAGAAUCCAUCGCGCAAAGAUCGUGAAGAAAGAGGCGACACAUUGCACGAGGAAACACAUUGGUCACGCAAAGUUUUGGCGACAAAACACAUUGGUCGCGCAAAGUCUUAAAAAAAUUUAAAAAAAAUAAAAAAUUCCCUCGUCCCAUUUUUGUUACUCGCCAAAUUUUUAGAGUUUUGCGCGACGAAUACUAACGUCGCUCAAAUAUUUGAGCGACAAAAAAUUUUUUGUGUUUAAAAUUUUUUAAAUUAAAAUAAACUAAUUUAAUAGUUUGCGCUACAAAAUAUUUUGUCGCGCAAAGUUUUUGACUUUUUGUUUUAUUAUUUCUUUAAUAUUAAUUUAUUUAUAUUAAUUUAUUCGAAUUUUUACUUUUUAAAUUUAAUUUAAUUGUAUGAUUUUUUUAAAAUCACUUUAAUUUAAAUUGAUAUUAAUUUAAUUAUAUUAAUUUUUUCAAAUUUUUACUUUUUAAAUUUAAUUUAAUUGUAAGAUUUUUUUUUAGUUACUUUAAUUUAAAUUGACACAUUCAAAAUAAAAUUACAUAGGAAAAAUAGUGAUCAAAUUAUCCAAUAAAUAUAUAUAUAAUAUUCAAAAUGUACACAUAAAUUAACAAAGUACAAUAAUAAAAUCCUAACACAAGCGUAUUGUGGUGGUAGUGGCGGAUGAUAUGUUUUGAUAGCUUCCUAAUCCUCAACUUUAGCCAUCAAAGUCUCGAUGAUUACCUACAAAAAAACAAAUAUGGUCAAAUAACAACAACAACAAAAAAAGAAAAAAAAGGCAUAAUCUCCUCUAAAAUUGUUAUACCACAAAUCCAACCCAAACUCCAAUCUCUCCCCUUUACUCAACACCAAACCCCACACAAACUCAAAACUAACUCCAAAAACACAUAUUAAUGAAAAAAAUUUAAAAUUUGGAGAGAAUAUACCUUUUGGCAAGAUUGAGAGUGAGUGAGAAUGAGAGGGAGAAGUGAGUGUGAGAGAAUUAGAUAAGAUAGUGAUAGAGGGAUGAGAGAGUGAGAGAUAGUGAAAAGAUAGAUGAGAGAGUGAGUGAGAGUGAGAGAUAGUGAAGAGAGAGAUGAGAGAUUAAGUGAGAGGAGUGAGUGUGAGAGAAAGGGUGGGAUUUGGGGAGAGGGAAAGAGAGAGGAGAGGUAAGAGUAGAGAAAGACAUUGAGAAAAUGGUGGAGGAGUUAUUUCGGUUUUAAAAAUUGUAUCACUUUGCACGACGAAAAAUAUUGUUGGUCGCGCAAAGUUUUGCCCGACAAAAAAUAUUGGAAUAUUGGUCGCGCAAAGUUUUGCUCGACGACUAUAGGAAUAUUGGUCGUGCAAAGUCUAAAAAAAUUAUUUUAAAAAAAAAAUUUCCCGCAUCCCAUUUUUGGUACCCGCCAAAAUUUUUAAAUUUUUGCACGACGAAAAAUACAUAUUGGUCGCGCAAAGUCUAAAAAAAAUUAUAUAAAAAAAUUCACGCGUCCCAUUGGUACCCGCCCAAAUUUUUGAGCGACAAAAAAUAUAUAUUGGUCGCGCAAAGUUUUGAGCAACAAAAAAUAUUGGUCGCGCAAAGUGUAAAGUUUUUUUUUUUAUUUUAAAAACCCGCGUCCCAUUUUUGGUACUCGCCCAAAUUUUUUGAGUUUUGCACGACGAACUGUUGGUCUCGCAAACUUUUGAGAGACGAAAAAUUGGUUCGUAGUACAAUAUUUAUAAAAAUAAUUGUUACGAAUAAUAAAAAAUAAAAAAAAAUUAUUUUAUGAUUUAAAAUAUAAUUAAGGUGAAAGCUACUUAAUAAAUGUAUAUACUAUUCAAUUUCUUAAGUGUUAUACGUACAAAAUAAAUUAAUUUAAAGCUACUUAAUAAAUAUAUAUAUAUAGACACACACCAUUCAACGAUCCAACCGUAAGACUUGUUUGUAUAUACUUCAAGAUCGUAUACCCCAAAAAUCGUAAAAAAUAAACAUUCAGAGAUCUAGUAACGGGACAAAACUUUUCGAUGGUUAUAAAUGAAAAAUCACAAUUUAACGGUAAUUUUAACUCCGAUUUUGAUGAUUUUUUUUACAGCUACACUCCUUGACCCUAUAUGAAUACAAUGACUGAAUUUGAUCUUCAAUUUAAAAUAUUUACACUAGUGGAUACCACAAAAUCUUAUAUUAUAUUUAAAGAAAGUAUAAAUAAACUCUUAAUUGUUAGUGAAUAUUUUGUUUUGAUGGCAUAUGCAUUCUACGAAACUAGUUUCAACGAUCCAACCGUCAAACUUGUUUGUUUAUACUUCGAGAUCAUAUACGCCAAAAAUCAGAAAAAAGAAACAUUCAUAGAUCAAAUAACAGGACAAAACUUUUCGACGGUUAUAAAUGAAAAAUCAUGAUUUAACGGUUAUUUUAACUCCGAUUUUGAUGAUUUUUUACAGCUACACUCCUUGACCCUAUAUGAAUACAAUGACUGAAUUUGAUCUUCAAUUUAAAAUAUUUACACUAGUGGAUACCACAAAAUCUUAUGUUAUAUUUAACGAAAGUAUAAAUAAACUCUUAAUUCUUAGUGAAUAUAUUGUUUUGAUGGCAUACGCAUUCUACGAAACUAGUUUCAACAAUCCAAUCGUCAAACUUGAUUGUUUAUACUUCGAGAUCAUAUACACCAAAAAUCGGAAAAAAUAAACAUUCAAAGAUCAAGUAACGGGACAAAACUUUUCGACGGUUAUAAAUGAAAAAUCAUGAUUUAACGGUUAUUUUAACUCCGAUUUUGAUGAUUUUUUACAGCUACACUCCUUGACCCUAUAUGAAUACAAUGAAUGAAUUUGAUCUUCAAUUUAAAAUAUUUACACUAGUUGAUACCACAAAAUCUUAUGUUAUAUUUAACGAAAGUAUAAAUAAACUCUUAAUUGUUAGUGAAUAUAUUGUUUUGAUGGCAUACACAUUCUACGAAACUAGUUUCAACAAUCCAACCAUCAAACUUGUUUGUUUAUACUUCGAGAUCAUAUACGCUAAAAAUCGGAAAAAAUAAACAUUCAGAGAUCAAGUAACGGGACAAAACUUUUCGACGGUUAUAAAUGAAAAAUCAUGGUUAUUUUAACUCCGAUUUUGAUGAUUUUUUACAGCUACACUCCUUGACCCUAUAUGAAUACAAUGACUGAAUUUGAUCUUCAAUUUAAAAUAUUUACACUAGUGGAUACCACAAAAUGUUAUGUUAUAUUUAACGAAAGUAUAAAUAAACUCUUAAUUGUUAGUGAAUAUAUUGUUUUGAUGGCAUAUGCAUUCAACAAAACUAGUUUCAACGAUCCAAUCGUCAAACUUGUUUGUUUAUACUACGAGAUCAUAUACGCCAAAAAUCGGAAAAAAUAAACAUUCAGAGAUCAAGUAAUGGGACAAAACUUUUCGACGGUUAUAAUGAAAAAUCACGAUUUAACGGUUAUUUUAACUCUGAUUUUGAUGAUUUUUUACAACUACACUCCUUGACCCUAUAUGAAUACAAUGAACUAAUUCGAUCGUCAAUUUAAAAUAUAUAUUUUCUAAUAAAAAUCCAAUCUGAACAACAAUAAUAUAUUUUUCUAACAAAAAUCCGAUCCAAUCUAAAAUAAUAAAUUUAAAGCUACUUAAUAAAUAUAUAUAUACCAUUUUAUUUCUUAAAUGUUAUGCAUACAAAAUAAAAAACAAAAAUAAAUUGGUUUAGGCGACGAAAUGUUUGGAUUACGUCAUGCAAAGAUUUUAAAAAAUAAUUUUUUAAUUUUAUUUAUUUUUAUAAGGACUUUGUGCGACGAAGUUUACUGUUUCGUCGCACAAAGUCACUUUGAGCAACGAAUUAUUUUUUGUCGCGCAAAAUUUGGUCGCGCAAGACUUUGAGCGACGAUGUAUUGUCGUCGCGUGAAGUGACUUUGCGUGAUGAAUUAUUUUUCAUCGCGCAAGCCUUUAAGCGACGAAGUUUCGAGUUUCAUCGCCCAAAGUGACUUUAAGUGACGAAUUGUUUUUCAUCGCCCAAAAUUUGGUCGCGCAAGGGGUUUUUUUUACUAGUGUAUGAUCAGUGGCAACAAAGUCAAUUAACCUGUCAAAAUCUGAAUGUAACCUGGAAGAGUUUAAGGUUCAACUAUUGUUACCUUGGGAGUUACUUCGAGAACUCAUACUUCCCUGAGUUGGAAAAGUUCUUUAUUUACAAGAGCAUAAGUCUACUCAAUUAUCGACAAGCUAUUCACCCCUUAUGUCUUAUUAAAACCGUAUACUAUUGACACCAUCUACUAUGGUUUGUGUCAUUCUAAUAUUCUACAAGAUUCUUGUAAAUAUUGCAUUACCUGUUUUGUUAGGAUUAGUUUUUAUAUUUUCCUUGGGUAAGAAGGCAUUGUACACUAUAUAUACACCUCAUUUGAGAGAAGAAAUAUAUCUCAUAAAUUUACCAUAUAUCCUUAUAUUUGACUUGGUAUCAGAGCUAGGUUAUAUUUGCCCUAGAAUAGCCGAACCCCCUUACUGCUACAAAUUUUUUAUUUUUUGCCUAUUAUUUUGUUUUAAUUCCUUGUGGUGUUCUUUGUCUCCAUGAGGGAAUGCAGGAUUUGUUUGAUGAAGAUGAACAAUCCAAUGAGGUACCACUAAUUACCUCAAGGGGUUCUGGUCAGCCUAUGUCAAUUAUCAAUGUUCAUCAUGAUUCUUCUGCUGCUCCUACAAUUGUCCUACAAUUGUCAAAUUGAAUGGAACAAGUUAUUCAGUAUGGUCCCAACUGCUUGAGCUACAUGUUGAAGAGAAAAUAUGGGUAUCUGACAGGCGCUUCUGCUGCACCAGCUCUCGUAGCCUCCAAUUACAAUAAGUGGUAUGCUAAAAAUGCAAUUGUGAAGGGAUGGUUGAUUCAAUCUAUGGAGCCUAAUAUUAUGCAAAUUUUCCUUCCCUACAAAACUGCCAAAGAUGCAUGGGAGAAUGUGAAAAAAAAAAUACUAUGAUGGCCAAGAUCAGUCAUAGAUUUAAGAGUUAACUUGUUGGGCAUUCAAGGAGAAAAAGUAUGGGCGACAACUUGUCACAUACUAGGUAGAAUUGCAAAGUAUGUGGCACGAGAUUGAUUAUUGAUGACCAAAUAAAUUUACUAAUUCAGCAGAUAUUUUGCUUCGUCACUAGGAGAUUGAGAUCGAGAGGGUUUAUGUAUUUUUAGUUGGAUUAGAUGAUGUGUUUGACAGAGUUUGUGGCAAUAUUCUUGGCAUGGAUCCGUUUUUGAAUUUGGAGAAAGCUUUUUCAUGUGUCGGACGAGAAGACUAGCGGCGAUCCACCAUGAUGGUGCCACCAACCUCGGUGAACACUGGAGUUGUUAUGGCAGCAAGGAACUCCAGGCCUGCCUCUUCCUACAAUCCUGCCAAUUCUACAAUUAAUGGACCUACAAAGCACUCUAUGCCUGCCUCUGCCUACAAACAUGCAGGUUCUACAACUAACAGACCUGCAGGUUCUACAAGACCCAGUGGUCUGCAACGAGUUAAACCUCAGAAUUGUGAAAGGUGUACUCAUUGUAACAACACGAAUCACUUUGUAACUGAUUGCUUUAAAUUACAUGGCUAUCCAGAAUGGUGAGAUGAAUUCAAGGAGCAUAACAAGGCCAAAGCAGCCGCUGAACGAUACGCACAAGGCAAGGUCGCACUCUGCAUAGGAUCUCCCGACCCUUAUGUCCCACAAGCUUCCCCUAUGCCAUCCGUCUCCUCCUCCACUGUUCCUCCAGGUUUUGCCGCCCUCCCUACAGGUGAUUCAGUCACUUCUUCCAAUACCUCAGGUAGUGCUUUUGUUGGCUUAGAGCAUCAACAAUGGGCUCCCUAAACCACCUCCUUAGACAAAUUUUAGGGAGGAAUUGUAAAAAUACAACUCCAACCAUGCUCCCUAUCCACCUCCUAAAAUAGGGAGACCUCUAGGAGCUCCUAAAUCUGAGGAGAGAGAAAGGAGUGGUUCCCUAUAAUUUAAUGCAGCUUUAUUUAAUGAGUAUAUCAAACCUUUAUUUAAUGCUAACUAUUUUUUAUUUUAUUUUUUAAUAGAGAUGGAUCAAUCAAAAAAGAGUUAUAGCAUUUAUGACUCCCUAAACUAGAGAGCACGAUUGAAGUUUAAAUUUUAUAGAGAGCUUCUAAAACAACUUUUAUAUGUUUUUAGCUAAAAUUUAACUAAAAAAUAGAGAGCAUGAUUGUGGAUGAUCUUAGAUAUUAGUUCUGGUUGGAUUAUUGAUUCAGGUGCUUCAAAUCACAUGACAUUUGACCCGACAAAUUUGAAGACUCAGACUACUCCUAGCCUUACUAGUAUGGCAAAUGCGAAUGGCCAAUCCUACCCUGUGAUUAGGGUAGGCACUGUUGAUCUUUCUCCAAAUUUAACUUUGGAACAUGUUCUUCUUGUUCCUUCUUUAUCUCAGAAUUUAUUAUUUGUUGGACAAGUGACUGAACAAGUAGAUUGUUUUGUAUUAAUCUAUCCCUUGUUUUGCCUUCUUCAGGAUAUUUGAACCCAAGAAAUAAUUGGGCGUGGUACUAAGAGAGGGGGACUAUAUUAUGUGGAUAAUGUUUGCACGAGGGAGGCUCUUAUUGCUCACAACUCAGCUGCAGAGAAGAAGAAAAAAAAAUUUGGUUAUGGCAUUGGCGUUUAGGACAUGCUUCUUUUGGUUAUUUAAAACAUUUAUUUCCAACUUUAUUUUUGGAUUUGGAUAUUUCCAGUCUUCAGUGUGAAACUUGUAUUCUUGUCAAGAGUCACCGUGUUUCAUACCCUAUUAGUUUCAAUAAGAAUGAUAAACCUUUUGCUCUUAUUAAUUCUGAUGUAUGGGGUCCUUCCCCGGUAUCUACAAUCUCUGUAAUUAGAUGGUUUGUGACUUUUGUUGAUGAUUAUACGAGAAUAACAUGGAUAUAUUUUAUGAAACAUAAGAGUGAGGCUUUUGGUCUCUUUGAGCAAUUCUUCUCCAUGAAACUACAUAUCCCUAUACCCUUCAACAAAAUGGGGUUGCUGAACGAAAAAACUGCCAUAUUCUUGAGACGGCCAUGAGUAUUUUGAUACAAGCACAUAUGCCUAAGAUGUUUUGGGGUAAUGCUAUAUUAUAUGCAAUGUAUUUAUUAAAUCGUAUGCCCUCUUCUUUCCAUGGAUACAAGACACCACUGGAUGUUUUGAAUUCGACACAUCCCCUACCGUCAGUCCUAACUCUCCAUUCCUACAUUUUUUGUUGUAUAGCCUACUUUCACAUCCUUAAACACCUCCGGUCUAAAUUGGAUCCAUGUGCUCUUAAAUGUGUGUUUGUGGGUUUCUCCCCAUAUUCCAAAGGAUAUCGAUGCUACCUUCCUCCGACAAAGCUCACGUAUGUCACAAUGGAUGUCACUUUCUUAGAGUUGUCUAAAUUGGACAAUUAUGUUACUUGAUAUUACCAUAGAAAGAGAAGCAGUGAUUUGCAAUGAAAAAGAGAAUGCAGUCACUUCAGUUAAGGACCUGGCGCCACGUCUUGCUAACCCCACUUUGUUCCUUGCAACUCCACAUAUCGCAUAUAAUUGUUCUCCCUCUUCUACACCAAUAGUACAUGUCCAAAUUCCUAAGGCUUCGGAUAACCCUGAGGUAAGUACAAAAGCUUUGAUUAAUACUGGCAAUUUAAUUACAAAUGAUAUUGAUAGUGUUGCAAAAAAAGGUAUCAAUUGCCUCCCAUACGUAAAAGAAGAAUUCCACCGGAUCGUUUUUCACCUAAAAAUUCAAAGAAGUCGAACUACUCAAUUGCAAACUAUGUCUCUACUCAUCGAUUAUCUGAAGCAUAUGCGGUUUUUGCUAAUCAGAUGACUGCUGAAUUUAUUCCAUCAAACUUGGGAUUUAGUUUCAUUGCCACAAGGAAAACGACGAGUUGGAUGCAGAUGGAUUUUUACAAUUAAUACACAAGGUAGAUGGUACCAUUGAUAGAUACAAGGUGAGAUUGGUUGCCAAAGGAUAUACUCAGAUAUAUGGUGUUGAUUAUCAGGAAACUUUUGCACUAGUUGAAAAAAUGAACACAGUUCGUGUUCUAAUAUCACUUGCAGCAAAUUUAGAUUGGCCACUCUAACAAUUUGAUGUGAAAAAUGCUUUCCCACAUGGAGAAUUGAAGGAAGAAGUUUAUAUGAGCCUACCUCCAGGAUUUGAUGUAUCGGAAAAUCCAAAUUUGGUGUGCAAGUUGAGGAAGUUACUCUAUGGGUCGAAGCAGUCUCCUAAAGCUUGGUUUGGCAAAUUCAGUUGUGCCAUGAAGAAAUAUGGUUAUCGUCAAAGCAAUGCAGAUCAUACUUUGUUUCUGAAGAGGAGGAAGGGGAAGGUCACUGUUUUAAUUAUAUAUGUUGGUGAUAUGAUAAUAACAGGUGAUGAUACAGAAGAGAUUGAUAAAUUAAAACAUUAUUUAUCAACUGAGUUUGAGAUGAACGAUCUUGGAGGGCUAAAAUAUUUUUUGGGAAUUGAAGUGACUAGAUCUCAACAGGGUAUUUUCUUGUCACGGAGAAAAUAUGUGUUAGAUUUAUUGAAUGAAAUUGGGAUGCUUUGGUGUAAACCUGCUGAUACUCUUAUUGUGCAGACCCAUAAUCUUGAGAUUCUUCUAGAUCAAGUUCCAACUAAUUAAUAAAGACAGGUACCAGAGGUUAGUUGGUAGACUUAUUUAUAUAUCUCACACCAGGCCAGAUAUUGCUUAUGCUAUUAGUGUUGUGAGUCAAUUUAUGCAUUCUCCUAGUGAAGUUCAUAUGGAAGCAGUUAUGCGAAUUUUACAGUAUCUGAACUCCGCUCCUGGCAAAAGGCUGAUAUUCUCAAAACAUGGACAUUUGGAAAUUGAAGGUUUUACAGAUGCCGAUUGGCCAGGAAAUCAAACUGAUAAGCAUUCAACAUCAGGUUAUUUUACAUUUGUGGGUGGUAACCUUGUUACUUGGCGAAGCAAGAAGCAGAAGGUUUGUUCUUUGUCUAGUGUGGAAGCUGAGUAUCGAAGCAUGGUUCAUGGCAUAUGUGAGAUGUUGUGGAUUCGGAAAUUAUUGAAGGAAUUGGGCUUCGUGGCUAAAGAUGCCACGAAAUUGUAUUGAGAUAAUCAAGCUACAAUCGACAUAGCUAAUAAUCCAGUCCAACAUGAUCGUACUAAACAUGUGGAGAUUGACAGAUAAUUUAUUAAUGAAAAAUUGGAAAGCAAUGUGAUUAGUUUGCCACAUGUGAAAUCAGAUAAACAACUCGCAGAUGUUUUGACUAAAGCAGUGUCUAGCCAAGUAUUUAGUGACUCACUUGACAAGUGGGGCAUGGGUGACAUCUAUGCACCAACUUGAGGGGGAGUGUUAGUAUGAAAAUUGUAUUGUCAUUUCCUAGACUCUAGCAUAGGUUGGGAAUCAGUGUGGGAACAUGUUUUACUGGAAGCUUUGGCGCAACACAUUCAUUCUGGAUCUUUGAAGUAUGACGUGAUCGAUAUGAGAAACUGAGUUCAGGUAAAUCAUGACAUAAUCAUGCAUUCAUUAUAGGAUUCCUAGUUGGAGUUAUUUUCAAUCAAGUAUUUUCAUGUUAAUCCUAUUUUUAAUAGGAUUAGAUUUUAUAUCUUGAGAUUAUUUUCCUAAUUAAACUCUAUUUUGAUUUAAGUUAAAAGAUUAUGUUUUCAUCAUUUUGGUCUUGGAAAGUUGUUUCAAUUAAUAUUCUAUUUGGCUUCGUUGUUUACAUGUUGAUAUACAUUGUUUCAUUGGAUAACAAUCGAUGGUUGGAAAACCAUCUUUUAUACUAUAGAACAUGAUGAAACCAUAUAGGAUUCCAAGACUGUCAAAUUGAAUGCAUGACAAGACUUUGAGUUGGGGCUAUGGGCCUUCACGUGAUUGUGAAGAAUAGGUUUUGUAUAAAUCAUUGUGUGCAUCUCUUUUAUCAUAUAUAGCUUUCCCAUAUUUUGUUCGUGUAGAAAGCUACUGUGCAUAUAUUUGAGAUAAAUCAUCAAAGUGUUCCAUGUUUACUUGGUGAUUUAUCAAACACUUUAAUCAUUCAUAUUGCAUUCAUAUGCAUGUUGGUGACUCAUACGGUUGAGGGCACCAAGACCGUGGUGGCGGUUUUCCUCCGGCGAGCUUGAAGUAAUCAUGGCCAGUAUUGCGUUCAACAUAAGGAGUGUCGAAGAUCAUCCUGUGACAGAAGUUGAGUUACGAAGAAGUCAGUAAACAUUAUCUAGAAUGAGUCUAGGAUAAGUGUGUAAGUACUUCUUGGAAUCAUCAUUCUAUAGUGGAUUUGAGUUGGACUGAGGAGUCUCGUGGAUUUUCCCCAGAGGUGGGAUUUUACCACGUAAAAUAAUUCUCUGCAUGUUCUUUUAUUUUAUGCUCAGCACGUUUCAGAAUUGAUAAGCCAUAUCAAUCAUGUUACCGAAGUUUAUUUUUACUUAUUUGAUUAUAAUCUUAAAUUGGCCUAUUCACCCUCCUCUAGGCAUUUUUAGUCAUCUACAGGUAUUAUCAGUGAGUGCUGGCGUUAGUCUUAUUUUAGGUAAGAAAUUAAUAUAAGGAUUCUUGUAAAUAUUGUAUUACCUGUUCUGUUAGGAUUAGUUUUUAUCUUUUCCUUGGGUAAGAAGGCAUUAUACACUAUAUAUACACCUCCUUUGAGAGAAGAAAUAUAUCUCAUAAAUUUACCAUAUAACUUAUAUUUGACUCUUUGCUCAUCUAUUCUAGCAUAGUUUAGAACCUGUUAACAAGUAUUGUGCCCUAUUUGUUCAUAUUGUUUCAUUUGGCUUCUAUUUUUAUGAAUUUUUCUGUUCUUCGUUUCUCUUAAUAGUUUGCAACUUGUUCUUAUUAGUAAUAUCCUUUGUUUUGAGGGUGAUCAUGAGCAUGAACUUUGACAUACAGAAUGUCGAGCAACAGCAGCAGUAGUGACGUUCGAUAUAUGCUAACAUUGUAGGAAAAAAUGUGACGGUGCUGGUUUGGAAUUUAGAAUAUCCAGAUCAGCCGACAAUUACAAUCAUUCUUAUUGGGCAUGCACUAAGUGUGGACAGUUCAGUGAGUGGGUAAAUGGAGCUGAGAUAAAUACAAUAGGUUGAUGCAGGAUCGUGAGAAAUUAUUAUUUUCAGCAUUUAACGAUAUGUCUACCAAACUUGAAGUAAUUGGUGAAGUUGUUCGAAGGUGCUUGAAGAUAAACAAGAGUCUUCAGUGUAGUCUUUGUACUAUUUUUUCCAUUGUAAUGGCAAUAUUUGUGUUAAUAUGUGUCCUUGUAAUUUCACAUAAAAAAAAAAGAGAAGGAAAAAUGCUUGCCUUGCUCUUUGAACAAUAUUACGUAUGUAUGGCUUCAUAUCUCAUGUUUCUGUUUUUCCUCUAUCCUUCAAUGUCCCUGUCUGUUCUACCCCGGAAAUUCAUCCGCAGUGGCCUGGUGUUGGUCUUGGGAUUGUUUUCGUGUUGUUUGCGUAGGCAUGCCACUGUUGGUAGCGAAAGCUCCAACAGAAAGUGACUGAAAAAUGUAAAAUGCACUCCAAUAUCGACUCUAAUCAAUCGAUAGUGAGUUGGGUGGGGAACUGACCCAAUAUAGGUUCUUUUAUAUGCCUCAAUGAAGAGGAUUUCAAUAUUUUUCUAGUGCAAAGACAAAAGUUUUUUUUUUUUUUUUUAUAUAUAAAAAAAACAGAAAUAAAAAUGAGAAACAUGAUAUGGAACUGAAGAUUUCUCGAUUCAAUUCAUUAUCAAUACAAACUCAAAGUAAAUGACAGAUAAACUGAGGAUUUGUCUACUCAGUUCAUUGUAGCUAUAGACUUGAAAAGUAAAUGACAGUAAUGAAAAUGAUGGAUGUUCAUAUGAAGAUUUCUCUAUUCAUAUAAACAAUGGAAUAAAAGUAAACAACAUAGCUUGAAAAUUUCUCUAUUCAGACUUUAUUUAUAGAGAAAAUGAAGUGGGUUGAGUGUUGGGCCCAACAGCCAAUGAGACGUACCCACUUGCCAUUGAUUUUGGUGGGUGGGUUGCUGAAAAAGCAAACAAAAUUAGAAGAGUACUGUUAUUUCUAUCCACAUGUCCUAUUUUUCCACCCACUUUAUCUUCCCACCCACCAUAUAAAUUUUAAAAAAACACAAUCCUAUUUUUCCACCCACCAAUAUUCCUAAAAUACCUUUUUAAUUAUUACCUCAUCCCAUCUCUCCUUUAUUCUCUCUGCUCAUGUCUUCUCUCUCUCUCUCUCUCUCUCAUUUUUGCUCUAUCUUAUUUUCCAUCUCUCACACUCCAUCUCUCUCUGUCUCUCAUGUUUACUAUAAAACUAAAAAUGUUUUUUACUAUAAUUUUUAUUUUUAUUUUUGUAAAUAUGGAUUCUGUGAAUAUAAUCAUAUUUAUGCUCUUACCUUUUCAUGAAAAUCAUUCUCUUCAACAUUCAUUCUCUUGUUGUUUUCUUCUUCAUAAACAAUUUGAUUGAAUGAAUAGAAAAGAGAAGAAAAUUAUUUGAGAAUUGAGUUCUGAGCACUGAAAAGCCUUCUUCACCUUCUCAUGAGCAAGGAGUUGUAUUCUUGUUUUUUUUUUUCUUUCUGUCAAACGAUAGGGUUGGUGAAGCUAUGUCUUUUUUUUUUUCCUCUUUCUUUUUCCUUAAGUCCUUUUAAGUCAUUUUACAAUAGGGUUAAAUUUGUCUUUAAAAGUUUAAAGAUAAGGUGGGUGGGAAAAUAGGACAAGUGGGUGAAAAUAACAACAUUCAAUUAGAAAAGUUGCUUUGGUGAAGCUCCCUAGGUAAUUCAAAAUAUCUUCCAAGCAAAACUUGUUUCCCUCCAUCAGCAAGCUUAAAUCAUUCAUUUUUAAAAAAAAAAAAAAAUAAGCUCAAGCCUCCAUGCUGACUCAUGCACCUCCAUUAACUUAACAAAAGUUGGCCAGCAUAUGCCCUUGCUUCUUCUUUGAUCCUGCUUUGAUGCGUGACGAUUCCAGCAUGCUAUAUUUAUCCAAAUGCUACUAAAUUUUAGUAUGUUGUUCUAUACAUAUAGAGGAACAAUGUUUGUGAAGAACUCGAAUCCAUUUGAGACUGGAAAAUACGAUUUGGCAUGGCUCAAACUGACUAGUUGUCAGAGACAGUUCCUUCGAGUAGACUUCAUUGUUUAAUUCACUGAGUAUUCUACUCUUAUCCAAAUGACGCUACAUUUGGACAAAAUAUAGUAGUCACGCAUUUGAACCACUUUCAUGAAGAACAGAAAUUCAUUUGAGCAUUGAAAACUGCUCAUCGGAUUGGAAGUUCGGCAUAUUGGGUGGGAAAACAUGUUUCAGUAUUUCAUGCCCUGAAGAGUCAGUACAUAUCCCAACGCUGUAAAUUUGGGAUAUAUUGGAAACAUCCAAAUGAACAACUUUUAUGAAGAAAGAACUUCAUUUGAGCAUUGGAUGUUGCUCAUCGGGCUGGAUUCAUCUGACUGCUGCUAAAAUUGCAUGUAUGAGUGAGAAAGUAUGUGCAUCUACAAAGUUAUUGCCAAAUUCAGGGCUGAAAAAAUGCAUGUGGAACCUUCUAAAAUUCACACUGGUCACCAAGCAAAUGGGCCUUUUAUAGUCAAACCCCGAAAAGUUUUUCUUCAAUUAAGCAGUAUAAAAAAUGUAAGGGGGGAUGAAAUAAAAUAAUGAAUUCAAUAGAUAAAAGAGAGCAACAAAAAGAGGAUCGCUAUCAUCAAGCGAGAAGAAUCAAAACUAAAAACCAUGGAAUGGGCAAAUGGUAGUUUCUGAAGAAGUUGUCCCAAAACUGAACACUGUCAGUACUGUCUGCACUUACAAGGUUCCCACACCUGGAGAAAAGAAACAAGUUGAUUUUCAGAAAAGGUAGUUCAGGACCUAAACACCAAUGGAUGCAGACCAACUGAAAAAUCAAUUUCAUAAGCUACAGAAAAUAAUAACGUCACAGCUCAAUUCUACCUUAACCUCCGAGUCCAACUGUAAUCCUGUAGAUUUCAUGCCCCAGUUUAGCAUCCCAGUAUCUUAUAAUCCUGCCCAAUGAAAAAGAAAAAACUAAGAAAGCAACAUGAUGAAAUAAAAGAAGAUCGAGAUGACCAAAACGCCAUAGCCAUGGGAAAAAUAGGGCAGUGUCAGUGGCGUCACUUACCUGACCUUGUUAUUCACCAAAUCAUCCAACUCCUUCCAACUAGAGCUGCCGUGCGCAUGAGUUUUCUUUCCAAGGGGUAGACGUGUGGUCUUCGGUCCCGGUAUUAGAUUUUGACUAGGGCGCGCAAGACAGCCUUGAUGAUCACCCCAGUUCAAAGUUCAUCAACUUGGUGGAAAGGUGUUUGGAAUUUCAUAAAGGAAGAUAAGGUCGACUUAGAUAAAGACGAUAUUGCCUUUUCUAGAGCUAAUGGGUAUUUUCCAGUAGCGCUUCUUUCCUUGUAGACAAGCUUAUUUGGAGCAAAAUUAUAUUUUUGAUACUUUUUUUUUUAGAAUCUUUUGCUCAUUGUAGACAUUUCCUCGCAAGGAGUUGCAACCCUCCACAACUCUAUCAGUGUGCCCACAAGUUGCUUGAUCUAAUGCCUCAAAGAGGCUUUUAUUUAUUUAUUUAUUAUUAUUACUAUUUUAUGCGUAGCUGCUGCGCAUACAACUCACAUAGCUAAAUAUUUUUUUCUCAUUCCCUGUCCCAAAACGUUUGGGACUAGGACAAAGCAAAAAAAGAAAGAAGAAGCCUUACCAACAAUCUAGAGGAAACGUUGAUAAGGUGCAAGGUAUUUUUUUCACUCCACAAUUUUGGUCCAAGCUUUGACAAAAACUAGGAGUAGUCAUGGGGGUUGGGUUAGGAGUUUUCAGUAUGUUUCUUUAUUUUGUAUUUCUGGUGCUAUCUGUUUUGCAUUAGGUGUUGGUGGUUUUGGAUGUAGCUUCUAGCCUCUGCUUAUGCUUUUGUAUUUCUAUUGUUGGUUUCUCAGUUGUGUUGUGUUUCUUUAACGUAUUCAUUCUGGCCAUGUGUGGCUGUGUGGGGAGUUACAUUGUUGAUGUCGGUGUACUCUCCCUGGACUAACCUUUGAUGGUUACUGUGCCUCCAUCUUUGUAUUAACCCUAAAAAUUGGGUAUCUGUAUCCUAAAAAUUGGGUAUAUUCCUUCAGGUUCUGUAUUUAGGUGACUGAUGUGGGUGACAGAGUUCAAGCUUGGAUAGAAAUAUAAGUAAAAUCAUGUAAUUGCAAUCUAUUAAAAUCAUAAGUAAAAUCCUAAGUGAAUUAAAAAUCAUAAGUAAAAUCAUGUAAUUGCAAUCUAUUAAAAUCAUGAGUAAAAUCAUAUAAUUACAAAUCCGGCUGAAAUCCAUUACAUUAAAAUCAUGUAAUUACAAUAUAUUAAAAUCUCAUUAGAUAAACUCACGCUUCACAUGAGAUACGCUAAAGACUAUGAAACUAGAGUAAAUAAAUAGUGGGAUUUUGCAGUUGAGAGAAGCGUCGAAUAGUUCAGUAUGAACCUUACUAAUUAAAGUUUUGUUAGACUACUACUCCUUAGCCUUGGAGACCCUUUUUUUUUUUUAAAAUGAAAAAUCGUAACUAGCUUAAAUUUGGAGUAUGUGACAUGCAGCAAUCUUUUACAUACUGUAGAGAAAAUCGGCGCCAGAAGAGUAUUAUCUCGUGUGAAUCCCGCAACCUGAAAUAUAUCUAUGCUGAGCUCCUCCUAAAUAACUUCAUACUGUGUGGAUACCAAUAUGGUGUGAAGGCCAAAAUCAAUGAACCAGGUCUAAUUUCCUUAUCUUUUAAAAUUUGAUUGCUGGGCCUACAUUCAGACUCUACACAAGAAGCAUUUCCCUAAUCUCAGAGAUUAUCUUCUAAAAUUUGAUUGCUCCGAACAACUAGCCUAUUUAUUUAUGAUGCUGCGGUACUACCAUACUUACUGCUUGAUAUAUUUUGAUCCCUUUCUCAGUUUCUGCCAUUAAUUCUUACCAGUUCACCUUUCUUUUUUCUUGUGCAUGGACGACAGUGUAGGUUUUCAUCUUUCCAGAAACUUUGAGAAAGGCCCUCCUCCCUCCACCAUUGCCUAGACUCAGACAUCUUCAGGUCUUCAUGCUCACUUCUCCAACAGAGGCUACAGGUUCUGCAUUGUUGAACUCUUUACUUUGGAUGGCAACUUCUGCUAAGAUUAGUUCUAACAUAAUUUAAUUGGAAGGGGAUUGUGAAAUAGUUUGAAUGAAAGUUAAAUUUGUUUAGAUGCUUCUCUUGUUUCUAACUAGUUUCUUGGAAUGCAGAGAAAGUGUCUAUUCGGAAUUUCAGUUUGCUUUGCGUGCCAAUUUGAAUGCUAUCUACAUUCUCUCUUACCUUCUUCUUGUAGGGGCUUUUUUCUUCCGGCAGCUACAAAUGGGCUGGGCUGCCGUAAGGAGCGAACUGAAGAAAUCAUCCCCUAUGCUUGAGUUCAGAAAUCAAGCCCCAAGAAUGAUUCGAAAGGAUAGAGAAGCUUUAGGAAACACCUUGGUUACCUUCACCAACAAAAAUGACAACAACUUACAGAUAAAUUUUCUAGCUUAACAUUAGAGGCUUGUGGCAUAGGAGCAAAAUUGUCAUGAGUUUAGCACUGAAGAGAAAACUAAGUGUUCCUGGGGGAAAAGGGGUAUUAAGGUAGGAGAUGAAGAGUUUGCAGAGAGGUUUGGCUGAGAAUAAGGAAAAAGGAAGGAAUGAGUGGCUUAAGUAUUAUUUCCGGUAGCUUGACAGUGACUCUGUCAAAUGCUAGAGCAGCCUACUAGAAAGGGGAAAAAUGGGGAGGAGGAUGAACAGAGCACAAAUUUGUUGGGUGUUGCAGGUGAGAGAGGAAGCUUGCUCUCUGAAAUGUGGGUUAUCUUUGGUUGGGUAGAAGAAGCCCCUUUUAUAGCCGCUGGAAGCCAUCUUAUUCCACGAAACCCUAAUGGUUUCUAUCUAAUUUGGCCAAGCUUUUUCCUUCCUUUCUCCUCCCCUUCUUUGACUUAUCUUAUUCUAGCAAAAUCUUCUCUGUCCAAUCUCACAAAAUCAGGAAUUUUUGGGAGCUCAAUGCUCUUUCCCACAACUGCCUCUAUUUCCAGCCAUCUCCUUCUUUUCUUUUCUUCCUUCUUCCAUGGCUAGGUCUGAUAAGGGAAAGAGAAUGGGUAUGCAUACAGUUCAAAAGUCGAUUCCUCUCCUAGCAGGCUGCGUGGUCCCUUGGGUGUCUUUUGCUUGAAACUUGCUCAUUUCCCAUGUGCUGAAACCUCCCAGCAGCUUUGUAUAAUGGACCUUCAGACUUCCCCCUCGUGGCUUUUGUUUUACCAGACAAGUGAUGGGGCUUUGCAGCCUGCUAGGAGAGUAAGUGCCAAGUUGUGAUUUACCAAGUAAGUGGGCUAUCCUUAUCAAGCAUUAGGCUUUUUGGUUGAGUUAAUGGGCUAUUUUUCUCUUUGUACUCACCCACAUGUUUGGGCCUAAGAAAUGGGCUUGAGUUCCGAGUCUCCUAAGCAAUUCGGGACUUCCAUUUCUCGGCCCAUCAAUGGGCCUCAUGACAAUUUAUUACCAUCCAUACCACAACCCACUCAAGCAAGCCUCGGGCAUUUGAGUGACUUAGGCCCACUUAAGCUUGUGGUGUGAUUGGGUGCAGAAUAAUAAUUCCUUACUUGGCGUGCUUCAAUUUUAUCGUCCUUGAAGAGGGACACGGUACUUAGUUUAGCAUAGGCUUGUAUUUUAUAAUAUUAUCUUAGUCCUUAGCAUGACAAAUUAUUUAUUUAGCAUGACAUGUAGACUAUGACUUGUAUAUGACGAGCCUUCGUGUACUCCAAUAUGUGACUUUUUUUAAUACAAUAUCAUAUUGGGCCGAAAACUUAUUUGGGCCUAACCGUGGACUUUUUUGGGCCUCAACACUCUUUUCUACCUUUCAGCUACUAACUUUGAAAGAAAAUAAAUAAAUAAAUAAAUAAUCCAAUGAUGUGCGAACUCUCCUUUGUUUACGUUAGAAAUCUUCUUCACCACUGCAGGCUAAAGCUUACAUUUUGUUUUCAAUCACGUUGCAUUACAUAUGACCAUCUCUAUAUUACUUAAAUCUCUGGCGCCCAUCCCCGUUAUGUUCUUCUUCUUCUUCUCUAAAUUGAGCAAAUGAACUUGUUGGUCCCUUUUCCCGCUAGCACUCUUUUUGUUAUACUCUGGAUCUAGCUGCUCUAGAGAGUGGGAAGGUCGUCGAGUCAACACCAAUGCCCCGAUUGGAUUUCUGGCCUGCAAGGGGAUUCUUCCAACUUCUGAACAAAAUUGAAAGUUGGAUCAGGUUGACAAGAACGGGCUGGGCCCUUAACAACUUGUUCCUUAUGUCCUGAUCAUGAAUUGCAUAGGUGUGCCACUACUGGGGAUGAGACCAGCCCAAUAGAUCUGGUAUAUGUAGUGUAGAAUAUUGACUUUUUGGAUUUACACUUAUUCUGGACUUCUGUUCUAGCCAUUGUGCUCCAGGGGAGGUACUGGCCUGGAUAGGUCUCCCCGACAUUUAGGGUUGAUCAAAGAAAUAGGAUGUCGGCUACAUUAGAGAGUGAGUCAGACAAAAUAUUGAGGGAUGGAAACAAUGCUAUUUGUCAAUGGCGGGCAAAGAGGUGCUAGUGACAGCAGUGGCUAUUGCAAUUCCAACUUAUCGCCUUAUCCCAUGUCAUGUUUCAAGCUCCUAGUUGCCUCCUGCAAAGAAAUCAAUGACGAUUUAAGAUCCAUUGGAAAGCUUGGGGUAAGCUGUGCCUUCCCAAAGAUCAAGGAUUAUGAAAAUUUGCAUGUUUUCAUAAUAAGCCAAAGUGCUUCGUAGAGAAAUAGUCUCAAACGAGAUUUUUGAAGAAAACAGUAGUGCAAUAUAUAAUGGUAAACAUAUUUAUCAACUUGCAUUAUUUUGUAAUGAUACAAACUGUUUAUUUUUCAUGUCUUCCUCAAGUACAAAAAAUCAUUCGAAUUAGAAACCAUUUGACCAAUUUUUACCAUUUGACCAUUUGACCAUUUGAUUAUAUGGUGGUCAAUGUGUUUUUGGGAAGCACCAUAUUCGAUCAUUUUCUUUGUCACAAAGAAGUCUUAAAGGUUUCAAAUUUAUCUAAGCUUUUGUAAUAAUGAUCUAUGAAUGAAGAAAUGAAAAUAGAUGGCUCAGUUGAUAGGAAACAAAGUGGAGUCCCUACUUACGCAUAAAAGAAGAACAAGAAUAAAUAAAUAAGGCCCUGUUUGGUGGGCUGGAUUGGACAUGACUUUUUCAAUUAAAAUGGAUUACAAUCCUGUCCGUUGUUUGGUGAGCUUAAAUGCACAACGGGACUGGUUUGGACUCAUAUUUUCUAUGGGAUAAUAGUCUAGCAAAUCCUAGUAUUGAAAACCUGAGGGGAACCACGGGUUUAGAAUGACAUCACCUCCUUUCUCCUUUCUCCUUCGAUCGCCUCCGCUUCCUCUCUCCUUCGUUCUUCUAUGCCCCUGCCUCCGCCUCUGCUCUUUCAAUUGUCUACGCCUUUUCCUCCUCCUCCUCGGCUAUCUGCUCUUUCAUACCCAGAAGUGUUGGAUCCCAAUCAAACAGUGAAAGGGCUAUAAAAGGUACUAACACAUUUUGGAUAGCUAGAAUCUCCGACUUGCUUCAAAUUUGCUGACUUGUCAAUAGUAUUCGCCAACUGUCAACCUGCGGGCAGUACACGUGUGUUAGUUUGUAAGAGAAUCUUUUGUUGUUUGGCGCCAAAACUCUUCCGAGUAUUGUAGACAAUGAAGACAAAUAGUAUAUUGGUUCUCUUCAAUUCAUUCUCCCUUCAUUUUGGCUUCUAUAAGAACUGUUCAUCGAAACCACCAAAAAUCCUAUACUACAAAAGUAUAGUUGUCAAGAAAUAACAAACCAAUUAAAUACUAACGUUUUCCAGUCACUACUCUUCCUAUUCUCUUUCUGCCUGCUAUUGUUUAGUUUUCAAGAAAGUUCCAAGAUGGAUCCAAGAAAGAAGGACGAGCCCUCAUUUGAAUUAUUUGAAGCUCUUGUGGAGGCUGCUGCCACCAUACAAAAGCAUGCCGAAAUAAUGGUCAUGCUACCUACCGGAGGGAUGCCCCAAAAGCACCCACACCGCAUUGAGUUUCUCCGUAAGUUCUGUAAGUCAACUUAUCCGACCGAAAAACAAGUGGCCGAGGCAGUGCUGGGCGUCACCAAUAAGGAUGAGCUCACCGAAGCACUUCUUCCCCUAAACCCUAUUGUUUAGUUUUCAAGAAGGAUCCAAGAUAGAAAGACAAUCCCUCAUUUGAAUUGUUUGAAACUCUUGUGAAGGCCGCUGCCACCAUACAUAAGCAAUUCGAAAUAAUUGUCAUGCUAUCUACCGGAGGGAUGCCCCCAAAAAACCCACACCCCAUUGAGUUUCUCCGUAAGCCCUGUAAGACAAACUUAUCCUGUCGAAAACCAGGAGGCCAAGGCGGUACUGGGCGCCACCAAUAAGGAUGAGCUCACUGAAGCACUUCUUCACCUUCUCACACGCAUUAAGAACCUAGGCCGGGAAGUAGAGAGUUACUCCAUGUGAUAGUCACUAGGCUGUGGCCAGCUCUACAACCAUCUCGCCGCCUGGAGUAUCAAAACUCGUUUCUUCAAACCUUUAAUUCGCAGCGGUCGUCUCCAUUCUUGGAGGAAUUGAAGGAUGAUAUCGUUAGUUACAAGGAUUGACGCAUGGCCGCAACUUCUGACAGUGACAAAGGUAGGAUUUCACGUGUGUUGGGGCCUCUUACAAAUUAUAAAGAAUCAAAAGUUCGAACUCACAAUACAUACAAAAAAUAGUAUAUAUAUAUAUAUAUCACAUAUGUCAAUAAUUAUAUUGCUUAUUGGUUGCAAUCAUAAUUGUCCUCGACAAAGGGAUAGACAAAUACAUUUUAAGCAAGAAAAAUUGUAAGAGAUAGAUAAAGAGUAGCGAUUUAGCAAAUAUCUUUAAAGCUUUUUCCCCCAUUAAACCCAAUAGAAAGAAAAAAUCAAAAUUUCACAAACUAAAAAAAACCUUAGGUCCCUUCAUGCAUUUAUAUCAUACAUGAAAAAAUGUUUUAUGUAAAAAUAUUGACUAAAUAUGAAAAAUGGUUUUUUCGAAAUAAUCGUUUUUUCAAGAUAAUUUUUGGCGGCUUUUAUUCCUUACACAUCAAAUAAGAAAUUUUGAUUUUAUGGGAUUUUAGUAUAAAGUAUAUAUUGACUUAAUGAACCAUCAUUUUUAGCCUACAUCGUAUUUUGCAUUAAAAUCGAUUUUUCAUAUUUUGAUUUGGUGGGAAUUUGAUUUUCUAGUAUUUUUAUUUGAAUCCAAAUAUAGAGUACUUCUUUAUUUACAUUGUAAACUUAAGUAAAUGGAGUAAUAUAAAAAUAAAUGAAAGUAAAAGGACAAAGACAUUUACUUAAAUGCUAAAAAUAAAAAUAAGGUAAUUCGUACACUUGGAGUGCACCAUCACCAACUGAGCAACGGGCAACUUUAAGCACCCUUAAUAAAUUCGCUACAACACAUGUGGGUACAUAUCAAAACAUAAAAUAUUUAAAAUAAUAUACAUAUAAAAAUACAUAAUAAUAUAUUACUUUUUAAAUAUAAAAAAAUUUGACUGGGGGCACGGGACCACACUGGUCCCAGUGUGGCUCCACCCUGACUUCUGACACCGCUCCAUGAUGACUUCUUCCUAAAGCCAAAAUAGGACAAGCGUCUUUUGUUUGGGCUCAUUUUGUUCUCAAGAGUGUGCCCAUCGCGUUAAAGAAGAGAUCCAUGGAAGGGCAGAUGAUAUUCUUGAGACUCUAAUAAAGUUAAUGGGCCAGGAUGUGAACUUGGGCCCGAAGACUGAGAUGGCGAGGGCAUGCGUUCUUUUAAUGUUUCAAGUUCACUUUGUUUUAGGCGAUAGGAAGGUGAGGAAUGCUACAAAGCUUAAACAAGCAGUGGAACUCAUGGUGUCGAUCAUCUUUAGGAAAUUAGCAGCCGAUGCAAGCGGAGAGAAAUUUUCGGAUGACGACUUUUUUAGACAAGACCCAAGACUAUAGCCCAAUUCGUGACCGUGAGAAACCCGCAGGAAUGGACAAUGAUACUAUUAGGAUUGUACAGAGCCUCGCGUUUUCCCUAAGAGGUGCGAGGUUUCUCAUUCACAUGUACCUAAAGGGGUCGUUUGGUAUGGCGGACUGUCAUGGACUGGACUAAAUCCUGAGACUGUCUUGGAUUAGCUUGGAUUGGCCUAAGCUGGAUUAAGUACUAGCCUGCGUUUGGUGAUGCGUCGGACUAAGAAGCUGGAUUGUAAAAAUAGUGAAAACCUAUGUUUGGUACUGUGUUGGACUAAAAAAAUUAUUUAAAUAUUUAAAAUUAAUUUGGGAUUUUGACCUAAAACUAAAUAAAUACUACAAAGAAACCAAUGAGAUAUGUAUAAUUUAUUAUAUAAAAAAAAUUUUAAAAUAUUUUUUAAUAACAAACUAUCUUUAUCUUUUAUCUUUUAUCUUUUUUCUAUUUUUUCUUUCUUUCUUCCUUUUCUCUCCUUCUCUUUUCUUCUUCCUUCCCAGCCCUGUUUCUUUUUUCUCUUUUCUUUCUCCCUCCCGAUCUCUCUCCAGUCCUCUCUCUUUUUUUCUCCAAUAUUGACACAACAUUGGUGUCCCUUUUUUUUUUUUUUUUAAUAUUCCCCUCCCAAACCUUUCUCUGCUUCCCUCUCAUUUUCUCUCUAUUCUUCCCCCUUCUUCCCCCCGCCCCCCCUUCCUUUUUUUGUUGUUGUUGUUACAGAGGGGGUAAACGCCCCAAAACAAAAACUAUUAAAUAUGACAAGGGGAGGUCUAGCAGGACCUUGAGCAUCAACAUCUAAAAUGGCUCUAAGGAAGGCAGGAGUUUCUUCAAAAACAUCGAGGCCAUGAUUAAACUUGUGAUUGGCAGCCAAGGUCUCUUGUUCCCUUUGAAGUCACAGAUCCUCAUCUUCUUCGAAGUCACAAAUCUCCAUUUGGUUUCACUGAGCCACGGUCAAUGGUUGGUAAUUUUUCGAAAGGUUCAAUUGGGUUGUGGUUCCACUGGGUUUGAUUUGAUGGUGGUUGAUUCAAGUGGUUGAGUUUGAAUUGGUGGUGGUUGGUUGGUGUGACUGGGUUUAUGGUGGUGAUAAUUCUAGUUGAAGAAGACGAAGAAAUUGAUUCUUGAAGCUUGGAUAUGGAUUUGGUCUUGCGAUUGGAUUAGUCGGACUUGCGCGUCAAAAUAGCACGCUCGCUAUUUUGCGAACUACAUUUCAGCCUCUCUGUAUAAGGAGAGCGAGUGAGGAGGUUUUUUAACUGUUGGACUCCACAAUCCCAUUUAACUUAGUCCCCCAUUUUACCAAACAUGGGUUUCAAGGUUUAUUUAGCAUAGUCCAGUCUAGUGAGGCAUACCAAACACACCCAAAGUUGAUUGGACAAGUCAAUUCUGAUGACGUAGACAUGCAGAGGCGGCCUUGGGCCAGGGCUACAGCCCGGGGCUCACAGCUGAAGGGGGCCCAAUAUUUUUUUUUUUAAAGCCUAUGUAUAUAUGUGUAUUAAAAAAAAUUAAUUAAACAGAAGAUAGUUGCUGCCUGUGCGUGUAUACCAAAAAGGAAGCCAAUCAAUCAGUCAUUAUAUUCUCAAUCUCAAGAAGAAACUUAAUGAGGAAGAAAAGUCUCUUAUUAAUUAUACAAUAUAAUAUAAAACAAAUAAACAAAAUAUGGGAAAAUCAAAACCAACUUUCUUAGCCACAAAAAGAAGAGGAAAAACAUUUUGACCUACUCUGCUUCUUAGAAGUUCAACGCAAGCAAUUUUUUUUUUUUUUUUUUUGUGAUUCUCGUCUUCUCCAACACACAUAGAGUUGGAUUCCACAAGCUAGACCAGUGCCUUUUUUGAAGGUAAUUUUUUUUUUUUAAUAGAUACAUAUAAAUUCUAGAUGUAUAAAUUUUGUAAAUUGUAAUACAUAUCUUUAUUAACUUUUUCAUCUUUAUUAUUUGAUUCAACAGAAAACUUGGUUGGGAUUCUUGUUCUUUAUAAUUGGAAGUUUCAAGUUGAAGAAAAUAUGCUCAAAAUCCAGGUGGAUAUGUUUCAUAAUGUAAUGAUUGCUUAUAGGGUAUUAUUGACUAUACCUGUGACUGUGGCAUUUGCUGAAAGAAGUUUUUCUAAAUUAAAAUUAUUGAAAUCUUAGUUGCGGACCAACAUGACUCAAGAUAGGCUAAAUGGAUUAGCAAUAUUAUGCAUUGAAAAUGAUAUGUUAGAAAACAUUAAAUAUGAUAGUAUAAUUGAUGAUUUUGUAUCUAAAAGUGCAACAAGAAGACAUUUUAAAUGAUGUUUUGUGUGGUUGAGAUUUCAUUGCUAUUUUUAUUUUGUAGGUACAUGUGAUGAUUGUUUGCUUCGAUUAAUUGUGGAGGAUGAAAAGAAAAUUGAUCAAAUCAAGAAAUGCUUACAGAGAUUGGGGAGGAAGUAUGUAGACUCAAAUAUGUAGUUUUUGUUUUUUAAUGCAAUAUUUACAAUGCACCCCUUUUUUUCCUUCGUUUGGGAUUUUGUCUCAUUGGAUUUUCCCCAAACAAAGUUUUAAUGAGGCCCCAAAGGGUUCUUCCUUAUCUUUUAUAAAUUUUUAUCAUUUUAAUUAAUUAGUUUUUUUUUUUUUUUGUUUAAUUUGUAUAAAGGGGCACACUUGAGAAAAUUUGCCCUGGGCCUUAGAAAACCCAGGCUCUGUAGACAUGCCUUCUAUAUUCUACUGGUAGCGUCAUAUUUUAGUCAUAUUUCAGUUUGUGUAGCAUGCAAGUAAAAGUUGUUUUGCAGGUAUGGACGAAUUUGCGCAUGCCUAAGGGAAAGCAGUUUCUCAUUCCUAUCUGCGGUUAUCCUAAGCCUAAUUAAAAAAGCCACAGAAAGUGUAGGAUUGAGGUUGAUGAAAAUCCAGGCUUAGUAUCAAAAACAGAUAAUGAGAAAAAGAAUAAGAAGAAGUCAUUGAAUAAGGUAUAUAUCCAUGUAGGCUCCUAGCUUGCACUGUGCUCCAAAGUCUUGUGGACAUAACCGGUAAAAGAGUUGUGGGGAGAAGAAAUCAAUGGGGGCUUGUACAUCACACUGUUAAUCUUUUUGCCGAAUGGGUGCUGAACCAGUUUAUUUUUUUCUUCUUCAAUUUUCUUUUUUGUUGCGUAGAUGAGAUGGUUGAAAAGUCUAACAACAGCUGAUAUUGUGAAUUUUAGACAACCUACAAAAUGGUAAUUAUAAAGAUUAGUCUAAACACAAAUUAUACUCGUAAGUGCACAAGGUCAAUCGUAAUUUAGUAUGGUAAAUACGAGGUCAUUCUCACGAGGAUUGAGUUCAACUUCCAAUUAGUCUAACCUAAUUUACUUCACAAAAUACUUUAACUAUUCUAAUUAUAUAAACAAGAAAUUAAACACGUAAACACAAAAGGGUUUUUUGAAUGAGUGAUUUAAUUAACAACGAAAUCAAAAGAAAAAACAAGUAGAAAGCCAUGAAACACAAAGAUGAGAAAUUCAAAUUGAUAAAAGCACUAGGACAUUGAAUUCACCACUAGUAAUCCGAUCUAGCCUCUUAUUCACCUACCUGUUAACUAACCAUUUGAUGUCGCCGCUUAGUUUUCCUUUUUCAUGAAUUACCUAUGGUAUUUAGGCUAACUCGUAUAUUCUUAAAUGCAAUUCGCCUAUGGUAUUUAGGUCAAAUAUCAACACGUAGAAACUCAUUAAGAUCAGUGAAAACCUCCAACAAGCAUGUAAAAAUCCUAGAAUUAUGAUAUUUACCCUAGACGAAUUAUAGAUCUUAAUCACAAGAAGCAAGCCUCAAAUUAAGUAUGGUAUUUACUCUAAUUUGCAUCCAAUUAACUCAAUUAAAAGUCUAGAUGGUGAUCAAGCAUCAAGAUAAUCAACCAAGUUAUUAAGCACAGUGAUUAAGAAUCCAACAUCAAACGGCAAUCAAUAGAUAGGUAAAAUAAGAAAACUAGAUUAUCAUACUAGGGCUACAUCAUGCCCUAUCAAAAGAAAAUUAGUUACACAUAAUCAUAGAAUUCGGCAUAAGCAAAAACAUAAUAAAAUAAUAAUAAAAACUUAGCCAAUUGCGGUACUCUCCCGGCGUCUCCAAUUUCUCCAAGUCUUUACGUAACCCAAAGGAGUUGUUUCUCAUGCUUAAACAAAACACCACACGUCUAUUCCUAACCUAGCUGGGCUUUUACAGCAGCCCCAAAAAUAAAGAAAAACCUAAUUAAAACAUAAAUCCAAAAAGGGUAAGUAAUUGACUCCUCUACCUACUUUGACUGGGAUAACACAUCAGUUUCUUUGCAAGCACGUUUGAAGUCAUUUCUCCUCCAAGAAAAUUUCGGAAAAAAUAUUUAAAUUGUAGAUCUUUGUCUUAUCUUUCCAACCAUAUAUCGCACGCUGUGAGAAAAAAAACACGAAGACCUUCAAAUUUCCUUUUUCACACAGUAACUCAAAUCUAACGGAAUUGCACUUAUGCUGACUUGAGCUCAAAGAGCACUCUCAUUGGUUGCUCCAAAAAUUCUAGAAACAUUCCAAAAUUAUCUUCAGGGUCUUACCUUCAAUAUCCAACUGGCCUUACACAAAAACUCUACCAAAAGUCAUAUUUUGUUGGUAAUCAAUUAGCUGCUCAGUUAAGCUGAAAAUGAAGAAAAUAAAGAAAAUAAAGAAAAUAAAGAAAAUAAAGAAAAUAAAGUAAUAAGUCCUUUUUAAAUCUAAUUCUCCUACAAAAACUAAGUAUAAAUAGUACAUAAUGUGUAAAUUUAUGGGCUUAUCAGCUGACACCAAGGAACGAGUUCUAGUGCUUUGGAUGCUAUCAAAGUGAAGCUUUCUCUUAGGGCAUUAAGGUGUGCAGAAUUUUGGAAAGAGCAACCGAAGUUGGGAUAAGAGCACAAACACAAUCUACUGUCUUCAGUCAAGGUUUAAGAAUUGAAAUUGGAACCUUUGAUUCAAUCAAAAGGGGACUUACAAUUCAUUUGAAGUGUACGAUGUACUUAUAAAAUUGUUACAAUUUAUUUUUCAUCGAGGUCAUGUUGUCUAUUCUUAGAAUUUAAUUUCGAACCUCUGGUUCAAUCAAAAGGGAUUUACAAUUCAUUUGAAGUAUACCAUGUAAUGCUUAGAAAAAUGUUGUUCAUGUCCAAACCAGGAAUCAACUUAGAAUGAUGAAGUAUGAAAUCUUCAGCAAGGAUUGAAUGGUGAGGACCUUUGGUAAGGAUGCCUUCAGCAGCUAGAUCAACUUGUAGAGGGAAACGAGACAAGCAUUUAUCAAGCUUCAGGCACCGGUGUUGUAAGGGUAAGGGUCCAAAGUCAGCAAGUAUGAGGUAAGUGGUAAUUUUGGCACAGAAAGGGUCAAAAGUAGUUACCUUUUUACCUUAGCACUAUUCCCCUUUCAUAGAAAAAGGGAAGUGGAUGUUUGCCCAAUUAAGAUGUGGGACUUUGGGCAAAUCAUUGUGGUAGUGAUACGUGUCCCAAGGUCUAGGUUCUGUAGGCUUGCCUUUCAAUAGUAUGUUGCCCUAUUAGAGAAAGAUGUAUCUUCAGUACCUUCAGUUGUGAUGACAUCAUCAAUACUCUAAGUUAGAGCAUUUCUUGGGUUGUCUCCUUUUGGUAGUUUGUGGGUCUGUCUCUGUACCAGUCCCCCAAUACCGAAUGUGCUUGGUUGAUUAUGGUACAAAUAGUAGUCCCUUAAGUUGCAGAUUGAGAAGUGGCUUUUGGGUUGGAAACUUGUAAAAUGUCAUAUAAUCUUACCGAGUGGUUCGGCAUGCCAGAGGUAGUCCUAAGUCCCCCAAGUUUGCAAUCUAGAAGUUACUUUGGCAUGGAGGUAACUGGAGGUGAAUUAAGACAUAGAGUGCUAGUCGCGCAAUAGAGUCUUCUACAAGAUUAGCAUGCGUCUUCCCGAUCACACGUCUUGUAAAUCAGUUAGGAGACUACGCGCAUCUCGCACAAGAGUGUCCUACACGAUCGACAUGCAUCGUGCCGAGAGUGUCUCCUACACAAUCAACAUACAUCUUGCCAAUACGUAGGGAGACUAAGCGCAAGUCGUGCUAAUGUUGAAAAAGUUCAAAGGUUGGUAAUCAAAUGCAUGCCACGUGGCGGAAAUAGUUUGAAUAAUCAGAUCGUAAUGAAGGUCAUUAGUGCUGGAAACGAAGCAUCAUUACAAGUAGUUGAGUUGCAAUGAUGUGCAUUGGCUCAAGAAUUGAGAUGUCGGUAUAUAUGCCACAAGGGUAUAAAGUCCUUGCCUAGGGUAGAGAUAGAACAUUUAGCAUUGGAGAGAAAUUUGAGAGGGUUGGUGUACCAAAUUUAAGGGUGACAAAGAUGAGGGUACCGAUUUUGAGUUCCUUAUAGAAGAUCCUAUAGAAGACAAUAGGAUAAUAGUCUAUGAUGGAGGAAUAAGUCAACAAUCGGUAAACUCGGGUGAAGCCAGGCAUGAAGCAAUGCAAGUUGAGUUUGCCAAUGAUAUGUUCAUAAUUUCACAUGAUUUUAUAUCCUAUUUACUUAGUUUUGUGAAUUAAUUUGGAUUAAAGAUGCUGAUUUUAGUUAUUUUCUGGUUUUUCAGUUUAUAAGUCGUGAAAUGUAUAAAUUCGUCAAAUAUUCCUCAUAAUAUAGUUUGACAUGAUUCCAAUUAGAAAUGGAAGAUAGCAUCUUGAAGUUUGUCCAUGAAUAUUUCAUAAUUUUUUAAGACUGCUAAGGUGCCCAUUUUUAAUUAGACAACUCAGCCUAAACCAAUUCCCGGAGAAUACUAAAUCAGCAGGGGUAAUUUGGCCAUAACUCACUCAUACGACAUUGGAUUGAGGCACACGACAUAUGGCUGAAAAGAAAACAUCCGAAGAUUUCCAAAGAGUGGUCAUACGUAAUUUUCGGAGGUCAUGAAGGUAUUCAAAUCGCAUUCGCUAAGAGGAUCACGUGCAGUUUCCUGGAAGUUUUAGAAAAUUUAGUUUUGAUUACCUUUUCUAGUUAGAAAUAGACUUGGAAAUCAAGUCUUCGUGUAAGGCCACUUGUUUAGGCCCAUUCUAACUAGGUUUUAGGUUCUUUUUAGAGGGGAGGUUGGGGGGGGGGCUCAAAGAGGAUAUAUCAGAAAUUUCAGAAUUCAACCGUGGAGCAAGGAAGAGCGACCUUGCCUCUAUACUCUAAGGGUUUUUCUUAUCUCUUUCUCCAUGUUUUAUUUUUGCUUUGUUACCAUGAUUAUGAGUAACUAAUUUUCUUUUACUAAGACACAAUGUAACCCUUUUCUAAUUAUUCAAAGCUUAGUUAUGUCAUGCUAUUAGACUUUCCAUGUUGUUGAAAUUUAAUCACUGUACUUAUUUUCUUAACUAAUGAUCUUGACGCUUAGCUACCAUCUAGAUUUUUGGUUAAGUAAUUUAAUGCAUGUUAGGGUAUACGCCAUGCCUAAUAUGAGUUUUGCUUCUUGUGAUUAAAUUCAUAAAUGCGCCUAAGGUAAAUACCAUACUCUUAGGGGUUUGGGUGAUUGUGUGAAGUUCUCAUUGAACCUAAGGUCUUUUUAUAUGUUUAUAUUUAUGCCUCACGCCAAGGAUAAAUUGUGUGUAAGAAGAAGUGGUUAAUUGCUGUGAAAAGAGUUAAUCAUAAUUUUGGAUAACUAAUCAUCAACAUAACUUGGAAAUUUUGAUAGCAUGCAUGCUACGGUUUGAAAUUGGUACACAGGUGACGAGGGGUGAAUUUAAAUGCUAUUCAAGUAGUCAUAGUGAUCUUCACACACUUUAAUCAUUGACCAAAUAUACUUAUAACUAGUCAACUGCUAGUCAUGAGAAACCAUAACGAAGAACACACACACAGAGCAUAACAAUCUAUACCUGCAAGCCUAGAAGAUUAUUAGUAACAACCUAGACACUCAGAAGGACCCGUCAAUCUAGACAUCCCUUGUGCUAGCAACAACUAUGGUGAAAGUGCGUGAAAAUAUCAUACAACAGAUAGUGAUGACUAGUCAACUGCAAGAACACAAACCCAGAAAUGCAUGAUCAUCAUGCGAUGACCAGUCAACUAUCAAGAACAUAAACCCAUAAAAUAACAAAGCUGCAAACCAGAAAUUGUUCACCCAGAAACCCACCAUUGGGCAAAACUGGGGGUCAUCAACCGACCAAACAAUUCACUAAGUAAAGAAGAUUCUUACCAAGGAAAACAAGUAAACUCAAGAAAUCCUAGAUCUAUUUAGGAAGAUAAGCUAUACCUCCUUUGUGCAAUCUUCUUCUCCAACUUAGCAAAACCAGCAGCUUAGUCCUUCAUGGCAAUGACAGCUCCUUCUUCAACUCUUUCAUCCCAUGGCACCAACUAGCCAGCUUAAACUCAUACAGAAACCAAAAAUUUGGAUUCAAAGGAAAAUGAUCAAUUUCUUCAAGAAACCAUACUCUUGACUUGAAUCUGACCUAGAUAUAUAUGAGAGAGUGUUUGAUAUAGCAAGAUGAGGUUUUCAUAUUUCAGAUGCAGUUUUCAAAAAAUCAAUUUGGAAAACUCAAAGAUGAAAAAUAUGAAGGUUCACUCUUGAGGAAGAAGAAGAGAAAGUUUUCUAAGAAGCUUUCCAAAACUCACCCACAAAAUAGACGGCUGCCAAAUGAGAAAUUCUUUGACUUUUACCCAAAAAUUCCUAGGUCAGAAUAGUACACAUGACAGUUGAGAAUUUCGCAGAAAAUGACGAAAAGAUGAUUAGGACCCAGCUGGAAACGGUGAGAUGGAAAUCCUAAUUGAAACAAAGGUUGACUAGUCAUACAAAGAAAAGAUGACUAGUCACAAUCUUCAUAAAUUUAGUGAAUGCAAUGUAGUGCAAUGCAAAGUUUACCUUUGUCAAAACACAUUGUUGUCCAUCAGAAUGUAGCUAGAUAAGAACACCUAGAGAAGUAAUUCUUAAUCUAAACUUAGAGCAAUGAUUGUCCUUUUACAAAAUUGUCAAGGGAAGCCAAAAGAAAAUUACAAAAUGCAUACACUUACAAGGUUUGUAUAAGAGGAAUUGUGGUGAAAUUGUUGUCUUGGCAAACUUCUUUAAAGUCUUUCACAAACUUAUUUAGUUCACGUUUUUCUUCGUUAUCUUGUCUUUUAACUUUCUUGUUUUCAACGUUCUUUUAAAUAAAAUCUUUCAAAACUCCUUUAUUAAGUUUUAGUUGAGUAGUUUUUAAUAUAACCGUCUUACGCCUUUAAAUUAUAUAAAUAAGUUCUUUGUAAGGGGUUUAUAGCUCAAAUGAUUAAAAAUAGUUAUCCCUACAUCCGAGAUCAUGUGUUCGAAUUCCCCUCCUUCAAUAUCACUUACCAAAUGUAUUCCCUUUCUGACUCUUGUUCUUUGUGUUCGCCGAGUUGGCCUUUUUUGUGACAUCUAAUCAUUCUUCGCGUAGGGCAUGUGGGGCUUAUUGCAGAGUUGGUUGAACUUGAGACUUGAGAGUGCCUUUUGGUUUUGGUUUUGGUUCUCAUUCAUCUGUUAGACGUUUUGAAGAGCACGCAAAUUAGCUCUGGCUCUGGGGCUUUCUGCUACAAGUAUUAUUGGGUCGAUUUCUGUGACAAAAAUAAGUGGACUAAAACUAAUAAUAAGGCUUAAUUAGAAGAGUUAUUUUCACAAAAGAGGAGAUAGCUUAAUUAGAAGAGUUAAAACUAUGCCAUAAUCCUUUAUAUCAUGCCACCAUAUCACGCAGUUGACAAAGAGUUAUACAUGGAUAUUGGGUGAUAGAGUUAUAGCUUAUGGUGAUUUGAAAGCUUGUUUUUUUGUUCAUUUGUAAAAAAAUAUUUGGGGGGGGGGGGGGGGGGGGGGUUGGGGUUUUGUUGGUGUUGGGGUUUGGGGGUUGGUGUUCUCUAAAAGGGAAUUGCAAAGCCAAAGAAAUUAAAACAAAUAAAAAAACAAAUCUCUAGAACUGUGGGAAUUGAAAAGCAAAGAAAAACCAAAUCAUGAAGUCCAUUUUUUUCUAUUACAAAGUUUGGGGAGGAUUCGAGAACUUGGUUGGUAGAGCUUUGAAAAUCCCCUUUUUGUCAACAAUUGUUGUGCAUUCGAAGAUUGUCUUGUUGGAAAAUGGUUGUUGGGUCUUGAGUUGUCUUUUUUCUUAACCUUGGCUCUUUCAUUAUGUUCAUUCUUUUUCUUAAUGAAAAAUUUUAUACCCAGAUUGAACUCUUUUAUUUUCUUAUUAGCUUUCUCUGCACUUUGUUGGAAAAAAUCCCCAGUUCCAAACUUCUGUUGGAAAAAAUCCAAAGUUCUACAACAAUUGAAUUUGAUUCUUUGAGCAACCGAUAUGUCUUUUGGUUGAGAAGGGAAAAAAUCAACCAAAAUGUCUCAGUUGAAAAGAUACAAACCAACCAAUACGUCGUCUUUCGGUUGAAAUGGUACAUACCAACUGAUAUGUCUUUAAUUGGUACAUUAUUCUGACUUAAUUAAAUGUAUUAUUCUUUCAACAUACUUGAUUAGUUGCACACUUUCAGAUAAAUUGAAUGGAUGUCUUUUGCUCUAUAUUUAUUUACUGUUGUUAACAGAACAAUAUGUCAAAAACUAAUUCAAAAACAGUUUACUACUCUCUUCUUCCCUACAACCAUACAAUUUUCUUAUAGUAAUUUCUAAGGGAAUUCUUCGAAUUUUUGCUAUUCGUUGAUUUCAGACUUUGUUGUAUUCUGAAAAAUGAUUUGCCAAGAAUCCAUUAGCUUACUCAGACUUUGUUGUAUUCUGAAAAAUGAUUUGCUAAGAAUCCAUUAGCAAACUCAGUUAAGUGGGGCAAAUAAAACUUUAAUUAAGGAGACUCUUCAAAUUGAGUCCUUCUACAUAUUUUUUUUUUUUUGGUUACAACCUUCUACAUAUUUAAUUUCUUACUCAACAACUUCCCUACUUUAUUUAAAGAACUUGGAGAAGGAAAAAAAAAAGGGCAGUCCAAACAGUUGAGAGGAUAGGUUCUUUUUCUCAUUAAAACUGCUAGAAGUACAAUUACAACCAAAAUUAUAUUAUAUAUUAUGUAUUGGGUGAGUAGCCUCUUGCCAGCAGAAAAAAAGUAGAUAUGGUACUUAUGAAUCCUUCUCAACAAAUAGGCUAAGCUACAAGCCUAAAUUUUCCCAUUUAAGGUCAAACAAUCCUUAACCCAAUAAAUGGGCUCUACUAUUUGGACCUGGUCAUUCUUAGCUCCAUUGUUGUCUCUAACCGAAUAAAGUAAGUUUUAGUAUUAUUAUUAUUAUUAUUUUAAAUUUUAUUCUUUAAAUUUUACGGGUCUAUCUCAGUGAAAAAUGGCUUUAAUUUGCAUAUCAGUGAUCUCCACGUGCUUUUAUUUGGCAUUGCGACUACUCUGUACUUUUUUAUGUGUUAUCAAUAAAAUUACUAUCGCUUUUUAUCAAAAAAAAAAAAAAAAACUCCUCUUAACCACUUGAGCUACAAGUGCAAUGCAGUUUAAAAUAUCAACACAAAAUUUAGGAGAACGGGAAGUGGAAGGUGAAUGGGAAGAAGAAAUGAAGGGAUAUAUUUUGGGAAUAAUGGGGAUGAGAUGAGUAGAUUUUUAUUUUAUUUUAUUUUUUAACAAAUGUAUGAGAGUUUACCCCUGCACCUCAGUUCAAUUUUCCCUUCCCUAAUAUCUCAGUAUUUGAGUCUUUAAACUUUCAAAUAAAUCAAUGUGGUUCUUAAUCUUUUGAUCCACACACAAAUAUUUGGUCCUUCUCAUCACAUUUGUCAAAAUCUUUGUUAAAUUUAUUCACUUAACCAACUUUGAAGGGGUAUUUUCAUUCAAAUACAACUUAUCCACCAACAACUCAAAGUAAUUCUCACAUAUUUUACUCAAUAAGGCUAUAUGUUCUCCUUGAUGGACUCUAGUGUAAAAUCUUAAUUGGUAAGAUAUAGCCUAUUGAUCAAAAAUGUGAGUAUUAGGACUGAAAUGAACUACAAUUAGAUGACAAUAUCCCUUUAAAGUGGCUCAUGCGAUGACACACAAUUAGUUUUUAUUGAAAAUUUUGUCGGAAUGCAAUAACAAAAAUUAAAUUGAUGUGUUGACCCAAAGAUGAAGCACCAUAUUGAUUGAUUUGAGAGUUUGAAGACUAAAAUGAAGAUUUUAAAAAAGUUUAGAGACUAGUUGUGAUCAAAACCAAAAGAAAUGUGGGAGUGUACAGAUAAGGGGGGGUGGGUAAAAAGAAAAAGGGUGUUUAAAUUAUUUUCUAAAAUUGAUCAAAAUGUCAUUGAGAUGAUGAUUGAUUGGUUGUGUACUCUUAUAAAUAAAAGAUUAUAACCAAACUCAAACGUAAGAAUUCAUAAACCACUCGUUUAAAACCCCACCAAUAACACCAAUUAAAAUAUCAUUAUUCUACAACGAAAAGAAAAAACUAGAAAGUCAUGUGACAUUUUCUCUUCCACUUGUUAGACAAAGCAAUUGUUAAAGCUCAGACCAAAACACAAAAAAAAAAAAAAAAAAGCAAUUGUUAAAGCCUUACAUAUCUUUAUCUUUUUACUCAACUAUUUUAUUUUACCGGCGGUAGGUGAGUCUGGUAGGCUCUUCUCCUCCUUAUAAAGCCGCACUAGCAGCUAUUCCAUCACAAAACACAAACUUCAAACUUUCUCUCUUUGUCUCUAUUUGAUCUCUUCCAAUCCCACCAACCAAAAGAGCAAAACAAAAAAUCAUUCCCAAAAACCAAGCUAAGUAUUAAGAUGCCUGCCGAUAGUUCUUCAGUUUCAGGCCAUGGCCAAACUGUUUGUGUAACCGGAGCUGGAGGCUUCAUUGCUUCCUGGAUUGUCAAACUAUUGCUAGAAAGAGGCUACA